GGGCUAGGGGGGUCUCCUUAUAUAGUCCUCCCCUUCUAUGCAUUUUUGGGUCGAUAGGCGAGGUGGUACUAUGUUUUUCUUGAUCCAAUAGGUCGGUGGAACAUCCCGAGCAAAGAGAGUCCUGUUUGGCAUCCAACAGGGGGCGGGCGCCCAGGUCCUCAGGGCGGGCGCCCUGGGCCUGGCCCCGUUUCGCCUCCGCUUCGGUCUCGUGGCUUCUGGAGUCUUCUAGAUGGUAGAAAAUUGCGCGGUGCGUUGAUAUCUCUAUGUAAUCCCGACAUGUGGGCCUUUCUUCCUUAUUUCCUGAUAACCCCCUGCAGAAAUAGACAAACACCAAAACUCGUGGAAUUCUGUCACAUAAAAUCCUAAGUCUAGAUAUUGAUUUCAUUUGGAUCCUUUUCUUUGUUUAGUUGAUAAUUAAAUUUGAUACUUAAGGACCGUCAACAAACUCCCCCAAGCUUACCUCUUGCUUGUCCCUGAGCAAGGAUGGACCCAAGAGUUUCUGCAGUGGUUUCAUGCCUUAAAGGUACACACGCAUUCAAGCAAGAUCUCAACUCUGAGUUAGAAUAAACUGUUAAGACUUAAAACUUACUCAUUUUACCUUUCACCAUGGAGCUUGUAACCUUCACUUGUGUCUUGAGCAGUUAAAAGAUAGAACGGUCAAGUCAAGCGCCAUGUUUCUUAUUCUUGAUCAGCUAUAGCUCUGGGGUUUUUGCAGAUUUUCAAAUAAAACUCAGAGAUUCCUUAUAUGACUCUCUCAGAUCUCUCUUUUGUGGUAUUUCUGGAUCCUUACCAAGGCAGUAAUGGUAUAUGCCUUCUCUCAAAGUAUGUGGUAUUUUUGGUAUGAGGCAUAGUGAUAUUGCCUUCUCUCUCACCUUACUCUAAUAAGGUUUUGAUAUCUAGAGCUCAUAGGUGGGAGACAGCUAAUACAUACUUACAAGACAUUUAUUGCAUAGUCAAACCAUGGAUCCAGAGAAACAAAUCAAUAAGCCAAAUCAAGAUGUGCAUGUGUGGCGAAUGAAUGGUGAUAACAAUGGUGAAAACAAUGGUGGUGGUCUAAUUCUACUUUUGCUCUUUUGAGGGGAUACAUACCUUCCUUGCUUUUUGAAACUUUAUGAGGAGAAUGAGAUGCUCUUCUUUUUCUUUCCUCUCAGUUGGGUAUCUUGUACCCCCAAUUCUACUGUCGGACACUUGUCCAUUUUUACCUCUCGUCUCACUUUUUCUUUCUUUCGAGGUUCCGGGCACUUGCCCCUUUUUAUUUCCUCGUUUAUAUAUUAUUUUUAUUUUUUUUCUCUUUUCUCUUUUUUUUUAGAGCACUCAUCUCUUGAGAUAAUAUAGCAAGUGGUAGUAACCAAAAUAUUUGGAGCAUUUAUUUCACAGGGAAUAACAGGGAUAGGAAAAUGUUUUUGACUAUUCUCUCCCGGAUUAGGAGUAGAAUAUUUUUGGGUGAUUCUGGAGAUGGAAAUGGAUGGAUAUAUGUGGAUGGUACUUCCGGAGUAGAAGUAGCAUAUAUGAGUGAACGUGCAUGUGAAUCUUGAUUUAACCACAUGACAAGUUCCUAAGUGUAGCUUCGUGUCAUCCUGAAUGGUUGGUACUUCCGUGGAUGCGCAGCUGCUUUUCAACUGGCCUGGGGGGCUAACGUUGACCUCAGGCUGUGAUGUACCUUGCCCUUUCGUCAUUUGACUAAGUGCUGCUUGCACUUGCCUUUGAAUCUCCGCCUGCAUCCAUUCUUCACGAGUUUUCUCGUGCUCUUUUGACUGCAGAACAAAAGCUUCUAGGCAGCGGAUCCGCUCUGCCUCCUCAUCCUUCUUUCUCUGGCGGCUUCUGUAGGUAUCUUGAUCGGCUUGGAAUGAUUGCAGCCACGGAACUGCCCCAUAGCCUCUCGUACGCCCAACGUGCUCAGGAUUUUCAAGCGCAUAGGUGAGUUCAUCCUUCUCCCUGUUAGGCCUGAACUCACCAGACUGAACCGCCUCUCAUGCAUGGACUAGUCUCUCUGCUGCUCUAGAGAUUUCUUGGCCCCAAACUAGCGCCCCGGUGUCUGGGUCCACGCUUCCCCCAUGACGGUAGAACCAAUGCUUGAAGCGCUCGCUCCAAUGCUUUGUUAUUGUUGUUGACGGUCCUUAAUGCUCACAUUUAACUGUCAACUAAUCAUGGAAAAGGAUCUAAAUGGAACCAACACCUAGACUUAGGGUUUUAUCUGACAGAAUUCCACAAGUUUUGGUGUUUGUCUAUUUCUACAGGGGGUUAUCAGGAAAUAUGAAAGAAAGGCCCACACGUCGGAUUUACAUAGAGAUAUUAACGUGCCGCGCAAUUUUCUACCAUCUAGAAGACUCCAGAAGCCACGGCAACGAACGGGAGGCCGAUCGGGCCCGGGGGCAGGGCGCCCGCCCAAGUCCCUUGGGUGCCCGCCCAGCUACAGUAACCAAUCAGCUUCAACUUCGCGGAUCGUGCUCCACCGACCUAAGGGACCAAGGAAAACCGUGCGAUUAAUGUCGGUUUGAUCCGACGGCCCAGAUUCAUCUGAAAAGACUAUAUAUGCAAGGCCCCCUAGCCCCAGGAGAUCAUACCUCUUCUACAAAAUCAAAGUCAGGGUUUCAAUUCUUCAUCCAAGUAGAGAGGAUCCCUCUAGUUCUUCUAGUUCUACCUCUAGUUCAUCUAGAUCUAGUUCUAGUUCAUCUAGUUCUAGUUCUAGUUCCUCUAGUUCUAGUUCUAGUUGUAAUCUAGAAAAUAGGGAGAGAGAAGAGGAGAGCGGAGGAGGAGCCGGAUGUUGGGUAUUCUUAACAUCAUUACCAAAAGUAGACUAAGUUCUCUAAAUCUAGUAACAGUGCCAAAAAUGCCAAACCUAUCCCUCACACCACUUAAGCCAAGUUGUCAUCCCCAGCAUGAUAUGAGAGACGCGGUAUUGAAAUAUGCAAUUGCUCUUCUAAAUAAAUAAUGAAUGGGAUCUGCAAGCGCAUAGAUUAAUACCGAUGUAGCAUUUUAACCGGGAAGUAUUCCAGGUAUCGUUAUUUAUAUUUUUACCACUGGGAAGGGAUUAGAAAUCAUCACUAAUGAUUACAGAAUAGAAUAUGAGAUUGAGCAUCUAUCAUUGCAUGUAUAAUUGAGAACAUUAUAUCUAACUCUUCAUACAGGGAUAAGUGUCACAUAAAAGAUAUAUGAAAUAAUAAUAGUGACAAGGAUAACUAAUCUGAUCUAGCCACAUAAUAAAUAUGAUAAGCACCUCAAUUAGAUACUCUAGAAAGUCAUUAGCAUGGUAUUAGAACGAACUACAAGAAUAUUCCCUAAGUUAUUCUCAACUAUAUAGUCUAGCAUAUCAUAAUUAGUGCAAGCAUACAUAGCAAUCAUUGCGAGACAAGACUACGCCCAUGCAUAGUGAUAUUAGCAAGGAAUAUGAGAAAAAUAGCAAUCACACCCCUGUAAUAAUGUUGCUCUGCCAGCCUAAUACACGAGAGGGGUAAUAACCCCCUGCAGAAAUAGACAAACACCAAAACUCGUGGAAUUCUGUCAGAUAAAACCCUAAGUCUAGAUCUUGAUUUCAUUUGGAUCCUUUUCUUUAUUUAUUUGAUAAUUAAAUUUGAUACUUAAGGACCGUCAACAAACUCCCCAAGCUUACCUCUCGCUCGUCCCUGAGCAAGGAUGGACUCAGCUAUGGAUCAUAAGUUGUUGCAAUAUCUUUAAAAAUUGACGGUACACAUGAUUUUAAAUAAGAUCUCAUCUCUGAGUUAGAGUAAACUGUCAAGACUUAAAACUUACUUACUUUACCUUCACCAUGGGACUUGUAACCGUCACUUCUGUCUUGAGUAGUUAAAAGAUAGAACAGUCUAGCCAAGUGUCAUGUCUCUUAUUCUUGAUCAGCUAUAGCUCUAGAGUUUUUGCAGAUUUUCAAAUAAAACUCAGAGAUUCCUUGUAUGAUUCUCUCAGGUCUCUCUUUUGUGGUAUUUUUGGAUCCUUACCAAGGCAGUGAUGGUAUAUGCCUUCUCUCAAUAUAUGUGGUAUUUGUGGUAUGAGGCAUAGUGACAUUGCCUUCUCUCUCACCCUACUCUAAUAAGGCUUUAAUAUCUGGAGCUCAUAGGUGGGAGAUAAAGUAUACAUACUUACAAGACAUUUAUUGCAUAGUCAAACCAUGGAUCCAAAGAAACAUAUCAAUAAGCCAAAUCAAGAUGUGCAUGUGUGGCGAAUGAAUGGUGUAUGGUGAUAACGGUGAUAACAAUGGUGGAAACAAUGGUGGUGGAAGUCUAAUUCUACUUUGCUCUUUGAGGGGAUACAUACCUUCCUUGCUUUUGAAACUUUAUGAGGAGAAUGAGAUGCUCUUCUUUUUCUUCUCUCUCAGGUGGGUAUAUUGUACCCCUAAUUCUACUGUCGGACACUUGUCCAUUUUUACCUCUCGUCUCACUCUUUCUUUUCUUUCGAGGUUCUGAGCACUUGCUCCUUUUUAUUUCCUCGUAUCUUUUUUUCUUUCUCUUUUUUUUAGAGCAUUCAUCUCUUGAGAUAAUAUAGCAAGUGGUAGUAACAAGAUAACUUGAGCAUUUAUUUCACAAGGGGAAAACAGAAAUAUUUUUGGUUAUUCUCUCCCGGAUUAGGAGUAGAAUAUUUUUGGUUGGUUCUGGAGAUGGAAUGGGUGGAUAUAUGUGGAUGGUACUUCCGGAGUAGAAGUAGCAUAUAUGAGUGAACGUGCAAGUGAAAUCUUGAUUUAACCACAUGACAAGCUCCUAAGGGUCUACACAGCUUGACUACACUUAAUGCUCAUAAGCAGUAAAUAAUAAAUGUGUGGCUCAAAGUCUAGCAAGCAUGUAUAUAUGGCUGUGGUAGGAAUUUAAACUCUCAUCAUACAGGAACUCAUCAUGCAACAUUUUAAAGAUUUUCAAAGAUAAAAUUCUCCAGAAUUCUAGCAUCUCUAGGAACAGAUAAACAGCAGCUCAACCUUCCCAUAUCGUAUCCGUUAACAACUUAGACUUCAGAUCAAGUUUUCAUCCCACAAGUUUAGGUCUAGAGCAAGAUUUAAAUUAUAACAGUUAUGUCUAAACUUGAGAGAGAACUUAAAAUGUGCAAAUUAGGCAGAGCAACUAUUCAUCAUUUCCAUGCUUGAGUUUUAUUUAGAUACAGAUUAGCAUAGCCACUUUAUUUAUUUAUUAAACACACUAAGCAAAAGACAUAUAUAUAUAUAAGCAUAAAAUCUUUAUUUGCUUUUUUCAUAGUUAUGUAUAUUUAUAUUCUAAAAUAAUAUAAGUAUAAAGAUAGAUAGAUAGAAAUACUUAUCGAGAUAAAUGGGGGUGCUCUCCCCCAAGCUGAAUUUUGACGUAAUUUCUCUUGAUGUAGCUAGCAGGUGGCAGAGGUGUAUUUGAAAGUCAGCAGCAUUGUGACAGCGAUUAGAAUAUCCUCCGUCUGCCAGUCUUCUUGAUUCUUAGAUUCUGUGGAGCUCAAAUAGACAACAAAGCUUGUGGAACUGAUUAAGUGUUAGCAUAAAUAUCUAGCCUUUAUCAUGUUGAGACUCCUUAAUAAUUAUUACUCCCUGUUUUUAUAUUUUUAUUUUAUAAAGCAGAAAAAUAUUUUUAUUUUAUUUUUAUGCCACCACAGUGAAUGUACUUAUGGGUUUUAUGCCACUUGUAUCCUCACAUGGGGCUUACUGUUUUUCACAUUUUUACUUUCUGUUUAGAACUUAAUUAACUAAGUGAACUACUAGAAAUAAUUGAAAGGGAAAGGAUAACUACCAAGUUUACCUCUUGGCAAGGUGUUCGGUGUUUUUAAGUCCUCCGAACGGGACUCUCCUCCUUCUCAAUUAUCCUGAGGUUCGUUGGGUGGCGUAGUCGGUACUUCCGGCAGCGCCUCCUCAUGUAUAGUUAUCUUCAUUUUCCACACCUGACUUGGUGCUUCGGUCUCCUCUGAAUAAUUCUGUUUAAACUCAACGUCUUCUGACCUUACAACUUCUCCUUCGUAGUCUGCCCAUCCGUCCUUGAUGAUUUGCCUCCUCUGGUUGCGGUUGCGUCGUCUUCUUCUUGUCCUGACCUGCUUAGAAUCUUCAACUAUAUAGUUAGAAUCAUUAAAGUAAUGGCGUACCUUCUCAGAGGGUAAAUACAUUUGGACUUCUCCGGUUCCAAUGUAGAUGAUUGCUUUGAUAGUGUUGAGGAACGGUCUUCCAAGGAUGGUGGGUGGAUCAUAUUCGUCUUCUCCCAUGUCAAUGACCUAAAAAUCAUCUGGAGCUGAAUAUAUUGGUUGUAGGGGCAUGGUUCCAUGCAGGAGCUGAUAAGUGACUGCGGCCAUUAUGUUGUUGUUAGAUCCGGUGUCGUAGAGUGUCUUCUGAAAAGAGUAUCCAUUGAUUGCGCACUCGAUGCUUGGAACACCAGGGUCGUCCUUCUUGAUCAAGAAAGGUGACUUGAGUCGACGAUGUUGACCUCUUCCGACAAGGAUCCAAUGUUUUAAGUCUUCUGGACAAGACUUUCCACCAUCUUCAUCCUUUAGGUGCAUCAUUUGAUUAGGUGUGGACCUUGACGUCUGCACCUCUUGAUACGGUGUCACCCAUGUUCUUCUUUGCCCAGCAGUUCGAAGUAUGGUGUUGGCAAUAUCCUGCUCAGUGUGUUUGUGCUCAUAGAUCUAGGUCCUUCACUUGGUGGAGUCUGGGAGUUGUAAAACUCCUCCAUGUUUUGCUUGAAGUGUACCUGUUCAUAGAGACAAGGCAGGGAUCAAGUGCAUGGGCUCUGUUGGUGGAAAACACCAACAGAACCAAAAGUGUAUUUGUUCUUCUCUAACCUUAAGCAUAGUGAGCAAGACAAAGUUGAUGGAUAAUAAGAUCAUGAGUGUAGUAUUUGAAACAUUUGUCAGAUCAGAUGGCUCAACCUAAUGGAAAGAUAAUCUAUCUAUAUUUAUGUUUUGUUUAUAUCUUCCAAAUAUUGAAUGUGCAACAUAUUAGCUUAUAUGUUUAGCAGCGUGGGAUCACGAAGGUAGUACUAAGAACAAAGAUUAAAGGACUAAACAUGUUGAAUUAAUUGAGUUGGUUAUCUGGAGUUAUAAAUCAUACAUGUUUGUCUCUUUAUUUAUGUGAAUGCUAGAACCAAGGAGAAGCUUAUAAAAGCGAUAGUCAAGUACCUUAAGGUGUUACAUUACUUGAAGAGUGACGGUACAGUAUCACCUUGUGGAAGCUUUCCUUUCUUAGCGGUUGUGCAUCGUGUUUGUGACACCCUCCAUGAAUCAUCUCUUAUGAGCCACGUCUUUCUUGUACAAAUUGUUAAACUUCAUGUGUCACUUUCUUCAUCUCCAAUGCGAGUUUAUCUCAGGACUUCCUAGGUUGAUAUUGAAAGUUUUCCUGCAGGGGUUAGUCCAACAAAAUAUCCCAUAUCUACUAUAGCAUACUAUCGGCUUAAAAAUCAACCUAGACACCAUGUCUAAUUUGAUUUAGAAGGGUAUUUUAACCUAAGCACCAUGCUUAAUUUAAAAUCCCUUGGAAGUAAGAUCAUCAUUCCUAAACUAAGCACCAUGCUUAAUUAAGAGAUAAAUGAAACUAUUCCAAACCUAGACAUAUACUAAAGCAAAUAAAGGUAGCAUGAGAGCAUUUAUAGAGAUCUACUUAAGUGGAGAUGAAGUAGUGUAAUUAGUAUUUAACAAAUUGAGCAUGUCUCAAAGGUAAGGACAACCAAUGUAGCAACAUGGCAAAAGAUGUUUUUAUGUAAAGUACUCCCCCAAGCUUGAAUUUUACAAAAUUCAAGUUUGGAUGAAUUUAAUUCAAUGUUGUGUGAUGGUUGGUUGGACAUACCCUGUGCUUGUCAUUCAUCCGAUCUUCUUGCUCCAAUCCUGGAAAGGUUAGUGACAAGAAUACCCGAAGGAAUAUUUCUACAAUUAUCUUUAUAUGCUCAAUACACAAGGCAAUGUUGCAAAUAAUUAGAAGUUCAUGUUAUGAUCUGAUAAGUGUUUGUUUUAGGACACUAAGCUUGUCCUUGGGAAACCAUCAAGUUAUGUUGGUGAAGUGGUUUCCCCUCCAACACCUACCUAUAUCAAGAUCAACUCAACGGGAUCUGCAAUAUUUAUUAUAGACAUAUGCAUCGACAACCGCCCUUUUAAAGUUUUUAUAAAUGAAAAGGAAGAGGGGGUUGGAGAUCUCAAAUGUGGUAAGGAUGGAGAGACAAAUUGAUUGGAGAGAUGUUUUAUAUGAGCAAGGACUGGGUGAGGUAUUUAUGAAAUAACUUCCAUGCUCACUGUUGUUUCUCUCAUUCUUAAAUUCCAAGGAUGAUUCUUCAUGAAUGCUUAAAAUUCCUCUAGGAUUGUCUCUCAAGUUUGUUUUAUCUAUCCAUUCAAUGGUGAUAGCACAUGGAUUUUUAAUGCCCUCUAGCCAUUGAUGUUGCUCUUCUCGAUCCUCCUUCUUAUGCAUGGGAUGUCUAGAGAGAUUCAUAGGAUUAUCGGGAGGUUCAAGAGAAAAAGCAUAGUAGAAUUUAUUAAGCUCAAGGAUGGGUUGGAUAGCCGAAUUAUGGGAUUGAAAUGUUUGGAAAUCGGCUAUUAAAACUUCCUCUCCUUGUAUGGGAGAUGAUUCCUUCUCUAUCUCUAAGAUUUUUCUAUGAAGACUAGUGCAAGAAGGAUGUCUACGAAUGAAGACAUACCUUCCUUUUCUAAUAGAUAAAGAAAGAAAGACUCUACCAAAGGUUAUAUGAUUAAGACCAAUGUGAAAAUAUCUAGGAAAAACAUGGUCUUGUAGGGCUAGGUCUAAACCAGAAUUUAUAGAAAAAUUAAAAGAUUCCCUAGGUGUAGCUAAAAGUGCAUUAUCUUUUUGAUUAAAAGAUAGGACCUCAGCUAUAGAAAAGGGUUGGUUUUGACCUAUUGUAAUCAACUCUGGACACAGAUCAUAAUUAGGGGCAUGACGUGUUGACUCCCAUGGUCUAUGGCUGGUCUCUGAAGGUGCAAAUAAUUUAAUAAUAGGUAUGGAAUUUGAGUUAUCCAUAAAGAUAAAAAUAAAAAGAUAAAAGAAUAAAAGUAUAAAAGUAUAAUACAAGAUAAUAGCAAGACUCAAAUUUAUCUCAGCAAACCGUCUUUCUCCCCGGCAACGGCGCCAGAAAUGCUUGUUGAUAUUUGGUAACGCAAUAAGGAAACGAUCCGCAAGCGCACGGAUAUCGGUGAGCAUUUCACCCGGGAGGUUAUCCAGAGUUAUCGUAUUUAUAUUUUUACCACUGGGAGAAAGGGUGCAUCUGACUAACCAAAUCUAUUGCUACUAUCCCUUUAGGCACAAAGAAUGUCUUUCGAUGUGAGUGAUAAAUAGAGAAGACUGCAACCGUAGUCUCCUUCUAACCUUGGUAAGGAUGAUCUACUGUUCUAAUGGGGAGGCUAACGGAAUCUAGACACCACAAAUGAUGUUCAACCCGGACCUAUAAACCCUAUCCGUCCUGCUAACGAGAUGUGAUCUGCAAAGGUAACUCGGAAUUGUCACGUUCCUCACUACUACCACGGUCCAGCUAGUCAGGGAAUAUCUAUGAGUACCCCAGCCUAAACACCACGUUUACGCCAGUAAUGAUUACUCUAAACUCUACGUGAAGAGAUUAAAGUAAACUCAUAAACCAUAAGAACAAUAAAACAAGAACUUACUAGAAUUUAGAAGUCGAAAUACUGAAGAAUCCUAGGAGCAAGCUUCGGGUUAGGAGAACUUGAUCCCGCAGGUACAAGCUUGGAGUAGACACCGACAGGCCGGGCUUCCUCCAAUCAACACCUCCACUCUAUCUCUCUCAAUCUAGUAGAAACUAGAAGAUCUAUUUCUACCUUACAUUGGUUGCUAAGCCUAAAAAGAAAUAUUAAUUAGAGAAGAGGUUUUCCUUCGAGGGCACCCCUCAGUCUCUAUGAUAAUUUCUUCAUGUCUCCUCCAGGGGCCAGGGGGGUCUCCUUAUAUAGUCCUCCCCUUCUAUGCAUUUUUGGGUCGAUAGGCGAGGUGGUACUAUGUUUUUCUUGAUCCAAUAGGUCGGUGGAACAUCCCGAGCAAAGAGAGUCCUGUUUGGCAUCCAACAGGGGGCGGGCGCCCAGGUCCUCAGGGCGGGCGCCCUGGGCCUGGCCCCGUUUCGCCUCCGCUUCGGUCUCGUGGCUUCUGAAGUCUUCUAGAUGGUAGAAAAUUGCGCGGUGCGUUGAUAUCUCUAUGUAAUCCCGACAUGUGGGCCUUUCUUCCUUAUUUCAUGAUAACCCCCUGCAGAAAUAGACAAACACCAAAACUCGUGGAAUUCUGUCAGAUAAAAUCCUAAGUCUAGAUGUUGAUUUCAUUUUGAUCCUUUUCUUUGUUUAUUUGAUAAUUAAAUUUGAUACUUAAGGACCGUCAACACGCCCCACUGAACCUCAUUCGAAUGGCUGACUCUCAAGAACCAAUCCUUCCAUCCCACAGUAGGACUGGACCAGGAACGGAAGGUAUCUUUCCACAGAUCUAGAGAAAAAUUCUCGGUUCUAAAGGGGAUUCUGUCUGUUUCUGUGUUGAUCAGAUCGGUGGGAUCUGGGUUCCCUAGCGGACCGAGAUAUUGGAGGUGUGGCUGAUCGGUAGGGAUGACAAUUUUAUUGAUCAGAUCCUAAUGGUUUUGGGGUAAAAAGAAGAACAAAAGAAAAAAAAGGAAGAAUGUUCAGUAAAAUAAAUUGCGGAUGAACAAGGAUAUGGUAAAAGUACAAGAGGUAGGGUGAUGAACUGACCUCGGGAACGGCAAAGUUGAUGGCCAUCUCCUCGUGAAGAAGAUGAUCGAAGACUUUGAGGUUGGUGAAGAAAGGUCUUUGUUGGAGUUCUUGGAGCUCUCGAACAGCGCCGCCGCCAGAAAAGUAAAGUUGGAGCUGUAGAAUGAUUCGAUGGAGAAGGAGUACCCGAGAAGGAGCUAUUUAUAGGACAAAACAGGCAAGGGCAAAUCUGACUUAUCUCUUUGCCGUAUCUGUAAAAUCUGAGAGUACUCAGGUGGAUAUGGUAACUGUUCGCACGGUAAUCCAGGGAUUGCGCAGGUGAUUUGAUAGGAAGCGGUCAUGAUCUAGAGAUAUCUUCACUGUGCGGGAUCUCCUGGUCGGUCCAUCGGCAGCGCCUUGUAACGGUAAUAUUGCCGAUGGGCGAAUAAAGUGGAGAUGUCCGUUUGGGAGGUUGAGAUAUUUCACUGUGCGGGAUUUCCUGGUCGGUCCAUCGGCAGUUCCUUGUAACGGUAAUAUUGCCGAUGGGCGAUUAAAGUGGAGAUGUCCGUUUGGGAGGUUGAGGAAUUCGAGAAAUCUGCGGAAGAAUUGGGCCAAGGUUGUUCAGAUUUAGGCUGUCGGUUGCCAAAUUGGGAAAAUUAAUUGCGGAAAGGCAUCAUUACUGAAGAGAAUUUCGGAGCAUUAAUGAUUUCAUACUCCGAAAUUGGGGGGCAUGUGUUGACAUCGUUUUUGGACACGUACCCAGGAUCGGUAGAGUGUGGAUUGGUAAGAUAGGGCAACAGUAACUGGUCUGCAGGAGAGUUGCCGAUGAGGGUGGUUGCCGAUGAAGGGACAGCUGAAUGUGACUAAGUCCAUGGGUGGUGAUGUGUUUAUACCGAUGGUCAGCAUUAACCUGUGCCGAUAGCUACGAUGAGGGGUCUGCCGAUGAUUCGGAAGAAGAACCAGAAGGUUGCCGAUUGACCUGUGGUGGUGUCCUAGUUUGUCACGGGAGGAUAGUUUUAUGUUUUCCUUAGUUAUUUAAAUCAUUUUGUAUACGGAUUCUGUUUAAUUUGGAAUUCGAGUUCUAGUCGUGUCUGAUUGUAGCUCUUUGAGUAGGGUAUAAAUAUAGACCCUAGGGCCUUGUAAUCGACAUAAUCAAUCAAUCAAACACAAGUUUUUACUCAUAUUCCAGCAUCUACUUUUUCGACGACUUCGUCAUUUUUUUCCUUUUCAUUACGAGUUCUUAGGAGUUCGUCGACUUAAGCUCGGCGUAUUCGCAAGUUCCACAUGAAUACCUCUUGGCCGUGGCAUCCGGGCGCAUCGCUGUUGUCAGGACAAAAGUAUUCGAGUUAUCACGUUUGCCGAUAGUAAGGUCAAAUCGGCUGGCACGCCUUAACAUUUGAAUCGGGUAUUAGCCCUUUGUGUUUGCAGAUCUAGCUUUUAUAUCAACAAUAGGGACAGGGGCUCGUACUACACCCAAAAUGGUUCAGCCCCUCCGCCCUUUCGGGUAACCUCUAACAAGGUAGAAAAGGUCUUCAUACUGAGCUAAAGCCAGAGCCAUUAUAGCCCUCAUGGUUGCACUGUUAUCUCGGGUGAUCACGUACAGACAAGAUCUCAUACAGUUAUUUGUAUAGCUAUUAAUCAUCUUACAAGAUAAUGGAUUAUAUCAAGCACUAGCACAUCUACACCAAAUGCAUAUCAAGUAGGUAGCAAGGAAUCCAGGUAACAAUCAUCUAUGAUUUUGCUAAGGUCAACAAGGUGAAAGCAUGCAUAUGAUAUAUAUGUGUAUUUAUAAGUGAAUAGGUAACAAGGAUGAUCCCAAGUUAUACUUGACUUGAUCAAAGCUCUCCUGAACCUGCUGGUCUUCAAAGGCUUGGUCUUGAUCACCAACGUACGGCUCACCGUCUAUUCCCAAACAUCAAUCAACAACAUGCAAUCCAAUGUAGACAAUUAUACACAAAGCAAACAAGCUAUAAUUAGAACAUUACACCAAACAGUGGUAAAACAAAGAUAAAAGUUUAUGAAAAUAUUCUACGCAGCGCUACGAUCACACAAACGUAAAGUUCACGAAAAUCAGAAUUAAAACAUAGAAGAUAUUAAUUUUCUAAGAUUUCCUAUAGAGAAAUAAUUAAUUAAAUGCUACUGCAGAAUUAAAAAGUUUCAAAAUAGUAAACUAAUAUUUCUAACAUGUAGAUCUCGUGAAUAGGAAUCUAACGAAAUUUGAAUGGACAAAAACGGAGUUAAAAUGAGUAUUUUAUGAGCAAACUAAACCCAAUGGCAAAACUGUAAUUACUGGAAAACGCCUUUUCACUAGAACCGACGACUUGAAACACGUAAACUAGAAAAUACGUAAAGGACCGCGGGUUCAAUAAUAAAGAAACGCAGGGGCUCUUUAGCAAAAUAAAUAUCGAAAGGGUAUCUUUGUUUGUGGGUCGUUGAUCCUCGAUCUGACGGCUGGGAGCGCUUGGGGCUCUACCGUGGCCGGCGGCCGGCCGGACGCAGGCACCGGUGCGGUGGCGCCAUGGCCGCCGCCGUGUACUUCGCCGGCGUCCGCGGGUUUCUCCAUCCUGUGCACCAAAUCGAGAGGCAAGACCAUGGGCGCGUGGAGGAGGAGAAGGCGAGCUCACCACGGGGAUUGGCUCGGGCCGAGGACAACCAGGGCGCUCGUGUCGCGGUGAGUGAAGAUGCUCGGCUCGGCGAGAUCUCAAAGGUGUAGAUGAAGGCGGCUCGGGCUUCCUAGAGCACGGCAGAUAGCAAACAGGUGUCUCUGGGAGUUCCUAGGGCCUUUAUAGGGCUUGGCACACGGGAUAGGAAGUUGAGCACGGGGUUUUCGGGAUCCGGCUCAGAGCUAGGGGAAAGAAUCCGCCCCGGAUACGACGAGGAAGAAGGCACUGCGCGCGGGGUCGGGAUGUCAGCGGGGAAAAGAGGGGGCCUGGCUGUCAGCCAGCAGAAGGAGGAGGAGGUGCGGCGCGCGUGGCCUCUUCGGCUUGGGCCGGCUUGGUGAGCUGCGGUGGGGGAAAAGAAAACCAGGGGGUGGGGGAGAGGGACUGGCCUCGGCCGAUUGGGCCACCAGGCCGAGAGCAGGUGGCUCUCUUACUUUUUUUUCUAUUUUAUUUUCCAAAUAAUUUUUUUCCAAGAGAGUUUUGGGCAAGACAAUUAAAGAUAUAAACAGAAACAGCAAAUCACAAAAAUACUAUGCCCCAGCAUGAAUGCAAAACAUGUUUCUAAACUUAUGAUAAAUUUUAUUUUCCACAAAAAUUAUUAAAGUGCUAAAUUUAAAUGCUCACAAAAAUACAUAAAUAAAUCCAAUUAAAUCCUAUUAAUUCAAAAUCAAAGUUUGGGUGUUACAAACUCUACCCCCUUAAAAGAAUCUCGUGCUCGAGAUGGAACGGUGCUUACUCAAACAGAUAUGAAUAUGAUUUCCUCAGAUCAUCCUCUCUUUCCCAAGUUGCCUCUACCUCGGAAUACCGAUUUCACUGCACUUUGCACAUUCUAAUAACCCGACUUCUAAUGACUCUCUCAGCUGUCUCCAAAAUUCGGACCGAAUACUCUUCAUAAGUGAGAUCACCCUUAACAGAAAGCUCUUCCAAUGGUAUUUGCUCCUCGGGUACACGCAAACACUUCUUAAGUUGUGACACAUGGAACACAUCAUGCACACCAGAUAAACUUUCAGGCAAUUCUAACUGAUAUGCUACUUCUCCAUGCCUUUCGAAUACUUUAAACAGAACAACAUACCUUGGAGCUAGCUUUCCCUUCAUAUUAAACCUCUUCACACUCCUCAUUGGUGAUACUUUUAGGUAGACAUAAUCACCCACUUCAAAAACCAGCUUUUCCGACGAGAUUGGGCAACUCUCAAGUUAUCCUGAAUAGUCCACACUUGUUGUUCUGCAUGUCUAAGCACAUCUGUACCAAACACCUGAGUCUCUCCUGUCUGAUUCCAAAACAAAGGUGUCCUGCACUUACGACCAUACAGUGCCUCAAAUGGUGCCAUCUUAAGACUCUGUUGAUAGCUGUUGUUGUAGGAGAAUUCUGCAUAUGGCAAACUCUUGUCCCAACUAGUACCAUACUGCAAAGCACAAGCUCUCAACAUAUCCUCCAGUAUCUGAUUGAUCCUCUCAGUCUGUCCAUCUGUCUGUGGAUGAUAUGCUAUACUAAAAUUCAACUUUGUUCCCAAUGAAUCGUGCACUGCUUUCCAAAAGUGAGAUGUAAAUUGAGUACCCCUAUCUGACACAAUCUUCUUAGGUACUCCAUGCAAACAAACAAUUCUCUCCAUAUACAGCUCAGCCAGGCGUUCUCCGGUGUACUUAGUUUUAACAUGUAUGAAGUGAGAAACUUUAGUCAAACGAUCUACUAUCACCCAUAUGAGUCAUACCCGCUCUGUGUACAUGGUAAACCCACUAUAAAAUCCAUACCCACUUCUUCCCACUUCCAUUCCAGAAUCUUCAUUGGUUGCAAUAGUCCAGCUGGCCUCUGAUGUUCAGCUUUCACUCGCUAACAAGUAUCACAUAUAGCAACAUAUUCAGCCACAUCUCUCUUUAAGCCAUACCACCAGUACUUCUGUUUCAGAUCUAGAUACAUCUAAGUGCCACCAGGGUGAAUGGAAUAUGCUGACUCAUGAGCCUCUCUCAGAAUCAUAUCACGAAUAGCCUUCACUUCAGGAACACAUAUCCUUUUUCCAAACCACAGUACACCAUUAUCAUCUAUUUUGAAUCCUGGUGCUUUGCCUAGUACCACAUUCUGUGCUAUCUCCUUUAGUUUCUCAUCUUCCAACUGUCCUUUCAAUAUCUCUUCCUCUAGAGUAGGAGUGACCUCAAUUUCCAUCGCAUUUACUACAAUUCCCAUGUUCAAAUAUGCAAAUUCAGCACACAACUCCUCAGAUUCAGUUGUCGCCCGAAGCUCAUUAGCAUAUUUCUUUCUGCUAAGUGCAUCAGCCAUGACGUUCGCCUUUCCAGGAUGAUAAUGUACUUCCAAAUCAUAAUCCUUUAUCAGUUCCAACCAUCUUCGUUGCCUCAAGUUCAGAUCCGUCUGGGUGAAGAUAUACUUCAAACUCUUAUGAUCAGUAUAUAUGUCACUCUUAUGCCCAAUCAAGUAGUGUCUCGAAAUCUUCAAUGCAUGAACCACAGCUGCUAAUUCUAGAUCAUGAGUAGGAUAAUUCAGUUCAUGUUUCCUCAACUGUCUAGAUGCAUAAGCAACAACCCUACCUUCUUGCAUAAGAACACAACCCAAACCCAGACGAGAAGCAUCACAAUAGAUAGAGAAACUCUUACUCAAAUCCGGCAAUACCAACACAGGUGCAGUAGUCAAUCUCUUCUUAAACUCUUCAAAACUAGCCUGACACUUAUCAGACCAUACAAACUUAGCAUUAUUCUCCAACAGAGCAGUCAUAGGCUUUGCAAGUUUUGAGAACCCCUCAAUGAAUCUAUGAUAGUAACCAGCUAAACCAAGAAAACUGCGAAUUUCACUUACAUCUGUAGGUGGUUUCCAGUUCAGCACAUCUUUCACCUUACUAGGAUCCACUGCAAUACCACCAUUAGAGACAACAUGACCAAGAAAAGAAACUUCUUCCAACCAAAACUCACAUUUACUACGCUUAGCAUACAGCUUAUGUUCUCUAAGUUUCUGUAAGACCAAUCUCAGAUGUUCAGCAUGUUCUUCCUUGGUUUUAGAGAAUACCAGAAUAUCAUCAAUAAAGACCACCACAAACUUAUCAAGGUACUCCAUAAAUACUUUAUUCAUCAUGUACAUAAAGUAAGGUGGUACAUUGGUCAAACCAAUAGACAUAAUUGUAUACUUAUACAACCCAUACCUUGUUGUGAAAGUUGUCUUUGGUAUAUCUGAAUUCCGAAUCUUCAAUAGAUGAUAACCAGAACGCAAAUCAAUCUUAGAGAACACACAAGCACCUCUUAGCUGAUCAAACAAGUCAUCAAUCCUAGGCAAGGGAUAUUUAUUCUUGAUAGUGACCUCAUUAAGUGACCGAUAAUCAACACACAUCCUCUGACUACCAUCCUUCUUAUCAACAAAGAUAACUGGUGCACCCCAUGGUGAUGAACUAGGACGAACGAACCCUUUAUCUUGCAAUUCCUUAAUUUGUUUCUUAAGUUCUUCUAGUUCAUUAACCCUCAUUCUAUAUGGUCUUUUAGCUAUGGGUACAGUACCAGGUAGUAAUUCAAUAAUAAAUUCAAUGUCUCGGUGAGGUGGCAUACCUGGCAAUUCAUCUGGAAAGACAUCCAGAAACUCAUCCACUACAAGAUUCUGAGGAUCAACAUCAUCAUUCAGUUGGUUCACUUUAACUGUGAGUGGUGCUUGCACUGUUACAUCAACACUGAUUCGUUCUCCCUUUGGGGUUGUCAGAGCCACUACUCUCUCCUUGCACUUAAUAUCUGUGUCAUAUUGCUUCAUCCAAUCCAAACCCAAGAUCACAUCUAUGCCUAAAGUUCUCAUAACCAUGGGACUGAUAGAAAAAUCUACCCCCCUUAAAGAAUGACUUGCUGAGGGGCAACAAUAAGAAACUGGUAUAGUCCCACCCGAUGAAUUAACUAGCAUAGGGGUUUUCAUGGCAACUAGUGGAAUGCUAUGAACUCUAACAAAUGCUUGUGAAAUGAAUGUAUGCGAAGCUCCAGAAUCAAAUAAAACUGUAGCAGGGAUAGAGUUGAUACUGAACGUACCCAUCAUAAUCUCUGGUCCCUCCUAAACAGUCUCUGUAGCCACAUUAUUCACUGUUACCGCAUAAGCAGUAGACUUCUGGUUGUUGUUCGGCUGGUUGAGCUUCUCCGGGCAAUCAUAUGACAUAUGUCCCUCUUUCCCACAACAAAAACGCCUUGUAGGAGUGUUCGAAGCACUUCUUUUCAUGGAGGUAGCAUUUGAAUUCCCUGAGCGGGGUGUUUGCUGACCAUGCUGCUGUUGAUUAUGGUUAUGUUGUUGGAAUGGAGGACGUUGGUUCCCACUCUGUGAUUGAUUAUGGGAACGCUGGGGUUGCUGGUUGCAGUUCCACUGACUAACUGGUCCCUAGAACCUCUGCUAAUAGCCUUGCUGAGAACAGAAACGCUGACGGUUGUUGCUCCUAGAACCUUGUGCUAGCAUCCUUCUCUUCUUAUCCUGCCCCUUGCGCAUGUUGUCCAACACUAUAGCCCGAUUCACCAGAGCUUGAAAGGUAGGAUAAGUGUUUCCUGCCUGCUGCAACCUGAGUUCAUAGUUGUCGGCGUCUAGACUCGUCGUCUAGACACAAACGAGUAUAAGUAUGCGUGUCUCCCUAACCCGGAUGGUGAUGCAAGUGGAACACAGAGAGUUUAUACUGGUUCGGGCUAAGGAUGCCCUACGUCCAGUGUGAGAUCGGGGGUCUGUAUUGCCUUGCACCCAAAGGUGCUUGUAGCAGGGGUGUACAAGCAGGUUGCGAGAGAGGGCUAAGUCCCAAGUCUUGACUUUGUGGUGGACAGAACGCUACUUGCUACUCUAUGGGUGAACUCGCUUGGAGUUGUGGUAUAUGGGUUGAGUCUUGGUUGUUGAUUGUCGUGUCUUGGAUGUGAGCCCUGGCUCCCCUUUUAUAGUCUCAAGGGCACACAGGGUUUUACAUGUGUGACUGGUGAUCUUCCUCUGAUGAGUGGUGAAGCUACAGUCCCGACCUUGUUGAGACUUGCCCAUCCCGUCCUUGAGGUAUGGUUGACAGCAUGGUUGCUUCUGUGGAGGGUCGAUGAGCCCUGCUAAGGUCAUGGGGGUCGGAUCGGUGAUACUACAGCUUGUCCUGUAACUGUGGGAGAAGACAGCUAAUAGUGACACUGGUUAAUCCCUCCCAUUCCUCUUUUACUGUGAGGCGGUACACCACAGUGAAAGAGGUAAGGUUGCACAGUGAAAGAGGUAAGGCUACAGUGAAAGAGGUAAGGCUACAGUGGUCGUGGUGGUUGGAAUAGUCGCCACCAUGCCCUACUGUGGUAUGGGGGUCACUGCGUCUGUCACGUCGUGGGUACGGGCGCCGUGUGUUGGAAGCCUGGCUCCGAGACGGGGGCUCGGGCGAGGCGGUGUUGGCGCCCGAGCCCAAGAGGGGUCGGGCAAGGCGGAACUUGCGCUCGAGGCCAAGGGGGUCGGGCGAGCCGUGACUUGCGCCCGAGGCCAAGGGGUCGGGCGAGCCGUGGCUUGAGCCCGAGGCUAAGGGGUCAGGCGAGCCGGGGCCCGCGCCCUGGUUAUCGUGGCUGGUUUGCUUUGUCUUUUGCGAUUUUUAUUUAUUCUGAUCUGGGUAUCCCUUUUUAUGGUACCCAACAGUAGCCCCCGAGCCUUUGAAGGGGUGAAGGCACCCCUUCAAAGGUUAUCUUUUUAAGGGACAAUUUUGUUGACUCGGAGCUUUUUACUUUCUCCGGAGGGUGCGCGCGAGCGCACACGCCGGGUGUAGCCCCCGAGCCUUUUGGAGGAAUGGUGUUAUUCCUUCAAAGGCUUUUACCCCUGAGUGUUGUAGUUGGGAGUAUUUGAGGGAUAGGUUGUGUGUUCUUUACAUGUAGUGCCUGUUCCCAUCGUGCGAGGAAGCCCCCGAGCCUUUUCCCCACAAGGGUCGACCAGGUUCUUUCUCGUCUUGUAGUUACGUCCCUCAUUCAUCCUUUCUCUCGGAGGUGGGGUGGGUAGCGCCGUACUACCCUCGACGGGCGACUAUCGACGUUCCCCGGGAGCUGCAAGCGGGUAAACCCAAGUGGAUGUCCGAGUCCCAUUCGAUAGGGGUCGGCUGGUGGCCCUAUGGGCACAUCUCAAAAUACCCGAGGGCAGUCACGGUGGAUGUCGGAACCGUUCGCUAGGUUCCGAGGGCUCGGUGCCUCCCUCGAUGGGAUCCCACUCGCGUGACACCCGCAUGGGUCUCGGAUAUGACUAGCAAAGAUGCGCCGAUCCCCUAGGUGGGUCGGACCAUGGCCUCUAUUGUGCUCAUCCUAAGUCAUCCCUCGCUCGGUCAUCCUGAGGCAACUGUUCAAACCAACUUAGUGGGUCAGUCUCGCAACCCCUGGAACGUAGGUGGCCAUGGCCUGGAGAUUCUUACCUCAAAAGGUUUUAGUUUGACUAUAGCAUCGGGGUCGGGUGAGACGGAAUAUGCGCCCGACGGGAACGGUUCGCCUUGCAAUUCUGCUCGGGGUUAGCAGGGCGUCAGGCGAGACGGAGUCUGCGCCCGACGGAGACCACCCUGCGACUCUGAUCAGUAGGGGGUCGGGCGCCGCUUGUCCUGGAAGGAACCGCCCUGACAUAACUUUUCAGGGCGCCCCUUUUGAGGCGACUUGCGUGGGGAGUCGAAACGGCCGUGCCGUUGUGCCCUGACUGGAUGUGACGCUUCACCUGCGAAAUUAAUGCGCGCGUGCGGCAGGCGUGCAAAUUGGGGGAAGUGAGUGCUUCGAGUUUUUCACCUGGUUAGGGAGCGGGCGACGGUUGCUCUUUUCCCCCUUGAUCUUCGGUGAGAGAGGUGUGGCCGCGGCGUGCUCGUUCUAUAAAAGCAGCCGCGGGGGCUCUGAUUUCAUUCCUCAUGCUCUCGCGCAAAAAAGCUCUUGCCUCCUGUUCUCCUUGCCACCGUCUUCUCCACUCCACCCCGCAAGCACCCUACUCUGCUCGCAGCCAUGGCCGGCGACGAUGCGUGGCCCCCCCAGCAACGUGACAAGGUCCGCGCUGGACGCGCGCGUGAAGGGCGGGCUCCUCUGCCCCAUCACUGAUGUCGGGUCGCCGGAGUGGAUCGCUCCCCCGGUGAGCGACAGGGAGCCGAACCCGCCUCCGGGCUAUGUGGUCUGCUUCCUGUCGUUCCUGGACCGGGGGUUUGGAACUCCCGCCGCCGGCUCAUCCGGGCGAUUCUCCACUACUACGGGGUGGAGCUGCACAACCUCAACCCCAACUCGGUGAUGCAGGGGGCCGUCUUCGCCACGGUGUGCGAGGGGUUCCUGGGGGUCCCUGCCCACUAGAACCUCUGGCUUCACCUCUUCAAGGCUGACAUGUCCGCCCGCUACGAGGGAGGGGAGAAGAUUCCCCUGCGGGUCGGCGGUUGCACGCUGUAGCUCCGCUAGGCGCGGUCCCACCUGUAUAUCUGGAGUGUGAUGCCCUCAUCGAACCGGGGGUGGCAGAGCGGAUGGUUCUACCUCCGGAACGACAGCGGGCUGCUCCCGGGGUACACCGAGAAAAUGGUGACGGAGUGCCCAAAGAAGUGGGCGUGGGGCGCCCCUACGAAGGAGCAGAAGAGGCUCGGCCCCCUUCUUGCAGGGCUCAAGAAGCUGCGUGAUGCCAGGGUCAUUGCGGCCAUGGUGGCGACGGCGUUCCAUAAGAGGAGCUUGCUCCCGCUGGCACAGCGGUGGGCGUUCAUGUUUGAGAUGACCCGGGAUGUCCCCUGGGUCGGGACGCGGAUGUUGGAGGCGCCGGUGUCGGCGACGAAGAUAGCCUCCCAGGUCUCGAGGACCACGCACCCGGAUCUGAAGGAUUCCUUAGUGGUGCCAAUGCGCCCUGAGAAGGGCUACAUUUCUCUAGUAAGACAUCGCUUUUGUUUUUGAUUUUGCGCUUGUUCCUUUACCUCCCUGCCUUAGUCCAUAUUGCUGCUCGUUUGCAAGGGAUGGGGAUUGUCAAGGACUCCCUGCCCCCUGUCCCAGAGGACAAGGAGCUCCGAGCCAAAAAUCGGGCCCGAAACGAGGAGCAGAAGAAGGCGAAGGAGGACAAGAAGGCGAAGAGCGCGAGAAAAGCGCAGCGCCGCGAGAUCUCCGCCAAGAAUCACCGCGAGGCCGAGAAGGCGGGGCUCCCUCCGCCCGACUCUCCCGACUUCAGUCUCGGAGAUAGAGGGCGGGGGAGACAACGCGCAUUGGCUCGACGAGCUCGAGGAGGAGGAGGACGAUGUGACCCCCCUGUCGGCGGGUGGAUCGAGAUCCCGGAGGGGUCAAAGGCCCGAGGGGAGUCGGUGGCUCCCGAGGGGUCCCAAGCACCGGGGGGCGGACGGAUCGCCCCCCAUAUCAUCGUGGACGACGAAGAGGACAGCGCCCCAUGAGAGGGUUCUGUCCCCUCGGGUCCCUAGGAGGGGGAAAAGGUGCCGGGGAGCGGAUCCAAAGUGCCCCCACAGCCGGUGGUGCCGGAGGGUCCGUCCGAGCCCCGCCCAGUGUACGGGGCAGAGGCAGGAGGCUCGGUUGAGGCGCCGUGGGCUGAGACCACCGUCGAAGCCCCCGCGGCAACCGUUGGGGAGUUGGGGGUCCAUCCGACAGCCCCUGGCGCUUCAAGAGCCUCCCAGGGAGCUCCAGGCUCCCAGAAGAAGGCUGCCCCCCGAGCGAGGUAUAUUUUAGUUUUUUUAUCUCUCUUUUGACUUUUUGUUUUUCUCUUUCUUCUAACUGGGGUUAUUUCCUCAUCAGCCGGAAGCACAAGGUGGCUUCAGUGGGGCUUGCACCCCCUGAAGGCCGUGAAGAGGGGGGCGCAGUCGACCCCUGGGUCGGCGAGGCCCAAGUCGCCGCCCCCCUGAGCCGCGAAAAGGGAGAGCUCCCCCACGACGAAGGGGGCAGGAGACUGGGGAGAAGAUGCCAGAUCCCCUAGCGAAGGAGGUGGGGACGCCGAAGCCCCAGGAGCCAGAGGGGACGGUCCUGGCCCUCGGGGCUAUUCCCCCGUCGAGGGAUGCUAGCCAAGAGGGUCAAGGUCGGCCUAAACAGGCCGAGGGGGGCCGGGUCGAGGGGGCGCCCGACCUGAGGCCCGUGCAAGGGAGGGGGGUGGGAGAAUGGCCUGGGGCCAGAGUCCCGUGGUCUGGCCCAACCCUGACGAUCCAGAGGGGAGGGCUAGAUUCAUGUUGGACGACCCGUCAGAGGCCUAUCUCUGGCGGGGCCUUGAAGAGUGCGGGCGCGCCAGCGUCGAGGCGCUCAACCGAGCGUCCGAGCUCGUGAGCCGCGACCUGUUCAAGUUCGCCCAGGUAAAGUCUCUAUUGAGGUGUUUUGCAUCUUUGGGCUAAUUCUUUGCAUAACACCUGAAUUCGCAGGCGCUCCAAGCCGCUUCCUUGGAGAAGUCGACGUUCCUCCGUGGGGAGCGGGACGCCAGGGUGGCUUGCGAUGAUGAGAAGGCUGCACGUGAGGCGGCCGAGGGGAACUCGCGAAGGAAUGCGAGGUCUCUGCCGAGCUUCGGCAGAAGUGCUCAGCCCUCGCGGCUGAGGCACGGCAAGCCCAGGAGAGUGUUGCUCCCUUAGGAAAAAGGGUUAGCGACCUCACCGUGGAAUCCCAAGAGCAGAGGGCCACCGCCGAGAGGUAUAAGGGCGAUGUCGCUCGGCUAGAAGCUCUGAUCGCCGAGAAAGACCUAUCCCAGGUUGACCUCUCUGCUGCUCAGGGCGAGGUGGUCCAUUGGCACCGGAGCUCGGCGGAAAAUGAGAAGCGAGCCGAGGGUAAGAACUGAAUCUUCUACCUUGGCUCUUUUGUAUUGGGAUUGGUUUUCCUGACUCGGCUCUCAUCCUGUUUUUCAACAGAGCUUUUGUAUUGGGAUUGUUCUCAUCCUGUUUUUCAACAGAGCUGGAGAAGAAGAUGGCUGAGGCACCCUCUGCCACUGACGCCUUGCAAAAGUCCCUCGACGCCGAGGUCGCGAACCACUCGGCUCUGGAAGCCUUGGUCGCCUCGGCAUGCAAGGGGCUCGGGGUAUCGGUGGGCGCAUCGGGGUUGUCACGGUGGAGCCGGAUCGAGGCUCUCUACUCCCGGGCCGGGGAGAGGAUGAGGGAGGCACUCCAUGCCGGGGUGAAGAAGGCCUUGGCGGUGGUGAGUGUUGACGGUUCUUAAGUAUCAAUUUUAAUUAUCAAAUAAACAAGAGAAAGGACCAAUAUGCAACCAACACCUAGAAUUAGGGUUUGAUCUGACAGAAUUCCACGAGUUUUGUUGUUUAUCUGUUUCUGCAGGGGGUUAUCAGGAAAUAAGGAAGAAAGGCCCACAUGUCAGGAUUACAUAGAGAUAUCAACGCACCGCACGAUUUUACAUCAUCUAGAAGACUCCAGAAGCCACGAGACCGAAGCGGAGGCGAAACAGGGCCAGGCCCAGGGCGCCCGCCCUGGUAGCCUGGGCGCCCGCCCCCCUCUGGAGCCAGAUCAGGACUCUCUUCGCUCGGGAUAUUCCACCGACCUAUUGGAUCAAGAAAAACAUAGUACCACCUCGCCUAUCGACCCAAAAACGCAUAGAAGGGGAGGACUAUAUAAGCAAGGCACCUGGCCCCUGGAGAAGACAUGAAGAAAUUAUCAUAGAGACUGAGGGGUGCCCUCGAAGGAAAACCUCUUCUCUAAUUAAUAUUUCUUUUUAGGCUUAGCAACCAAUGUAAGGUAGAAAUAGAUCUUCUAGUUUCUACUAGAUUGAGAGAGAUAGAGUGGAGGUGUAGAGUGGAGGAAGCCCGGCCUGUCGGUGUCUACUCCAAGCUUGUACCUGCGGGAUCAAGUUCUCCUAACCCGAAGCUUGCUCCUAGGAUUCUUCAGUAAUUCGACUUCUAAAUUCUAGUAAGUUCUUGUUUUAUUGUUCUUAUGGUUUAUGAGUUUACUUUAAUCUCUUCGCGUAGAGUUUAGAGUAAUCAUUGCUGGCGUAAACGUGGUGUUUAGGCUGGGGUACUCAUAGAUAUUCCCUGACUAGCUGGACCGUGGUAGUAGUGAGGAACGUGACAAUUCCGAGCUACCUUUGUAGAUCACAUCUCGUUAGCAGGAAGGAUAGGGUUUGUAGGUGCGGGUUGAACAUCCUUUGUGGUGUCUAGAUUCCGUUAGCCUCCCCAUUAGAACAGUAGAUCAUCCUUACCAAGGUUAGAAGGAGACUACGGUUGCAGUCAUCUCUAUUUAUCACUCACAUCGAAAGACAUUCUUUAUGCCUAAAGGUUAGUAGUAAUAGACCGGUUAGUCAGAUGCACUCUUUCUCCUAGUGGUAAAAAAAAUAAAUACGAUACUCUGGAUAAUUUCCCGGGUGAAGUGCUCACCGAUAUCCGUGCGCUUGCGGAUCAAUUCCUUAUUGCGCUCCCAAAUAUCAACAAGCAUUUCUGGCGCCGUUGCCGGGGAGAAAGACGGUUGCUGAGAUAACCUGUGUCUUACUAUUAGCUUGUAUCUAUACUUUUAUAUUUUCUUAUCUUUUAUAUCCUUUAUUUAUUUUCUUUAUGCUUACCUUAUGGAAAACCAAAAUUCUAAAUCGAUCCAUGAGUCUGCAAUCCCUUUAGCAACUGACCUUUUACCAUGGGAAUCAUCACAGCCUAUCCAAACAUCCCAGUAUAAGUUAAGUUCUAGGUUGAUUGCCAUGAUUCAAAACAUAUCUUUUUCGGGAAAGGAAGACGAAAACCCUUACCUUCAUAUUAGAGAUUUUGAGCAAACAUGUGAUUGUCUUCGCAUUGAAGGCAUUUCUGAUAAAACUUUACGUUGGAAGCUUUUUCCUUUUUCUUUAAGGGGAGAAGCUAGACAAUGGUACAGUCAGAAGGUAAGUCAACAACAAGGUGAAUGGGGAGUUUUACGAGCCAACUUUUGUCUAGAUUUCUAUUCCCUUGACCAUAUAGCCGACCUUAGACUCGAAGUCCUAUCUUUUAAACAAAAAGAUAAUGAAACUUUGGGAAAAUCCUAGAAACGUUUUUCUAAUCUUUUAGAAUCUGGUCCAAACCUUAAUCUUGAAGACCCUGUUCUUUUAUUCCACUUUUUUCGAGGUCUUCAGAAAAAUCACAAACAAAUGCUUCACACAAUGUCUAGAGGUUCUUUCUUUCGCAUCCCUGCUGAUGAAGCUAGAGUGAUCCUAGAUAGAAUCCUAGAAGCUGAGAUGGAUAAUACCCUUCAUGAUGAAACCUACGAAGCCGAAGUAGACACUCUGCCAAAUUCUUCAUCUACUUUAGCUAUCCCAAGUUCUGAGCCACAAGAGGAAGAAAUUCCACUACCGGACUUCAUGCUGGAUAUAGAAUCCGAUCUUUUUGCCGAUUUUGGAAAUAUUUCAAACUACCAUUCUAUUGACAAACCCCAAAACGGUCAGUUUAGCAUUUAUUUGCCAAGUGAAUAUCAAUUGAGAGAGCUUAUCUCAGUAAUGAGUAGCGAAUGGUUGGAGGAAUCAGAGCUUUCCUCUGAUGUGAUCCGUUUGGACACACCCUCUAUAACUAUACGCUGUGCUUAUAAUUCUGAUCGAUUUAAUGCUCUUUAUAAUCCUGUUGUGGGAUCAACAUUAUGUCUGAAUCCUUUGCACUUAAACUAUUUAAAAAUCUUGUCUUAACCCCCACAACAAAGGUCAUAAUGGAAUCUUCAGGACGAUUAGUCCCCAGUCUUGGAAUUAUUAAUGUCCUACCUCUUACAGUAGAAGGCUCCAUGGUUCAUUUGAACUUCUAUAUCUUUGAUACAUGGGACUUCGACCUGUUGAUAGGACAACCUUUUAGAAGACUCCUUUAUGAAGGUCAUACUGGAAAGCUACACAUUUCUUUUGGAAAAACUUUUAAAUUCCCAAUAAUAAUUUCACACUCCUUAAACAAUAAGGCCGAGUCAUAUCUUUUGCCUAAUCCUAUGGAGGAAGUAAAGGCUGCAUCUCUAGAGCUUUUAGAUGAACCAGACUUAGAAGACGAAAUUCCUUUCUUCACGGAAGAAGAAGACGAACCUUCCGAGCCUGAACCCUUAGAUGAGUUUGCAGAAACACAUAGACCUCCCAUAGAGCUUAAAACUUUACCACCCGGUCUUACCUAUGCUUUCCUAAACAAUAAUCCAGAGUUCCCUGUAAUCAUUAGCGAUAAACUCACUCAGGAUCAAACUCUGCGAUUAAUGACCAUUAUGGAGAAACAUCACUCAGUUUUUGGCUACUCACUUCAAGAUCUUACAGGAAUUAGUCCUAUGAUUUGUACCCAUCGUAUUCCAACAGAUCCUUCUGUUACACCCUCUCGAGAACCCCAACGUAGACUUAACAACACUAUGAGAGAGGUAGUUAAAAAAGAAGUUAUAAAGUUGCUGCAUGCAGGGAUUAUAUAUCCUGUACCGCACAGUGAGUGGGUGAGCCCAGUGCAAGUUGUGCCAAAAAAGGGAGGCAUGACAGUUAUUAUGAAUGAAAAGAACGAGCUAAUUCCGCAACGCACCGUCACAGGAUGGCGGAUGUGCAUAGACUAUAGAAAACUAAACAAAGCCACGAGAAAGGAUCAUUUUCCUUUACCUUUUAUAGAUGAGAUGCUAGAGCGGUUAGCAAACCAUUCAUUCUUCUGUUUCUUAGAUGGAUACUCAGGGUAUCACCAAAUCCCGAUCCAUCCUCAUGAUCAAAGCAAAACCACUUUUACAUGCCCUUAUGGAACUUAUGCUUACCGUAGAAUGUCUUUUGGGUUAUGUAAUGCACCAGCUUCUUUUCAAAGAUGCAUGAUGUCUAUAUUUUCUGAUAUGAUUGAAGAGAUUAUGGAAGUUUUCAUGGAUGAUUUCUCUGUUUAUGGAAAAACUUUUGAUAGUUGUCUUGAAAACUUAGACAAGGUUUUGCAAAGAUGUGAAGAAAAGCACUUAGUCCUUAAUUGGGAAAAAUGUCAUUUUAUGGUUAGAGAAGGAAUAGUGCUAGGACACUUAGUGUCUGAAAGAGGGAUUGAGGUAGACAAAGCUAAAAUUGAAGUAAUUGAACAACUACCUCCACCUGUGAAUAUAAAAGGAAUUCGAAGCUUUCUUGGCCAUGCUGGUUUUUAUCGUAGAUUCAUAAAAGAUUUUUCAUUUAUUGCUAGACCACUUACUCUUUUGCUAGCCAAGGAUGCUCCUUUCGAAUUUGAUGAUGCAUGUUUAACAUCUUUCAAUUUAUUAAAAAAAGCACUCAUCUCUGCACCAAUCAUUCAACCCCUUGAUUGGUCAUUGCCUUUUGAAAUUAUGUGUGAUGCUAGUGAUUAUGCUGUGGGGGCAGUAUUGGGACAAACUAAAGAUAAGAAGCAUCAUGCAAUUGCUUAUGCCAGUAAAACUUUGACAUGAGCUCAACUUAAUUAUGCAACCAUUGAAAAAGAGCUUCUGGCUGUUGUCUUUGCCAUAGAUAAAUUUAGAUCUUAUUUAGUUGGAGCUAAAAUAAUUGUUUACACUGAUCAUGCUGCAUUAAAAUAUUUGCUCACUAAAAAGAUGCUAAACCUCGCCUAAUUAGAUGGAUUUUAUUACUCCAAGAAUUUGACUUAGAAAUAAAAGAUAAAAAGGGAGUAGAAAAUUCUGUUGCUGAUCACUUGUCUAGAAUGUAUUUUAAGAGUCCACAGGAAACCCCCAUCAAUGAUUCACUCCGGGACGACAUGCUCUACGGGAUUAACAGGUCUGACCCCUGGUAUGCAGAUAUUGUUAAUUUUAUGGUUUCAGGGUAUGUACCACCAGGAGCAAACAAGAAGAAGCUUAUUCAAGAAAGUCGUUCACAUAUAUGGGAUGAGCCAUACCUCUUCCGAGUAUGCUCUGACGGCUUACGCAGGAUAUGUGUGACCACUGAGGAAGGAUGGAAGAUCAUCGACAGAUGUCAUUCAUCACCAUAUGGAGGUCACUUUGGAGCAUUUCGUACACAUUCAAAGAUCUGGCAGUGUGGAUUCUACUGGCCUACAAUGUAUGAAGACACGAAGAAAUAUAUCAGAAGAUGUGGGCCAUGUCAAAGGCACGGAAACAUAAAUACAAGGGAUGCAAUGCCACUCACCAACAACCUUCAGAUUGAGCUCUUUGAUGCCUGGGGAAUAGACUACAUGGGUCCAUUUCCUCCAUCAAAGAAGUGUGAGUACAUCUUGGUGGCAGUUGACUAUGUCUCCAAGUGGGUAGAAGCAUUACCUUGCAAGCAUGCCGACAACGUCAGUUCAAAGAGGAUGUUUGAAGAAAUUAUAUUUCAAAGAUUUGGAGUCCCCAGAGUAGUGAUAAGUGAUGGAGGAGCACACUUCAUCGACAAACGCUUCAAGCAAUAUCUAUCAAGACAUGGAAUUCGUCACAACGUCGCUACCCCCUAUCAUCCUCAGACAAGUGGCCAAGCAGAGACUUCCAACAAACAAAUCAAGAAUAUUCUUCAGAAGACAGUAAAUGAAAUGGGAACGGCCUGGAAAGACAAGUUACCCGAUGUACUCUGGGCAUACUGGACAGCAUACAAGACCCCAAUCGGAAUGUCUCCAUACCAAUUGGUGUACGGGAAGACUUGCCACCUACCUGUUGAACUAGAGUUCAAAGCACACUGGGCCAUAAAGAGAUGGAAUAUGGACCUAGAUGUUGCUGGAGAUUAUAGAAGAAUGCAACUAUCAGAAUUGGAAGAAUGGCGAGAGAAGGCGUAUCACAAUUCAAAGAUCUACAAAGAAAGAGUCAAAAGGUGGCAUGACAAGAGAAUCAAGAAGGAGUUUACACCCGGAGAUAAGGUAUUACUUUUUAAUUCCAGGGUAAAGCUUUUCGGACAUGGAAAACUCCGGAGCAAAUGGGAAGGACCAUUGAAGGUAAUCAAUUCAUCAUCCCACGGAGCUAUCACACUUCAAAAUAGCGAAGGUACGUUAUUCAAGGUAAAUGGUCAACGUCUUAAAUUAUUUUUAGAGCCCAAUGAGGAAAUUGAAGAAAUAGACGUAGUCCAUUUUUACCUUCCUAUGGAGAAUUAGAGCCCAACACUUUUGGUCUGAUGGUUUUGGGUCACAUAUAUAUUUUCCUAAAUAAUUUCGCAUCUAGAAACGCGAUCGGAGAAGUGGGCCCACAGAGGGGCCAGAGAGAGGGCGGGCGCCCAGCAGGUCAAGUGGGCGGGCGCCCAGCCCCUGUUCCCCCUCGGUCCCGACUUUCUCUGUUAUGGAAAAUGCACUUAGGGUGAUCCGAAUAAUCCCUCGGAUAGAAAGUUUCGCACGCACGUCGACGGGAGCAACCCGAACAACCCAUAGAGGCACCCUUUUGACCCCUAUAUAAACAGACCCCUGACCUCAGUUUUCAAACACCAAGCCACCAAGUUUUCUCUCCUUCAAUUAGAGCUUGAUUAGCUCUCCUUCAAUUAAAGUUUUAUUAGUUCCUUGCUGUUCCAAUGGCCGAGAAGUACCAGGAUGAUUGGGAAGUCGUCCCCUUCAACCUCAACAUGGAGCCUGUGGAAGACCCCGAUGCCCGUGCUCUCGUCCCGGCCAACACAGAGCGUCAGCUAGAAGCCAUGCCAUUACGCCAACGUAGCUCCGCCCAAUCUUACCAUGCUCAACCAGUGCUCACCGCACCGCCACAACCCCUACUCCUCAAAGGACCAUCAUCCAAGACGAAGACUACUAUCAAGGUGCCAACCGGCACAAGGAUCCUUCCACCUAGACCCAAUGAGAGGGUCGUUGGAGUCAAGACCAACCAGAGCGGCGAGAUCAGCAAUAUUCGCUCCACUACGGAGGAGGAAAGGCCUUACUUUGAAGGGAUUAGAGCAGCCAAAGUCCGUUUCAUCUCUCCAAAGGCAGCCCCGAAGCAUGCUCUCAACGCUUUUGAGACACCUCCCAAGCAUCGUAAGACUAUAAUGGAUAUUGAUGAGAAAGUUAUCAUAGACCUCCAGUCCUCGAUUAAUUCCCUCACUAGGCAGCUCUCUAACCAUAACACCAUUAUACUAGGCCUUAGGCAGGAUCUUGCCAGUGCCAACAAGAAGAUUAAAGAAUUAGAGCGCCGCUAAGUUAUCUAGAUUAGACCUUGAGGCAAUGCAUCUUAGUUAUCUAUCUUUAAAUUCAGUUUAGUUUUACUAUUAUUAUCAGUUUGCUAUCAGUCUUUUGUAAUAAAUGCCUCAAGAUCAAUAAAGAGUAUUAUUAUUAUUAUUAUUAUUAUUAUUAUUAUUAUUAUUAUUAUUAUUAUUAUUAUUAUUAUUAUUAUUAUUAUUAUUAUUAUGUCUUGUGUGUCUCUACUUUAUUCGUGUGCAAGAAAACAAGUAUGGGGGAGAUCCCUCGACAUGCUAAACACACUCCGACCACACCACUCCACGAUUCAGGUACACACUCUGCACAUUUUACACAUACAUUUAUUUUGGAUUAUGCAGAUUAUUGUUUCCGACAUGAUAAAAUAAAAAGAUUAAAAUAUUUCUAAUCAUGAUUAAUCUCAAUCUGUGAUGUUUCCUGAAAACUUGCAAUUAUUAUAAAAUCAUUUUAAAACCCUGUGUUACUUAAGACAGUAUGGAAUGUGAGAUGGUAGAGUAUGAGUUUCUUAUUCUUGAUAUCAUUGUUACUUGGAGAAUUUAUUUCAAAAUAUCCAAAAUUUUAGCUACCAUCCUCAGUGUUUUAUAUGCCUGAUAAAACUGAAAAUAUUAAUUAUGAUUAUAAAAGCUAUCUGCUCUGUAUUGAGUUUGUUCAAAAUGAGUUAGAUCCUUAUUGAGAGAUUUAUCAUGCUCCUAAGAUCAAGACAUUAUUUCAGUAAGAUUCACUCUUCCGAAGUAUUAUUGCAUUAGAGGCAUGGGCUAUGCAAAAAUAGAAAUAUUUUGAGGAAAUAAAAAGGAGCAAGUGCUUGAUAACCUCGCAGAAAAAAUGGACAAGUGUCCGGCAGUAGAAUUAGGGGUACCUCGGUAUCCAUAUUUAUAAAAAAAAGAGAUAAAAAAAUGAUAGCCCAUGGUCCCACUAAUAAGCAAUAUGCCAGCAAGAGUUGACAAAGUUUUUAAUUUUCAAAGUCUUUGAUCUAAGAGUAUGACAUUUCCCUCCUCGGAUCCCGUUUUGAUCAGGCAAUAAAUGCAAAGUAAGAAUGCUUGAGAAUUUUUGCAAAAUAAAACAACCUCAGUGAGAUAUAUAUAAAAGAUAAUGAGUGAUUCGAGAGAACCUAUGAGGAUUAAAAGGUAUGCUAACUUUCUUUCAAAAAUAUACAAAAAACUCCAAGUGGCAGGAUUGAGAAGAAAGGAUCUUUACUCUUAACCAUAAACAUCCCUGACUAUGGUACACAGUGGAUUUUUUUUAACACCCUGCAAAUAUAAAGAAUGUUUUAAAUGUUUACCCCAAAUAUUUUUCUUAACCAUCCUUUUCUCGAGGACGAGUAAAAGCCUAAGUAUGGGGGUAUUUGUUGACGGUUCUUAAGUAUCAAUUUUAAUUAUCAAAUAAACAAGAGAAAGGACCAAUAUGCAACCAACACCUAGAAUUAGGGUUUGAUGUGACAGAAUUCCACGGGUUUUGUUGUUUAUCUGUUUCUGCAGGGGGUUAUCAGGAAAUAAGGAAGAAAGGCCCACAUGUCGGGAUUACAUAGAGAUAUCAACGCACCGCACGAUUUUACAUCAUCUAGAAGACUCCAGAAGCCACGAGACCGAAGCGGAGGCGAAACAGGGCCAGGCCCAGGGCGCCCGCCCUGGUAGCCUGGGCGCCCGCCCCCCUCUGGAGCCAGAUCAGGACUCUCUUCGCUCGGGAUAUUCCACCGACCUAUUGGAUCAAGAAAAACAUAGUACCACCUCGCCUAUCGACCCAAAAACGCAUAGAAGGGGAGGACUAUAUAAGCAAGGCACCUAGCCCCUGGAGAAGACAUGAAGAAAUUAUCAUAGAGACUGAGGGAUGCCCUCGAAGGAAAACCUCUUCUCUAAUUAAUAUUUCUUUUUAGGCUUAGCAACCAAUGUAAGGUAGAAAUAGAUCUUCUAGUUUCUACUAGAUUGAGAGAGAUAGAGUGGAGGUGUAGAGUGGAGGAAGCCCGGCCUGUCGGUGUCUACUCCAAGCUUGUACCUGCGGGAUCAAGUUCUCCUAACCCGAAGCUUGCUCCUAGGAUUCUUCAGUAAUUCGACUUCUAAAUUCUAGUAAGUUCUUGUUUUAUUGUUCUUAUGGUUUAUGAGUUUACUUUAAUCUCUUCGCGUAGAGUUUAGAGUAAUCAUUGCUGGCGUAAACGUGGUGUUUAGGCUGGGGUACUCAUAGAUAUUCCCUGACUAGCUGGACCGUGGUAGUAGUGAGGAACGUGACAAUUCCGAGCUACCUUUGUAGAUCACAUCUCGUUAGCAGGAAGGAUAGGGUUUAUAGGUGCGGGUUGAACAUCCUUUGUGGUGUCUAGAUUCCGUUAGCCUCCCCAUUAGAACAGUAGAUCAUCCUUACCAAGGUUAGAAGGAGACUACGGUUGCAGUCAUCUCUAUUUAUCACUCACAUCGAAAGACAUUCUUUGUGCCUAAAGGUUAGUAGUAAUAGACCGGUUAGUCAGAUGCACUCUUUCUCCUCGUGGUAAAAAAAUAAAUACGAUACUCUGGAUAAUUUCCCGGGUGAAGUGCUCACCGAUAUCCGUGCGCUUGCGGAUCAAUUCCUUAUUGCGUUCCCAAAUAUCAACAGUGAGCUCUCACUACGUCAGCAUCGACUUGCCGGCGGUUAGUGAGGGCUAUGUCCUUCCUGAUGAUGAGGCGGAGGCCCAGGAGGAGCUACAGAAGCUUGGAGAUGCCGUGGACGUCCCGGGAGAUGCCCUGGCCUCCUUCUUCGACGCUGAGGUGGAGCUUCCCCCCUUGGCGCGUAGGGACCUGGGCAAGCAGGGCAAUAAGGCCCCUUAGUUAGUUUUUUCUUUUUGUGAACAUCGAAGGCCGGUGGGCCUUGUUUUCUGUAUAAAAUAUUGAUGUUUGAAUAUGAAUGUUUAUAUGUUUGUUUCCUUUAAGAUUUCCUUUGUCUUUUGUUAUCUCUUUUUCCCUGUGCCAACCCGACCUCGGUAGCGCGGGGUCGGGUGAGCCUCUUACGGUCUGCGUUAGUCAGAACAUCCCGAGCCUGAGUCCUUUUUUCUUCCUUGGUAAUUUAGAAGUCCGGAUCCAUCCCCCGAUCCUAGGGAGUGAGUGGGGGUUGUCCUUGCCCGUGGGCGCGGAUCUUUCCUCGGGCUCACGCCUUCUUAAGAUUUAGGGGAUGGAUCUACGGUUUCUUAAAUUCUUUUAGGAAACGAAAGAAAGACCUUGGGUCGGGGUGUUUUGACUUGCGCAAAAAAAGGAAAAAAGAUUCGGAGUUGCCACAGGGGGUUCCCCCCAUGUAGCCCCCGAGGGAGGCUCGGACUCUACAAGGCAGAUCCGAGGCUUACUCUCUGAAAAGAAACAACCAUAUAAUUUGAACUUUCAUUUAUUCUUUCAAGAUGAUGAACAACUGAAUAUCUUUACAAAAUUCUAAGGGUAGAAGCGACGUAGCUGUUCUAUGUUCCACGCGUUCUUGAAGACCUCCCCUGCUUCGUUGGCGAGGUUGUAAGUGCCAGGUCGGAGGACUUCGGUGAUGACGAAGGGUCCUUCCCAGGGAGGCGUGAGCUUGUGAUGACCUUGUUGCUCUGCCUGAGCCUUAGCACCAAGUUGCCGACUUGAAAGGCUCGGCCUCGGACUCGUCGCGCGUGGUAUCGGUGGAGGGCCUGCUGGUACUUGGUGGAGUGUAGGAGGGCUACAUCUCUGGCUUCAUCCAGCUGGUCUAGCGCGUCUUCUUGGAACGUCUUGCAGCAGUUUUCGUCAUAGGCUUAUACCCUUGGGGACCCGUACUCUAGAUCUAUGGGAAGGACAGCUUCCGACCCAUAAACCAUGAAGAACGGGGUGAAGCCUGUGGCUCGGCUUCAGGAAGUCCUUAGACUGCAGAUCACGGCUAGCAACUCCUUGAGCCACCUUUUUCCGAACUUGUCCAACCGGUUGAAGAUUCUGGGUUUCAGACCCUGGAGGAUCAUGCCAUUGGCACGUUCCACCUGACCAUUGGUCUUUGGGUGAGCGACGGCUGCCCAGUCCACACGUAUGUGAUGCCUGUCGCAGAACUCCACAAAUUUCCACUCGGUGAAGUUCGUGCCGUUGUCAGUGAUUAUGGAGUUGGGCACUCCAAAUCGGUGGAUGCUAUCCAUGAAGAACAGCACUGCUUGUUCGGCCUUGAUCCUUGUGAUGGGUCAGACCUCAAUCCACUUGGAGAACUUGUCGAUUGCGACAAGCAAGUGGGUGAAGCCCCCGGGCGCCUUUUGUAGAGACCCGACGAGGUCGAGGCCCCAGACCGCAAAGGGCCAGGUGAUGGGGAUCGUCUGCAGAGCCUGAGUAUGGGAGAUGAAUCUGCCAAGCGUAAAACUGUCAUCCCUCACACGUCCGCACGAUUUCCGUGGCAUCGACCACGGCGGUGGGCCAGUAGAAGCCUUGUCGGAAGGCGUUUCCUACUAGCGUCCGAGGCGCGGUGUGGUGACCACAAGCCCGCGAGUGUAUGUCCUCCAGGAGCUUGAUUCCCUCUUGACGGGGGAUGCAACGCAUAAGAAUGCCCGAGGGGCUGCGUUUGUACAUCUCUCCGUCGAGAAGGAGAAAAGUCUUAGCGCGGCGAGCCACACGUCGUGCCUUAGCCUGGUCUGGGGGCAAAGUGCCGUUGAUGAGGCGUUGUAGCAAGGGAUAGCGCCAAUCUGGCGAGUCAUCUAGUGCAGGGGGCUCGGACUCGAUAUCCAUGGCCUCUUGUUCAUGAGCCACGGAGACCUCAGGAUCGGGGCCUGAGUCGCCUUGGGGUUGAUCCGACCCCCCGUUGUCUUUGUAGUCGACCAAAAGCUUGUAAAGGUCGAUGAUGAAGACAUCUGGGGGACCAUGGCCCGCUCAAAUGCCAUUUUGGCGAGUCCUCGGAUCCAUGGCCUCAUUGUAUUUUCUUAACACGUGGUUAAGCUCGAGGCCAUCGAACUUUUCCUCCAGGCGCCGGACUGCUUUGCAGUACACGUCCAUCUUGGGCUCGUGGCAGCUGGACUCUUUCAUGACUUGGUCGAUGAUGUGUCUGGAGUCGCCUCGGACGUCAAGCCGCUUGAUCCCAAGCUCGAUUGCGAUAUGGAGACCAUUGACAAGGGCCUCGUACUCUGCCGCAUUGUUUGAGGCGGGGAAGUGGAGUCGGAUUGCAUAUCGCAUCCUUACCCCGAGGGGCCAGAUAAAAACGAGGCCGGCGCCAGCCCCAGUUUUCAUCAAAGACCAGUCGAAGUACAAGGUCCAGCAUUCAUGCUAGAUCUGGGGUGGAGGGAGUUGGGUUCCCGUCCACUCAGCUACAAAAUCCGCUAGAACUUGGGAUUUUAUAGCUUUCCGAGGCUCAUAGGUGAUCCCAUCACCCAUAAGCUCUAUAGCCCAUUUGGCAAUUCUGCCAUUAGCCUCCCAGUUUUGAAUCACCUCCCCCAGGGGGAAAGAUGAUACUACCGAGACUGGAUGAGACUCAAAGUAAUGGUGGAGUUUUCGUCGGGCUAAGACUACAGCGUAGAGUAGUUUUUGGAUUUGGGGGUAUCGAGUCUUUGUAUCGGAUAGUACCUCACUGACGAAGUACACCGGUCUUUGGACCGGUAGGGUGGCCCUUCUUCCUUUCUUUCGACCACGAUCGCUGCGCUGGCCACCUGAUCGGUGGUUGCGACAUAGAGGAGCAAUGGUUCCCCCUCGGCGGGGGGUACCAAAAUAGGAGGGUUUGUGAGCAAAGCCUUGAGCUUGUCAAGGGCUUUCUGGGCCUCGGGGGUCCACGAAAAGUGCUCAGAUUUUCUAAGUAACCUAUACAGAGGUAGUCCUUUCUCUCUGAGGCACGAGAUGAAGCGACUGAGGGAAGCCAGGCAUCCCAUAACUCUCUGUACUCCCUUUAGGUUACGGAUUGGGCCCAUGUUUGUGAUGGCUGAGACCUUUUCAGGGUUGGCCUCGAUCCCUCGCUCAGACACAAUGAAACCGUGCAUGCCUCGAGGGACCCCAAAGACGCAUUUCUCGGGGUUCAGUCUGAUCCCUUUAGCCCUAAGGCAUCGGAAUGUUUCAUCCAGGUCGGCCACGAGACCGCUUGCCUACCUGGAUUUGACAACGAUGUCUGUUGACGGUCCUUAAGUAUCAAAUUUACUUAUCAAAUAAACAAAGAAAAGGAUCCAAAUGAAAUCAACAUCUAGACUUAGGGUUUUAUCUGACAGAAUUCCACGAGUUUUGGUGUUUGUCUAUUUCUGUAGGGGGUUAUCAGAAAAUACGGAAGAAAGGCCCACACGUCGGGAUUACAUAUCGAUAUUAACGUGCUGCGCAAUUAUCUUACAUCUAGAAGACUCCAGAAGCCACGGGAAGGAAGCGGAGGCCGAACGGGGCUAGAGGCAGGGCGCCCGCCCUCCUGCCCUGGGCGCCCGCCCUGACUUGGAGCCCAAUCAGGACUCUUUCUCUCGGGAGAUCUCCACCGACCUAAAGGAUCAAGAAUAACCAUUCAAUCAAUGUCGGUUUGAUCCGACGGCCCAGGUUCACUUGAGGGGACUAUAUAACCAGACCCCCUGGCCCCUGGAGGAGGCACCCCUUGAUCAUUAUUCAUUAUUCAUAGAUAGAGCAAAAGCUAGGGUUUAGAGAUGAGAGCUCUCCUCUCUUCUCUAAACUAGAGUAGAUCUAGAUAGUAGCAAGAUGGAGAGCGAAGGAGGAUUAGAGGAGAGGCCGGCCUGUCGGUUCUUCCUCCGGUUGUACUUCGUCAUGAUCAAGCUCUAAUCAAGCUUGCUCAUGGAAUGACUCUGGUAAUCUACUUCUAAUUCAUUAUGCAAUUACUAAUCAUGUAUGUUCUGGUUCACAACUCUUUUGAGUACUUCUAAUCUAUAGGACGCUAUAGGUUAGAGUUGUAGUAUAGGUGUAAGCGUGGUGCUUAGACCUAGAUUACUUGUGGAUAUCCCCUGUCUAGCUGGAUCGUGUGGUAGGCCGCGUAGGUGACAGUUACGUUGGUCCUCUGUAGUCCACCUCUCGUUAGCAGGACGGGUAGGGUUUAUCGGCCUAUGGAUAAGCAUCCUUUGUGGUGUACUCUUAUCACGUGGUUCGUCCCAGACAUAGACAUACCCCUUUGAAGUAGAGAAACCAUAGUUAUCCUCUCUAUUCUGCUACCAUCGUCCAUAUACUAGAAUUGCUCUACUCUCUAUUUCCAUAUUAUCACUCACUGUUAUCUUACCUUUAAUAUUGUUCUUAUUCGAUUCUAUCAUCUUUCCUAUUUACACCUAUCUAUCUACCUUGGUUAAGUUAGAGCGUAGUUGGUUCUCCCGUUUCCCUGUGGAUACGAUAAAACCUUUAACCGGGUAAAAGCUUCAACGGUAUCCGUGCGCUUGCGGAUUAUCUGUGUGCGUAUAAAUACCAUAGUACACUCUAGUGCCAUGCUGGGGAUGACAACCUAGUAUUCAAGUGGUGUUAGCAAGUGUCAACAAGCAUUUUUGGCGCCGUUGCCGGGGAAACGGUUGCUGAGUUGACUACGAACUAGCUUAAUCAUUUUCUAAAAAAUAAAAAAAAAUAUUUUUUCCUUUUAUCUUUUGCCUUAUCUCUGCUAAUCUUUUUUAUCUAAUCCUUGAUCUCUGGUCUACCAUGAAUUCAAACAUGUCUAUCUAUGAAUUUCAUAGACCUACGGGCACACAUCUCGAACCACCAAAAUCUUCAAAGCCUAUCAUAGCAUCUAGUUUUGAGAUAGACCCCGAAUACAUAGAAUUUGUUCAAAAACAACCUUUCUCAGGAGAAGGUGAGGAAAACCCAUACACACACCUAAGAGAGUUUUAUCGAGUCUGUGACCUCCUUCGCAUAGAAGGAAUGUCCGAUGAGACCCUUAAAUGGAAGCUCUUUCCGUUCUCUUUAACGGGAAAAGCUAGACAUUGGUACAAACUCAAAAUAGGGAGUGUUCAUGGAGAUUGGAAGGAGUUAUAUAGUAGUUUUCUUUCUAAAUAUUUUCCAAUCUCCAAAGUGGCGGAACUUCGGCGUGAGAUUAUUUCUUUUAGACAACUGGAAGAAGAAUCUCUUAGGACAUCAUGGGACCGCUUUAUUAACCUUACUCUCACUGGCCCAAAGCUUUCUAUUCCAGAAGAAGUUCUUCUAAUUCACUUUUUUGAGGGCCUUAGUGGGGAAAAUAAGCAAACCUUGAAUACAGCCUCUAGAGGAUCCUUCUAUCACCUACCUGCUAGUGAAGCUUGGAAUUUGAUUGAUUUAUUAAGUGGAAAGUCUCCUAGCUUUUACAUCCCUGAGAAAGAGACAGAACCAGUUCCUAGACAAGAAGAAGAAGUUUCGAUAGCCAGAUCACAACCACUUCAAUUCCAAACUUUAGCUAUCAAUCCUAAACCAUCAAUACCCCAAAAUUCUCCAAGGGAGGAAGGAAUUCCAACCUUAAAUCUUUCAGAUGCUGAUGGUUUAGACUUCUGGUUCCAUAAGAGACCUUCAAGCAGGGAUAAUUCAAAUCCUCACAAUAAUGGUUCUCUUAGAGAAUGUCCUGGUUCCUGUUAUGAAGAGGUCGAGGAUGACAUAUCAAGUGAAGGAGAGCUAAGCCAUAUAGAAAAUUCUAACACCUCCCCUUUCUUGAUCACAAGUUCUAAAUGGUUAGAAUGUGUAGAAUGGAUGGAUAAGGAAGAAGCCUUAAUGGAUUCUGACUUUGGCUCAAUUUCAAAUGAUGAGUUCUUGACUCCCUUUGAAGAUGGGAUUCAUCCAACUAUAGAAGAGGACAUAAGUGAGACCAAUCCAAGAGAAACUCUGAACAUUCAGAUUGGAGACGAAGAUAACAUUAAUGAGCAUGGAAUUUAUUUCAUAGCCACUUUGUUUACUCCAUGCUUAUAUGCAACAUCUUCCCAAUCUAUUGGUCUCUCUGACAUCACCACACUUGAGAUCUCCAACCCCCUCUUCCUUUCUAUUUAUAAAAACUUUAAAAGGGCGGUUGUCGAUGCAUAUGUCUAUAAUAAAUAUUGCAGAUCUCGUUGAGUUGAUCUUAAUUUAGGUCAGCGUUGGAAGGGAAACCACUUCGCCGACAUAAAUUGAUGGUUUCCCAAGGACAAGCUUGGUGUCCUAAAAUAAGCACUGAUCAGAUCGUAACAUGAGUUUUUAAUUAUUUGCAACAUUACCUUGUGUAUUGAGCAUAUAAGGAUAAUUGUAAAAAUAUUCCUUCGGGUAUUCUUGUCACUAACCUUUCCAGGAUUGGAACAAGAAGAUCAGAUGAAUGACAAGCAAGUACAAGGUAUGUCUAACCAAUCAUCAUGCAACACUGAAUUAAAUUCAUCCAAACUUGAAUUCUGCAAAAUUCAAGCUUGGGGGAGUACUUUACAUAAAAACAUCCUUUGCCAUGUUGCUAUGUUGGUUGUCCCUACCUUUAAGACAUGCUCAAUUUGUUAAAUACUAAUCACACUACUUCAUCUCCAUUUGAAUAGAUCUCUAUAAAUGCCAUCACGCUACCUUUGUCUAUUUACUAGUAAGUGUUAGUUUGGAAGUACUGCACAUACUUCUAUUGGCUUUUAAAUUAAGCAUGGAGCUUAGGUUAAACAACCUUCCUUAAUCUGAUUAGACAUGGAGUCUAGUUCGGUUAUUGAACUAAAAACUGCUUGUGUAGACAUUAGUAUAUUUUUGUCAGACUAACCCCUGCAGAAAAAACUUUCACUAUCGAUUUGGGAAGUCCUGAGAUAAACUCACAUCAGAGAUGAAGAGAGUGACACAUGAAGUUUAACAAUUUGCACAAGAAGGACAUAGCUCAUUCAUCAUAGAGAGAUGAUCCAUGUAGGGUGCACAAAUACGAUGCACAACCACUAAGAAAGGAAAGCUUCCACAAGGUGAUACUACACCAUCACUCUUCAAGUAAGGUAACACCUUAAGGUACUUGACUAUCACUUUUAUAAGCUUCUCCUUGGUUCUGGCGUUCAUAUAAAUAAAAGAGACAAACAUGUAUGAGUUACAACUCUAGAUUAACCAACCCAACUGAUUCAACAUGUUUAGUCAUUUAAUCCUUGUUCUUAGUACUACCUCCAUGAUCCCACACUCCUAAUCAUAUGAGCUAAAAUGUUACACAUUCAAUCAUUGAGAGAUAUAAAGAAAAAGACAUAUACAUAGAUAGAUUAUCUUUCCAUAAGGUUGAGCGAUCUGAUCUGACAAAUGUUAUAAGUGCUACACUCAUGAACUUUUCAUCCAUCAACUUCGUCUUGCGCACUAUGCUUAGGGUUAGAGAAGAACAAAUAUACUUUUGGUUCUGUUGGUGUUUUCCACCAACAGGGCCCAUGCACUUGAUCUCUGCCUUGUCUCUAUGAGCAGGUACACUACGAGCACAAACACACUGAGCAAGAUACUGCUAACACCGCACUUCGAACUGCUGGGCAAACGAAGAACAUGGGUGACACCGUAUUAAAAGGUGCAGACGUCAAGGUCCGCACCUGAAUCAAAUGACGCACCUGAAGAAUGAACACGGUGAGAAGUCUUGUCAAGAAGACUUAAAACAUUGAACCCUUGCCGAAAGGUAAGAUUGGUAGUUAUCCAUAUUUAUCCUUUCUGCAUUCCCUUUUCCCUUUAAUUAUUUACUUUCCUUAAAUAGAUUUUUAGUUAAUCAUGCUAUCUUGAAAAGAAAAUAAAAAUGUUAAAAAAUACUAAGCCCCAUGUGAGUAUACGAGUGGCAUAAAACCCAUAAGUACCUUCACUGUGGUGCCAUAAAAAUAAAAUAAAUAUUUCUUUUCUACUUUAUAAAAUAAAAAUAUAAAAACAGGGAGUAAUAUUUAUUAAGGAAGCUCAACGUGAUGAAGGCUAGAUAUUUAUGCUAACACUUAAUUAGUUCCACAAGCUUUGUUGUCUAUUUGAGCUCCACAGAAUUUAAGAAUCAAGAAGACUAGCAGACGGAGGACAUUCUAAUCGCUGUCAGAAUGCUGCUGACUUUCAAAUACACCUCUGCCACCUGCUAGCUACAUCAAGAGAAAUUACGUCAAAAUUCAGCUUGGGGGAGAGCACCCCUAUUUAUCUCGCUAAGUAUUUCUACCUAUCUUUAUACUUAUAUUAUAUUAGAAUAUUAAAAUACAUAAACUAUGAAAAAACCAAAUAAAUAUUUUAUGCUUAUAUAUAUAUAUAUCUUUUCUUAGUUUGCUAAAUAAAUAAAUUAAUUAAUUAAUUAAUAAAUAAAGUGGCUAUGCUAAUCUGAAUCUUAAUAAUAAAACUCUAGCAUGGAUAUGAUGAAUAGUUGCUCUGCCUAAUUUGCAAAUUUGAAGUUCUCUCUCAAGUUUAGACAUAACUGUUAUAAUUUAAAGCUUGCUCUAGAUCUAAACUUGUGGGAUGAAAACUUGAUCUGAAAUCUAAGUUGUUAACGGAUAAGAUAUGAGAAGGUUGAGCUGUUGUUUAUCUAUUCCUAGAGAUGCUAGAAUUCUGGAGAAUUUUAUCUUUAAAAAAUCUUUAAAAUAUUGCAUGAUGAGUUCCUGUAUGAUAAAAGUUUAAAUUCCUACCACAGCCAUAUAUACAUGCUUGCUAGACUUUGAGCCACACAUUUAUUUACUGCUUAUGAGCAUUGAGUGUGGUCAAGCUGUGUAGACCCUUAGGAGCUUGUCAUGUGGUUAAAUCAAGAUUCACUUGCACGUUCACUCAUAUAUGCUACUUCUACUCCAGAAGUACCAUCCACAUAUAUCCAUCCAUUUCCAUCUCCAGUUUCACCCAAAAUCAUUCUACUCCUAAUCCGGGAGAGAAUAGCCAAAAACAUUUUCCUAUCCCUGUUAUUCCCUGUGAAAUAAAUGCUCCAGUUAUUUUGCUACUACCACUUGCUAUAUUAUCUCAAGAGAUGAGUGCUCUAAAAAAAAGAAAGAAAAAAAAAAGAAAGAAAAAAAAAUAAACGAGGAAAUAAAAAGGGGCAAGUGCCCGGAACCUCGAAAGAAAAGAAAAAGAGUGAGACGAGAGGUAAAAAUGGACAAGUGUCCGACAGUAGAAUUAGGGGUACAAGAUACCCACCUGAGAGGAAAGAAAAAGAAGAGCAUCUCAUUCUCCUCAUAAAGUUUCAAAAAGCAAGGAAGGUAUGUAUCCCCUCAAAAGAGCAAAGGUAGAAUUAGACUUUCACCAUUGUUAUCACCAUCAUCACCAUACACCAUUCAUUUGCCACACAUGCACAUCUUGAUUUGGCUUAUUGAUUUGUUUCUUUGGAUCCAUGGUUUGACUAUACAAUAAAUGUCUUGUAAGUAUGUAUACUUUAUCUCCCACCUAUAAGCUCGAGAUAUUAAAGCCUUAUUAGAGUAGGGUGAGAGAGAAGGCAAUGUCACUAUGCCUUAUACCACAAAUACCAUAUAUCUUGAGAGAAGGCAUAUACCAUCACUGCCUUGGUAAGGAUCCAGAAAUACCACAAAAGAGAGAUUUAGAGAGUCAUACGAGGAAUCUCUGAGUUUUAUUUGAAAAUAUGUAAAAACUCAAGAGCUAUAGCUGAUCAAGAAUAAGAGACAUGGCACUUGGCUAGACUGUUCUAUCUUUUAACUACUCAAGACAGAAGUGACGGUUACAAGUCCCAUGGUGAAAGGUAAAGUAAGUAAGUUUUAGUUCUUGACAGUUUACUCUAACUCAGAGAUGAGAUCUUAUUUAAAAGCAUGUGUACCGUCAAAUUUUUAAGAUAUUGCAACAACUUCUGAUCCAUUGCUGAGUCUAUCCUUGCUCAGGGACGAGCAAGAGGUAAGCUUGGGGGAGUUUGUUGACGGUCCUUAAGUAUCAAAUUUAAUUAUCAAAUAAACAAAGAAAAGGAUCCAAAUGAAAUCAUGUAACAUCCCUGAUGUUACGGUUACUAAAAACGGAUCAUGUCAUCAUAAGCAUUGUAAAGCAUAAUUAUUAAAGCACAUUAGUAUGCAUCAACUUAAAAUAAGUUUACUUUGAUUGCUUGAGCUUAGGGAAGUAGAGUGUGCUUUUGUAGUGUGGUGAUGCUUGUGUGGUUGCUAAAACCCUAGGGUGGAAGUUUUCCGUUAAGCUAAAGGGGGAAAAACCCUGAUUUCUGGAUCCUAGAUUUGCCCCUUUUUGUAUAAUUCAAAAACUAAGCAAAAUUUGAGGUUGAGUUCAAAAGCAAAGUUGUAGCUCUUGGCAAGAUGUACAACUUUGGUGUUUUGAGUUUUUGAAGUUCCAAUACAAAAUUCAAAGUAAUUUUGAAAUUACAGAUUUCCGAAAAGUGUCCCCUUUUCUAACUUAAACCCCCAAUUCAAAAUCCAUUUGGAAUUCUGAAAAGUGGUCAACAUGAAAGUUGUAGAGCACAAAAAGUUGAGCAACUUUCAUGUUGGAAGUUUUUCAAGUUGUUAUACAAAAUCAAAAGUAAUUUUGGAAAUUCUGUUUUGCCCCAAUUCAAAAAUUUGGAAUUUCUUGGAUUUGAGUUUGAUUUUCAAACUGUUUGGCCAAAUUCACCCUGUUACACUCAAAAUCAGUUCUGGACUCUUAAAUAGGUUUUGUAGCUUAUAAAAUUUGGCACAACUUUUGUUUUGGUGGAAAUUUGACUUUAGUUCAAAUUUUGGUCGGAUUUCACAAAAAGACAACUGAGUGGAUGAGGCCGGCUACAGUGAUCGGCAGGGGGGGGUGCUCUGCCGCCGGGGCAGAGCCGCCUCCGCGCGCGCCGCCACGCAGCUGGCCACGCAGCUGCUUGCUGCUGUGCUUCGCGUGGACGUCCUCAUCCGCGAACCGCCUUCCGUUGUGGGGAUAAAGCCCCGAGUGGCCAGAGUCCCCUUUUCUUUUUCUUGAACCCCGACGCCGACGAGCUCCCUGCGCCUCUCCAAUUCGCCUCACUCGCUGCCGUUUCAAGCCACCUGAGCACCCCAGCAGCUCCGCCGUGAGCCCCGCCACCGAUUGCGCCCCCAAACACACGCUCUAUCCUACCGUAGCUUCCACCCGAGCCGUUUCUCCCCCAACUCCGGCCGAGCGCCACCGCAAGCACGUCACCGUGGCCAGCUUCACCCCGCGCCUCCCCGCUGCUGUUUCUUGCUUCGUUGAAGUCACGGUGAGCUUCUGGUGCUGUUGCGCCGCUUACUUCACGCUCUACUCGCCUGAAGCGGCCGGCGAUGGCUCGACCGCGGCGGCCAUCCGCCAUGAGCGUGGACAGGGAGGGUAGGAGGGAGUAGAGGUGGUCUCGUAUGUCCUAGAGGUUGCGUGAGACGCUGGAGAUGCUAACCCACCCCGCCGCGCAGGCCGGGAGCUCACCGGCGCAGAGCCGGAGCUCACCGGAGCGGUGGUGGGAGGUUGAAGACGCCUCUGACGGGCGGGACCCGCCCGUCAGUGGCCGCGUGAGAGAAAGCGCGCGCGCGGUCCGCGCGGGAGAGCACUCUCGGGCCGACUUGGGCCAGAUCCCAGCGGGCCGCCAGCGUGGCACAGUGCCCUUUUCUUUUUCUUUUUGUUUAAAAGUGCUUAAUGUUUGAAUUUGUGUAAUAAUUCGUGUGCUAAUCCAAAAAUCGUGGAAAUUUUUGUGUAGAUUCUCUGAAAUAUAUAGAACCCAAUAAAAAUAUUAAAUUCUGUUUUCUGGUAGUUUACAUGUCUGUAAAAAUUUGCCCUUUUAAUUAGCAAAUAAAACUUGUAUGAUUUUUAAUAAUUUAUUUGUAUGUCCAAAAAUCACCAAAAAUUGUGGGGAGCCUCUGAAUAUUAUUCCCUGGCUCCACACAAAAUUUGAUGGCAUUUGGAUAAUGUUUGAUUAAAAUAUUAAUAAACCCUUAUUUAGUACUUAAGUAAUAAUUCCAAAAUAAUUAAAUAGUGAUUAAUUAGGUCCUCAUAAUUAGGGUUGAGUGAUUUUGGAUUAUGUGAUGACCUGAGGUCAUUAACCCUAAUGACCUUUGGCAUUUAAUUAUUGUUUAGCCUUAAUGCUUAAUUACUGUCAUUAGUAAUUAAUUAAGAGUUAAUUAAGGUAAAUAGGUUUAAUAAUUACUUAAUUUAAGAUAAUUAUGAAUUAAGUAAAGUUUUAGUUUACAGAUGCAACCUCUUGGGUAAAAAUAUUAAGUUAUUAAACAACUUUAUUUAUUAAUUGUUCUGCACUGCAUUGGGAGGACAAAUUGUACUUAAUUCGGUCCAUCUUGCAUAAUUGCCAUACGCAUAUCAUAAGCAUUCAUCAUCUUGCGUAUAGCGUCCGUGAUCGAAGGAGCGCCCGUUGAACCGAACCCCGAGGUCGGUGCUCCGUUCGAGGAAGUCGGAUCCGAGACUUGGGAAGUCUCCGAGGGUCCCUCUCUGCCCUGCAACCAAGGCAAGCCCCGGAUGCAUUAACCCCUCCUUGGAUGUUUUAAAUCUUUUAUCACUUGUAAAUUAAAAAUGCUGCAUUAUGUAGCUAAGAAUUGGGUUAACCUACUUGCUGCAUUUACUACCUUGAUAUUUGUUAUCCUGUCCUUGACACCUGUUUAUUUUAAAACUGCGUAGCAAUGCUUAGCCCUGCUACUAGAUAGGUUUUAAACAAGAAAGUUUGAAGGGUUGUUGUGGGAUACACUUACUAUCAAUGAAGUUUCAAUUUGAGACCGGUCGGUGGACUUGCUUUAAGAAUGGAGUCUUAAAGUAGUGUCUCCAACUGUGUCGAUUAAGGACCGGUCCGUUGAUGGCCUGCUGGGUUGAGAAUUUAUAGUACUAGCCACUUGCCUCCGGUAAGCCCAGUCUUGUGAUCCCUCGACGCGAACAGCUACUCGCGCACUGGGAGUGGAAAGAUGGCGAGAGUAGUGUGUACCCACCUUACGGAUCUGAGAUGACCGGAAAACAUCUAGAUCGGCUGUAGGAUGGUGGAGUACUGUGCUCUCGGGUGCCGCGAACCUAGUCAAAUUUGGGGAGAGCUUGAUUUGGGUUGAUAUAUGCAAGAAUUGGUUCUACAUAUGUCGGGUGGUUAGGAACUCCAGCUGGAUUGCUAAGCGAUUCGAAUCGUCGUUGCUUCCCGAUUGGGAGACUCAAUUCCUUCGACCCUCAUCGUAGUUAAAUAUGCAACUAAGUGAUAUAAUGAGAAGGGGAAAAUGUCUCAUGAGGUUCGGAUCCCAAUUCCCGGACCCAUAGCGACAUGAAGCUAUGGCCAUCAAUAAAUAAUACUUAAUGAUAGGACUAGGAACUCACGGAUUCGUCUGUGGGGAACAACUAGUUAGACUAUCCUCGAAUUCCUCUGCCUCUGCGAGGGAGGAAUUCUGGAUAAAACUUGAAAAUAAGGAUGCACUACUAGUAAGCUUUUACGCAAACACUUUGGCUCCUUGCUCAGCCACCCCUUGUCUACCCUAAGCCUGCAUCCCUAAAUUCUCCUCUUUUCCCCGGCGGAUAAGUCUUGUUGAGUACUCCCGUACUCAGGGUUUCAAUACCCCUGUUGCAGGUGAAGCACAGGAGCCGACUUGUUUCGGACCCUGUUGUGUGACCGUCGUCGAGGUUGACGACGAAGAAGAGUGAGCGUGACCCAUGGGCAGGGUCUGUAAUUUUGUUCUGUCUGUACUAAAGUUUCAGUUGCUCCGCUGGACCAGGCUUGUAAUAACACUCUACUAUUUGGAAGCACUCCUUUUGUAAAUUAAGUUAUGUAAUACUUCCGCUAUUUCACUCUGAAAUAUUAUUUUGGUCUUGUGUUGUUGAGUUACUGCUUUAUCUUCGCAACGAAUGAUCCUGGUGUUAAAGUGGCCACUUGCUAUCCUGUAAGGGCAAGGAGAAACAGUUCUCGUUGUUUGACCAUUACCAGUGGUCAGGACAAGCCAGCUUGGUACGCCACAGGUAGCAGUGGAAUGAGCGCCCCAAUGCUCAUCGGACUUCUAAAGUGGGAGGACUCCCGGCAUCACCGUCAGAGGUCCUUAGGACAAUGGCAGGUGUCGGUGGGCCCAAACACUUAGGAGGUUCUGCCACAGCUGGUAUCAGAGCAUUCGUUGCUAAGAUGACUGCUGAACCUUUUGAAAAACUUCAAAAAUUCGUUUGGAACUAAUAUUAUGAACCUGCCUAUUUUGAGUCCAAGUGCUUAGUCCUAACCUACCCCUGUCUAUAGGCUUUCUUAGAAUUUUUGAAGUGGUAUGGAGGAGCAACAUAAAGUAUUGCCCUAUGUUGUAAAAGUUUAAAGUAAUAACGUUACGAAUUGUUAGUAGGAAUCGUAAGUUCGUGCAUGCAUUAUGAUGUAUUAACUGAUUAAGUUCCUUCCUCCUUGUUGGGUUGGGUGAAUAGAAUCAAUCCUAUUCUUGCUAACCUUUAAGGUCUCUCUUACUAAUCUAAACUUACCCUCUACAGGAUGGCUCGUCAGAAGCAGACCCCGCGUAAGCGGACCGGUCCAAAAGGAGUUCCCCGACAUCAGCUAGCUCCACGCAGUGAUCAAGCCAGUAGUAGCCGUUCACCGCCUCAGCAGGAGGUGGACAGGUUGUCCGCCGAGUUGACUGAGGUGAUGAGAGAGAGAAUGUACAAUGUUAUGGAGAUUGGCAAACUUAAAGCUCAAUUGGCCAAAGAAAAACAAGCUACGGAAAACUGUGAAGCUAUGUUGUCCCGGAUGGUGGAGGAGCGGAAUGCAGCCAUUGCCCGAGAGGAAGAAGCUAGGAGCACCCAUAGGCAUGAGCUAACUAGGAUGAACGCAAAGUUGGGCAAGGCAAAGUAUCUUAAGGAUUUGUAUGUGAAGAUGGCGGCCACGGUCACCGCACAACGGGAUGUCGCGUGGCAACGAGAGGACCAGCUCCAGCUGGAGAAACUGGAGCUGGCACAUCACUUGGAUACAGUCAAUGACUUGGCUAUGCAGUAUCGUGAUAUUGCAUUUGAUCUGUAUCAUCAACUCCACCCACCUCCCGGCGAAGGAGAAAUGGAUACAGAUGGCGAGUUGGCAGAUGAUGGAGAACCCGACCCAGGCCUCAGUGAUGAAGAGGAGUCCGACCCCGAUGACCACAACCCAGGGGGUAAUCAAGAUGAUGGCAAUGACGACCAGGGCUACAGUUCUGGCCACACCGAUUAGUUCGGUGAAACCGAGGGCAACGUCGUUAUAGGGGUCUUAGCUUGCCGUAGUAGGGUUCGGGUUUGUCAUAUAAGUUUUCUUUUGGUUUGAGAAGUUGAACCUGUUUACUCUUGGUGUGUUGAACUAAUGUUUAAUAAGUGAAUGAAAGAAUGUAAGAUAUGUCUGUGUUAUGAAUUUUGCGUGAUAACAGGUAUCUACGAUUCUUGUAACAGAUGCCGAUGCGUACUCGCGGAUCCGAUGGAGCUGGGACAUCCCAGGGAGGGGAUGAUAUCCCCAACCCUCCACCUGCUCCACCUUCUUUGGCUGACGCCAUUGCUGUCUUGCUAAGUGCCACAACUGACAAUGCUCGCUUGCUGCGCGAGCUAGCACAGCGUCAAACACACUCUGCUCCAAAUAUCAGAGCACCGCGCAACGGGGAUGGAGAGGCUCGGUAUGUGGAUUUUACCGAGACCAGGCCCCGGUGUUCACUAAGGCCGAUGAGCCUUUAGAAGCGGAUGACUGGCUCCGAACUAUGGAGCAUAAGUUCAGUUUAAUUCAGUGUUCAGAAACUCAGAAACCCUUAUUUGCAGCUCAGCAACUUCGGGGAGCUGCAGGUGCCUGGUGGGAGAACUUCUUAGCUAUUCAAGCUCCCGGACACCAAGUUACCUGGACCGAGUUUAGGGACGCGUUCCGCGCCCACUACAUCCCCGAAGGGCUCAUGGCCAUGAAGGCCGAAGAGUUUCUCGCCUUGCAGCAAGGCGAUAAAAGUGUUAUGGAAUACGUGGCAAGGUUUAAUCAUCUCUCUCAAUAUGCCACGGAUCAUGUGAACACUGACAGAAAGAGGAAAGCCUGUUUCAUGCGUGGUCUAAAUACUAAACUUCAGACCAUGAUGACCACUUGCCAAAAUGCUACUUUCUAUGAGGCGGUAAAUAUUGCUAUCGCCUCAGAGGAAAAGAAUAGGAAACAUAAGGAAGCCAAGAAGAAGGCUGCUUCCUCUUCUUUCUCUGGUCGCGGUCAAAAGCGCCAGAGGAUCAUUUAUCAUCCACAGGGCCACGGACGUUUCCAAGCGCCGUCAUAUUAUCGUGGUCCUUUCUCCCCUCCACAGUACAGACCCGGGCAGCAGGCAUAUUCUCGACCUACUGCCCUCGCUUUUGCACCACGCCAGCCGAACGCCCCGGGUGUUCGCCCUACUGCUCCGCCCAGCCACAAUUACCCUUGCUUCAAUUGUGGUAAACCUGGGCAUUUCUCUAAAGAGUGCCCUUUUCCCCGUCAAACCAACCCUACCUUUUCAAGGCCACCUAUGGGCCAACCCCAGCCGGGUCAGUUCAGAACUGGGGUUCAAAAAGGGCAACCGGUACAGAAAGGUAGACCGGUAAAGAAAACAGGGCAAGUCUUCCAUACUGAAGUGGAGACAAUUCCAGAGGGUGAACCAGUGAUGAUGGGUACGUUUCCUGUUGCGAAGCAUCCUGCUUUAAUGCUCUUUGAUUCUGGUGCAUCUCAUACAUUUAUCAAUCGCACCUUUGUGUUAAAGCAUGGCAUACCCAUUGGGGAAACGCAAGAUCAUUUUUAUAUACAGUCGCCAGGAGGACGGCUGAUGUCUAAAGAAAUGGUUCACCAAAUACCCAUCGAAUUGGGUGGGCACAAUUUUCCUACUAGUAUGAUUGUUCUUAAGGACCAAGAAAUUGAUGUCAUCUUAGGCAUGAACUGGAUGGCGCAACGAGGGGUUGUGCUAGACACUUUGCACCGAACCAUUAAAAUCCCAUUGCCCAAUGAGAAUUCCUACUUGCUAAUCCAAUUAGUUACUCCCAAACGGACAAUUGGGCAAGUUCAUGCCGCUAGUGUGCCUGAAGUUAAAAAUAUCCCGGUAGUUCGAGAUUUCCCGGAUGUAUUUCCUGAAGACUUACCAGGUCUGCCUCCGGACCGGGAUGUACAAUUCAGUAUAGAAUUGAAACCAGGAACGGCCCCAAUAUCUCGAAGGACCUAUAGAAUGGCACCGAAAGAGCUGGCCGAAUUAAAAACCCAAUUACAAGAGUUGUUGCAGAAGGGUUUUAUUCAGCCUAGUUCUUCUCCAUGGGGUUGCCCAGCCUUGUUUGUGAAGAAGAAAGAUCAGACAUUAAGGCUGUGUGUCGACUAUCGUCCUCUAAAUGAGGUGACGAUUAAGAACAAGUACCCUUUGCCCCGCAUUGACUUAUUGUUUGACCAGCUAGCUGGGGCCAAAGUGUUCUCAAAAAUUGAUUUGAGAUCAGGGUACCACCAAAUUAAAAUUAAGCCGGAAGAUGUACCCAAGACAGCUUUUACAACCCGUUAUGGGCUGUAUGAAUACUUGGUGAUGUCUUUUGGGUUGACCAACGCACCGGCUCAUUUUAUGUACCUGAUGAACUCUGUCUUCAUGCCAGAACUAGACAAAUUUGUGGUCGUCUUCAUCGAUGACAUCUUGAUUUACUCCAAAACUAAGAAGGAACAUGCUGAACACUUGAGAAUCGUGCUGACCCGUCUUAGGGAGCAUCAGCUGUAUGCCAAGUUCAGCAAAUGUGAGUUCUGGCUGGACAAAGUUCAUUUCCUGGGUCAUGUAUUAUCAGCGGAAGGAGUCGCUGUAGACCCAGGCAAGGUAGAAGAUGUGUUGAAUUGGAAACCCCCGACUACGGUACAUGAGGUCCGUAGUUUUCUGGGCAUGGCGGGAUAUUACCGUCGUUUUAUCCCGGACUUUUCCAGAGUCGCCAAACCAAUCACAACCUUACUCAAAAGUCAAACAAAAUUUGUUUGGUCACCCCAAUGUGAGCAAGCUUUUCAGACUCUGAAAAGAUUGUUGACAACUGCACCUGUCUUAGCCCAGCCAGAUAUUGAAAAACCCUUUGAUGUAUAUUGUGACGCAUCAGGAAUCGGGUUAGGCUGUGUGCUGAUGCAGGAGGGUCGCGUAAUUGCAUAUGCUUCCAGGCAACUCAAACCUCAUGAAGAGAAUUACCCGACCCAUGAUCUCGAACUAGCCGCCGUGGUACAUGCAUUGAAGAUCUGGCGUCAUUAUUUGUUGGGAGACACAUGUCAUCUAUAUACAGAUCACAAAAGCUUGAAGUAUAUCUUUACUCAAGCCGAGCUUAAUAUGCGCCAGCGAAGGUGGCUAGAACUGAUUAAAGAUUACGACCUUGAGGUGCAUUAUCACCCUGGCAAGGCAAAUGUAGUAGCGGAUGCCCUCAGUCGUAAGGCUCACUGUAAUUGCUUAACAGUGAAGCCUAGGGAUAUAACUUUGUGCCAAGAGCUAGAGAACUUGGGAAUAGAAAUGAUUUCCCAAGGGAGCCUUUCCAAUUUAAAGAUUGAUUUCAAUCUCGAGGCUCAAAUCAUAAAGGCACAAAAAGAAAACAAAGGCAUGAGACAUCUUAAAGAGAAGAUCUCUAAUAGAGCACUCACAGACUUUGAGGUGGAUGAUGCGGGAGUAAUCUGGUUCAAGAACCGGUUAGUGGUUCCAAAGGUACCUGAGCUACGUCAGCAAAUCCUAGAUGAAGCUCAUACCACGAGGUAUUCUAUUCAUCCGGGAAGCAAUAAGAUGUAUCAGGACCUGAAGCAAAGGUUUUGGUGGACAAAAAUGAAGAUAGAAAUAGCUCGCUAUGUGGCCCAAUGUGACACCUGUCGAAAGGUCAAAGCCAUUCAUCUCAAAUCCGCUGGGGAGUUGCAACCUUUGCCUAUCCCCGCAUGGAAAUGGGAUGACAUAAGUAUGGAUUUCAUAGUAGGAUUGCCCAAAACGGCCAAGGGCUUUGAUUCCAUUUGGGUCAUAGUAGAUCGUCUCACCAAAACAGCACAUUUUUUGCCGGUAAAGCUAUUAUAUCCUGCCUCCACCUAUGCUAAGAUUUAUUUCGACCGUAUCCUAAGUCUGCAUGGAGUGCCAAAGACAAUAGUGUCAGAUAGAGGCACACAAUUUGUCUCCCAAUUCUGGAAAUGUUUACAUAAGUCCCUGGGCACUAAGCUCUUAUACAGCACAGCCUACCACCCUCAAACUGGUGGGCAAACUGAAAGGGUAAAUCAAACCCUAGAAGAUCUAUUAAGAUCUUGUGCCCUGAAUUUUCCAGAUAAGUGGGAUGACUGCUUGCCUCUAGCAGAAUUUUCCUACAAUAAUAGUUAUCAAGAGAGUAUCAAAAUGGCUCCCUUUGAGGCACUGUAUGGUCGCCGAUGUCGAACUCCGUUACACUGGUCAGAACCUGGAGAAAGAUGGUUCUUCGGAGUUGAUUUGGUGAAAGAGACUGAGAACAAAGUGAAACAAAUCCAAAAUAACUUGAAAGUUGCUCAGUCCCGACAGAAAAGUUACACUGAUAAAAGACGUCGACCAUUAAAGUUCGCCAAAGGUGAUCAUGUGUAUUUGAAAGUAUCCCCAAUGAAAGGAGUGAGUCGUUUUGGUGUUAAAGGCAAGUUAGCGCCUCGUUACAUUGGUCCAUUUCCAAUUAUUGACCGAUGUGGGCAAGUCGCUUACCGCCUUAAACUGCCCGAACGAUUAUCCGGGGUACAUAAUGUGUUCCAUGUGUCUCAACUGAAAAAGUGUCUUCGGGUACCAGAUCGAGUUCAAGAUAUUGAAGAUGUAAAGCUUGAACCAGAUCUAACUUAUUCGGAAUACCCUAUCCGAGUACUGGAUCAAAAAGAUAGAGUUACUCGAAGGACAACCACCAAAUGGUAUAAGGUACAAUGGAGCCAGCACUCUGAAGAAGAAGCCACCUGGGAAUCUGAAGAUUACUUGCUAGAGAAUUUUCCUGAAUUCUAUGCUUCUCUUCAGGACAAUAUAUGAUAACCAGAGGAGGUACUCUAGUAAAGAAACAGAAUCGCCAAAGCCAUGUACUGAAUGUACAUAUACGCAUAUAAUGAAGAAUUUUUCCCCAACUCCUUGCCUUAUGGAAAGGUUGAAGAUGAAAGAGUUUUGACAAAUUUCCUUUUCCAUUACUUAUCCUAAGGUUUUAAAUCUCGGGGACGAGAUUUCUUUAAGGGGGAAGGACUGUAACAUCCCUGAUGUUACGGUUACUAAAAACGGAUCAUGUCAUCAUAAGCAUUGUAAAGCAUAAUUAUUAAAGCACAUUAGUAUGCAUCAACUUAAAAUAAGUUUACUUUGAUUGCUUGAGCUUAGGGAAGUAGAGUGUGCUUUUGUAGUGUGGUGAUGCUUGUGUGGUUGCUAAAACCCUAGGGUGGAAGUUUUCCGUUAAGCUAAAGGGGGAAAAACCCUGAUUUCUGGAUCCUAGAUUUGCCCCUUUUUGUAUAAUUCAAAAACUAAGCAAAAUUUGAGGUUGAGUUCAAAAGCAAAGUUGUAGCUCUUGGCAAGAUGUACAACUUUGGUGUUUUGAGUUUUUGAAGUUCCAAUACAAAAUUCAAAGUAAUUUUGAAAUUACAGAUUUCCGAAAAGUGUCCCCUUUUCUAACUUAAACCCCCAAUUCAAAAUCCAUUUGGAAUUCUGAAAAGUGGUCAACAUGAAAGUUGUAGAGCACAAAAAGUUGAGCAACUUUCAUGUUGGAAGUUUUUCAAGUUGUUAUACAAAAUCAAAAGUAAUUUUGGAAAUUCUGUUUUGCCCCAAUUCAAAAAUUUGGAAUUUCUUGGAUUUGAGUUUGAUUUUCAAACUGUUUGGCCAAAUUCACCCUGUUACACUCAAAAUCAGUUCUGGACUCUUAAAUAGGUUUUGUAGCUUAUAAAAUUUGGCACAACUUUUGUUUUGGUGGAAAUUUGACUUUAGUUCAAAUUUUGGUCGGAUUUCACAAAAAGACAACUGAGUGGAUGAGGCCGGCUACAGUGAUCGGCAGGGGGGGGUGCUCUGCCGCCGGGGCAGAGCCGCCUCCGCGCGCGCCGCCACGCAGCUGGCCACGCAGCUGCUUGCUGCUGUGCUUCGCGUGGACGUCCUCAUCCGCGAACCGCCUUCCGUUGUGGGGAUAAAGCCCCGAGUGGCCAGAGUCCCCUUUUCUUUUUCUUGAACCCCGACGCCGACGAGCUCCCUGCGCCUCUCCAAUUCGCCUCACUCGCUGCUGUUUCAAGCCACCUGAGCACCCCAGCAGCUCCGCCGUGAGCCCCGCCACCGAUUGCGCCCCCAAACACACGCUCUAUCCUACCGUAGCUUCCACCCGAGCCGUUUCUCCCCCAACUCCGGCCGAGCGCCACCGCAAGCACGUCACCGUGGCCAGCUUCACCCCGCGCCUCCCCGCUGCUGUUUCUUGCUUCGUUGAAGUCACGGUGAGCUUCUGGUGCUGUUGCGCCGCUUACUUCACGCUCUACUCGCCUGAAGCGGCCGGCGAUGGCUCGACCGCGGCGGCCAUCCGCCAUGAGCGUGGACAGGGAGGGUAGGAGGGAGUAGAGGUGGUCUCGUAUGUCCUAGAGGUUGCGUGAGACGCUGGAGAUGCUAACCCACCCCGCCGCGCAGGCCGGGAGCUCACCGGCGCGGAGCCGGAGCUCACCGGAGCGGUGGUGGGAGGUUGAAGACGCCUCUGACGGGCGGGACCCGCCCGUCAGUGGCCGCGUGAGAGAAAGCGCGCGCGCGGUCCGCGCGGGAGAGCACUCUCGGGCCGACUUGGGCCAGAUCCCAGCGGGCCGCCAGCGUGGCACAGUGCCCUUUUCUUUUUCUUUUUGUUUAAAAGUGCUUAAUGUUUGAAUUUGUGUAAUAAUUCGUGUGCUAAUCCAAAAAUCGUGGAAAUUUUUGUGUAGAUUCUCUGAAAUAUAUAGAACCCAAUAAAAAUAUUAAAUUCUGUUUUCUGGUAGUUUACAUGUCUGUAAAAAUUUGCCCUUUUAAUUAGCAAAUAAAACUUGUAUGAUUUUUAAUAAUUUAUUUGUAUGUCCAAAAAUCACCAAAAAUUGUGGGGAGCCUCUGAAUAUUAUUCCCUGGCUCCACACAAAAUUUGAUGGCAUUUGGAUAAUGUUUGAUUAAAAUAUUAAUAAACCCUUAUUUAGUACUUAAGUAAUAAUUCCAAAAUAAUUAAAUAGUGAUUAAUUAGGUCCUCAUAAUUAGGGUUGAGUGAUUUUGGAUUAUGUGAUGACCUGAGGUCAUUAACCCUAAUGACCUUUGGCAUUUAAUUAUUGUUUAGCCUUAAUGCUUAAUUACUGUCAUUAGUAAUUAAUUAAGAGUUAAUUAAGGUAAAUAGGUUUAAUAAUUACUUAAUUUAAGAUAAUUAUGAAUUAAGUAAAGUUUUAGUUUACAGAUGCAACCUCUUGGGUAAAAAUAUUAAGUUAUUAAACAACUUUAUUUAUUAAUUGUUCUGCACUGCAUUGGGAGGACAAAUUGUACUUAAUUCGGUCCAUCUUGCAUAAUUGCCAUACGCAUAUCAUAAGCAUUCAUCAUCUUGCGUAUAGCGUCCGUGAUCGAAGGAGCGCCCGUUGAACCGAACCCCGAGGUCGGUGCUCCGUUCGAGGAAGUCGGAUCCGAGACUUGGGAAGUCUCCGAGGGUCCCUCUCUGCCCUGCAACCAAGGCAAGCCCCGGAUGCAUUAACCCCUCCUUGGAUGUUUUAAAUCUUUUAUCACUUGUAAAUUAAAAAUGCUGCAUUAUGUAGCUAAGAAUUGGGUUAACCUACUUGCUGCAUUUACUACCUUGAUAUCUGUUAUCCUGUCCUUGACACCUGUUUAUUUUAAAACUGCGUAGCAAUGCUUAGCCCUGCUACUAGAUAGGUUUUAAACAAGAAAGUUUGAAGGGUUGUUGUGGGAUACACUUACUAUCAAUGAAGUUUCAAUUUGAGACCGGUCGGUGGACUUGCUUUAAGAAUGGAGUCUUAAAGUAGUGUCUCCAACUGUGUCGAUUAAGGACCGGUCCGUUGAUGGCCUGCUGGGUUGAGAAUUUAUAGUACUAGCCACUUGCCUCCGGUAAGCCCAGUCUUGUGAUCCCUCGACGCGAACAGCUACUCGCGCACUGGGAGUGGAAAGAUGGCGAGAGUAGUGUGUACCCACCUUACGGAUCUGAGAUGACCGGAAAACAUCUAGAUCGGCUGUAGGAUGGUGGAGUACUGUGCUCUCGGGUGCCGCGAACCUAGUCAAAUUUGGGGAGAGCUUGAUUUGGGUUGAUAUAUGCAAGAAUUGGUUCUACAUAUGUCGGGUGGUUAGGAACUCCAGCUGGAUUGCUAAGCGAUUCGAAUCGUCGUUGCUCCCCGAUUGGGAGACUCAAUUCCUUCGACCCUCAUCGUAGUUAAAUAUGCAACUAAGUGAUAUAAUGAGAAGGGGAAAAUGUCUCAUGAGGUUCGGAUCCCAAUUCCCGGACCCAUAGCGACAUGAAGCUAUGGCCAUCAAUAAAUAAUACUUAAUGAUAGGACUAGGAACUCACGGAUUCGUCUGUGGGGAACAACUAGUUAGACUAUCCUCGAAUUCCUCUGCCUCUGCGAGGGAGGAAUUCUGGAUAAAACUUGAAAAUAAGGAUGCACUACUAGUAAGCUUUUACGCAAACACUUUGGCUCCUUGCUCAGCCACCCCUUGUCUACCCUAAGCCUGCAUCCCUAAAUUCUCCUCUUUUCCCCGGCGGAUAAGUCUUGUUGAGUACUCCCGUACUCAGGGUUUCAAUACCCCUGUUGCAGGUGAAGCACAGGAGCCGACUUGUUUCGGACCCUGUUGUGUGACCGUCGUCGAGGUUGACGACGAAGAAGAGUGAGCGUGACCCAUGGGCAGGGUCUGUAAUUUUGUUCUGUCUGUACUAAAGUUUCAGUUGCUCCGCUGGACCAGGCUUGUAAUAACACUCUACUAUUUGGAAGCACUCCUUUUGUAAAUUAAGUUAUGUAAUACUUCCGCUAUUUCACUCUGAAAUAUUAUUUUGGUCUUGUGUUGUUGAGUUACUGCUUUAUCUUCGCAACGAAUGAUCCUGGUGUUAAAGUGGCCACUUGCUAUCCUGUAAGGGCAAGGAGAAACAGUUCUCGUUGUUUGACCAUUACCAGUGGUCAGGACAAGCCAGCUUGGUACGCCACAGGUAGCAGUGGAAUGAGCGCCCCAAUGCUCAUCGGACUUCUAAAGUGGGAGGACUCCCGGCAUCACCGUCAGAGGUCCUUAGGACAAUGGCAGGUGUCGGUGGGCCCAAACACUUAGGAGGUUCUGCCACAAAUCAACAUCUAGACUUAGGGUUUUAUCUGACAUAAUUCCACGAGUUUUGGUGUUUGUCUAUUUCUGCAGGGGGUUAUCAGAAAAUACGGAAGAAAGGCCCACACGUCGGGAUUACAUAUCGAUAUUAACGUGCCGCGCAAUUAUCUUACAUCUAGAAGACUCCAGAAGCCACGGGAAGGAAGCGGAUGCCGAACGGGGCCAGAGGCAGGGCGCCCGCCCUCCUGCCCUGGGCGCCCGCCCUGACUUGGAGCCCAAUCAGGACUCUUUCUCUCGGGAGAUCUCCACCGACCUAAAGGAUCAAGAAUAACCAUUCAAUCAAUGUCGGUUUGAUCCGACGGCCCAGGUUCACUUGAGGGGACUAUAUAACCAGACCCCCUGGCCCCUGGAGGAGGCACCCCUUGAUCAUUAUUCAUUAUUCAUAGAUAGAGCAAAAGCUAGGGUUUAGAGAUGAGAGCUCUCCUCUCUUCUCUAAACUAGAGUAGAUCUAGAUAGUAGCAAGAUGGAGAGGGAAGGAGGAUUAGAGGAGAGGCCGGCCUGUCGGUUCUUCCUCCGGUUGUACUUUGUCAUGAUCAAGCUCUAAUCAAGCUUGCUCAUGGGAUGACUCUGGUAAUCUACUUCUAAUUCAUUAUGCAAUUACUAAUCAUGUAUGUUCUGGUUCACAACUCUUUUGAGUACUUCUAAUCUAUAGGACGCUAUAGGUUAGAGUUGUAGUAUAGGUGUAAGCGUGGUGCUUAGACCUAGAUUACUUGUGGAUAUCCCCUGUCUAGCUGGAUCGUGUGGUAGGCCGCGUAGGUGACAGUUACGUUGGUCCUCUGUAGUCCACCUCUCGUUAGCAGGACGGGUAGGGUUUAUCGGCCUAUGGAUAAGCAUCCUUUGUGGUGUACUCUUAUCACGUGGUUCGUCCCAGACAUAGACAUACCCCUUUGAAGUAGAGAAACCAUAGUUAUCCUCUCUAUUCUGCUACCAUCGCCCAUAUACUAGAAUUGCUCUACUCUCUAUUUCCAUAUUAUCACUCACUGUUAUCUUACCUUUAAUAUUGUUCUUAUUCGAUUCUAUCAUCUUUCCUAUUUACACCUAUCUAUCUACCUUGGUUAAGUUAGAGCGUAGUUGGUUCUCCCGUUUCCCUGUGGAUACGAUAAAACCUUUAACCGGGUAAAAGCUUCAACGGUAUCCGUGCGCUUGCGGAUUAUCUGUGUGCGUAUAAAUACCAUAGUACACUCUAGUGCCAUGCUAGGGAUGACAACCUAGUAUUCAAGUGGUGUUAGCAAGUGUCAACAAUGUCGUCUACGUAAGCCUCUACAGUUUUGCCUAUGAGGUCCCCAAAGACCUAGAGCAUACAUCGCUGGUAUGUAGCCCCUGUGUUCUUAAGGCCGAAAGGCAUCGUUAUGUAGCAAAACAUUCCGAAAGGGGUGAUGAAAGAGGUCGCGAGCUGGUCGGACUCUUUCAUCUUGAUUUGGUGGUACCCGGAAUAAGCAUCAAGGAAAGAUAAAGUUUCACAACCCGCAGUAGAGUCAACUAUUUGAUCAAUACGAGGUAAUGGAAAGGGAUUUUUAGGACAUGCUUUAUUUAAACUAGUAUAGUCUACACACAUCCUCCACUUCCCAUUUUUCUUUUUGACUAGUACAGGGUUAGCUAACCACUCGGGAUGGAAUACUGUUGGGUAUUCUUAACAUCAUUACCAAAAGUAGACUUAGUUUUCUAAUUCUAGUAACGGUGCCAAAAAUGCCAAACCUAUCCCUCGUACCACUUAAGCUAAGUUGUCAUCCCCAGCAUGACAUGAGAGACGCGGUAUUGAAAUAUGCAAUUGCUCUUCUAAAUAAAUAAUGAAUGGGAUCUGCAAGCGCACAGAUUAAUACUGAUGUAGCAUUUUAACCGGGAAGUAUUCCAGGUAUCGUUAUUUAUAUUUUUACCACUGGGAAGGGAUUAACAAUCAUCAAUAUUGAUUACAGAAUAGAAUAUGAGAUUGAGUAUCUAUCAUUGCAUGUAUAAUUGAGAACAAUUAUCUAACUCUUUCAUACAGGGAUAAGUGUCACAUAAAAGAUAUAGAAGUCAUGAAUAGUGACAAAGAUAAUUAAUCUGAUCAUAAAUAGCCACAUAAUAAAUAUGAUAAGCACCUCAAUUAGAUACUCUAGAAAGUCAUUAGCAUGGAAUUAGAACGAACUACAAGAAUAUUUCCUAUGUUAUUCUCAACUAUAUAGUCUAGCAUUAUCAUAGUUAGUGCAAGCAUACUUAGCAAUCAUUGUGAGACAAGACUACGCCCAUGCAUAGUGAUAUUAGCAAGGUAAAUGAGAAACAUAGCAAUCACUCCCCUGUAAUAAUGUUGCUCUGCCAGCCCAAUACACGAGCGGGAGACUAUAUAAGAAUCAAUGAAGCUAUCACUAUCACGAACUACCCCACGAUCUGGCAUAUUGGGUACAAUCGCAGAUAAAUACGGUAUAAGCACCACGCCUACACAAUAUCUAUCAUUUACCCAUGGAUCCGAUGGAUAAACGCUAUACGAUCCUAAGCAUGUAUAUAGAUCCAAUCUAACUAAGCCAAGUAUAUAACUAUGAUAAACUAAGAACAAUAUAAUCUUGAAUAUAAGCAAGUAGAGCAAAGUCAUAAGCAAUAUAUUGAAGUAGAACAAAGUUAUAUUCAUAAUAUUAAAGAACAAAGAUAAUUAGAAAGCAAUUAGAAGCACAAUUAGAGAAUUACCAAGAAUCCUCUUGACAAAUCUGGAAACCAAUCGAAGAUUGACUCCUUCUAGUUCUAAUCCUAUGUAGCUAUGCUAAUCUAGAUAUCUAAUUGAUGUGUGGCUCUAAUCUUGAUCAGAGGCUUCUUCUCCCUUGAGGAAUAAUGAAUUAGGGUUGAGAGGCUCCCUCCUCCAGGGGCCAGGGGGUCUGGUUUUAUAGUCCCUUCAUGUGAAUAUGGGCCGUUGGAUCAAACCGACUUAGAUUGGACGGUUAUCCUUAAUCCUUUUGGUCGGUGGAGAUCUCCCACGAAGUAGAGUCCUGAUUGGACUCUCAGAGGGGGCGGGCGCCUAGGGGAACAGGGUGGGCGCCCUGCCUCUGGCCCCGUUUCGCCUCCGCUUCGGUCUCGUGGCUUCUGGAGUCUUCUAGAUGUAAGAUAAUUGCGCGGCACGUUAAUAUCUCUAUGUAAUUCCGACGUGUGGGCCUUUCUUCCGUAUUUCCUGAUAACCCCCUGCAGAAAUAGACAAACACCAAAACUCAUGGAAUUCUGUCAGAUAAAACCCUAAGUCUAGAUGUUGAUUUCAUUUGGAUGCUUUUCUUUGUUUAUUUUAUAAUUAAAUUUGAUACUUAAGGACCGUCAACAAACUCCCCCAAGCUUACCUCUUGCUUGUCCCUGAGCAAGGAUAGACUCAGCAAUGGAUUAGAAGUUGUUGCAAUAUCUUUAAAAAAUUGAUGGUACACAUGCUUUUUAAAUAAGAUCUCAUCUCUGAGUUAGAGUAAACUGUCAAGACUUAAAACUUACUUACUUUACCUUCACCAUGGGACUUGUAACCGUCACUUCUAUCUUGAGUGGUUAAAAGAUAGAACAGUCUAGUCAAGUGCCAUGUCUCUUAUUCUUGAUCAGCUAUAGCUCUGGUGUUUUUGCAGAUUUUUCAAAUAAAACUCAGAGAUUCCUUGUAUGAUUCUCUCAGAUCUCUCUUUUGUGGUAUUUCUGGAUCCUUACCAAGGCAGUGAUGCUAUAUGCCUUCUCUCAAAAUAUGUGGUAUUUGUGGUAUAAAGCAUAGUGACAUUGCCUUCUCUCACACCCUACUCUAAUAAGGCUUUAAUAUCUGGAGCUCAUAGGUGGGAGAUAAAAUAUACAUACUCACAAGACAUUUAUUGCAUAGUCAAACCAUGGAUCCAAAGAAACAAAUCAAUAAGUCAAAUCAAGAUGUGCAUGUGUGGCGAAUGAAUGGUGUAUGGUGAUGAUGGUGAUAACAAUGGUGAAAGUCUAAUUCUACUUUUGCUCUUUGAGGGGAUACAUACCUUCCUUGCUUUUUGAAACUUUGUGAGGAGAAUGAGAUGCUCUUCUUUUUCUUUUCUCUUAGGUGGGUAUCUUGUACCCCUAAUUCUACUGUCGGACACUUGUCCAUUUUUACCUCUUGUCUCACUUUUUCUUUUUUCUUUCGAGGUUCCGGGCACUUGCCCCUUUUUAUUUCCUCGUAUUUAUUUAUUUAUUUUUUUUAGAGCACUCUUCUCUUGAGAUAAUAUAGCAAGUGAUAGUAACAAGAUAACUUGAGCAUUUAUUUCACAAGGGAAAAACAGAAAUAUUUUUGGCUAUUCUCUCUCGGAUUAGGAGUAGAAUAUUUUUAGGUGAUUCUGGAGAUGGAAAUGGAUGAAUAUAUGUGGAUGGUACUUCCAGAGUAGAAGUAGCAUAUAUGAGUGAACGUGCAAGUGAAUCUUGAUUUUAACUACAUGACAAGCUCCUAAGGGUCUACACAACUUGACCACACUCAAUGCUCAUAAGUAGUAAAUAGUAAAUGUGUGGCUCAAAGUCUAGCAAGCAUGUAUAUAUGGCUGUGGUAGGAAUUUAAACUCUCAUCAUACAGAAACUCAUCAUGCAAUAUUUUAAAGAUUUUUAAAGAUAAAAUUCUCUAGAAUUCUAGCAUCUCUAGGAACAGAUAAACAGCGGCUCAACCUUCCCAUAUCGUAUCCGUUAACAACUUAGACUUCAGAUCAAGUUUUCAUCCUACAAGUUUAGGUCUAGAGCACGCUUUAAAUUAUAACAGUUAUGUCUAAACUUGAGAGAGAACUUAAAAUGUGCAAAUUAGGCAGAGCAACUAUUCAUCAUAUCCAAGCUUGAGUUUAUUCAGAUACAGAUUAGCAUAGCCACUUUAUUUAUUUAUUAAACACACUAAGCAAAAGAUAUAUAUAUAAGCAUAAAAUCUUUAUUUGGUUUUUUAUAGUUUAUGUAUAUUUAUAUUCUAAAAUAAUAUAAGUAUAAAGAUAGAUAUAUAGAAAUAAUUAUCGGGAUAAAUAGGGUUGCUCUCCCCCAAGCUGAAUUUUGACGUAAUUUCUCUUGAUGUAACUAGCAGGUGGCAGAGGUGUAUUUGAAAGUCAGCAGCAUUCUGACAGUGAUUAGAAUGUCCUCCGUCUGCUAGUCUUCUUGAUUCUUAAAUUCUGUGGAGCUCAAAUAGACAACAAAGCUUGUGGAACUGAUUAAGUGUUAGCAUAAAUAUCUAGCCUUCAUCAUGUUGAGUCUCCUUAAUAAUUAUUACUCCCUAUUUUUAUAUUUUCAUUUUUAUAAAGCAGAAAUGAAAUAUUUGUUUUAUUUUUAUGCCACCACAGCGAAUGUACUUAUGGGUUUUAUGCCACUCGUAUACUCACAUGGGGCUUACUAUUUUUCACAUUUUUAUUUUCUUUUUAGGAUAGUAUGAACCAGAUUAACUAAAUAAACUAUUUCAAAUAAUUAAAAGGAAAGGAUAACUACCAAGUUUACCUCUUGGCAAGGCGUUCGGUGUUUUUAAGUCCUCCGAACGGAACUCUCCGUUUUCUCAAUUGUCCUGGGAUUCGUUGGGUGGCGCAGUCGGUACUUCCGGCGGCGCCUCCUCUUCAUGUAUAGUUAUCUACCUGACUCGGUGCUUCGGUCUCCUCAGGAUAGUUCUGUUUAAACUCUACGUCUUCUGACCUUAUAACUUCUCCUUCGUAGUCUGCCCAACCGUCCUUGAUGAUCUGCCUCCUCUGGUUGCGGUUGCGUCGUUUCUUGACCUGCUUAGAUUCUUCAACGAUAUAGUUAGGGUCAAUAAAAUAACGGUGUACCUUCUCUGAGGGGAAGUGCAUAUGGACUUCUCUGGUUCCAAUGUAGAUGAUUGCUUUAACGGUGCUGAGGAACGGUCUUCCAAGGAUGAUGGGUGGAUCAUAUUCAUCUUCUCCCAUGUCAAUAACCUAAAGUCUGUGUAGACAAAGUGAUCGUCUAUCUUGACAGGGACAUCAGUUACUGUUCCUUUAACCUCUCAAAACGUCUGAUCUGCCAUCUGGAGCUGAAUGUAUGUUGGUUUUAAGGGCAUGGUUCCGAACAAGAGCCGAUAGGUGACUGCGGCCAUUAUGUUGACGCCCGAUCCGGUGUCGCAAAACGUCUUGUAGAAGCUGUAUCCAUUUAUGGAGCAAUAGAUGCUUGGCAUUCCUGGGUCGUCCUUCUUGGUCAAAAACGGUGACUUAAGUUGAUGAUCUUGGCCUCCAUGAACUACAGUGACCAUCUUAGCUGACUCGGUCCACACUUGCUUGUUCCUGUUCCUCCUGUUGGUCAUCUUCCUUGAUUCACGUCUGGAUUGAUCUAGGAUUUGUGUAGUCUUGUUCUUGAAGAAAACGUCUCCUUCCUCCCUUUGAUGUAGAAACUGAUCUUGGCAGCGCUAGAGUAGAUGAUAGCUCCCGUGGUGUUUAAGAAUGGCCUCCCUAAGAUGAUGGGUGCCCUCUCAUCAUUACCGGUCUCUACCACUACGAAGUCUGCUGGGGCGUACAAGGUACCAACUCGGACACAGAGGUUCUUCAAUAUUCCCUUGGGGCAACUUAUUGUCUGAUCUGCAAACUGCAAACACAUGGUUGUCUCUAAUAAAGGAUAUAUAAAGAAUUUUUCAUAGAGUACCCUGGGCAUAAUGUUGACACUGGAGCCAAAGUCACAGAGUGCUUCUGGGACGUCCACCAUGCCGAUGGAGAUCGGGAUGACGGGGCGUCCUGGAUCGCCUUUCUUGACCGGCAGAAGGUCAGUAGUAAAUUCAGUGAUGGGGUUACUCCAAUUACCUGCAUCAAACAUGUCUACAAGAUUUGCAGAUUCUAAUCCUUCCGGUUGUGAUGGUAUACCGAGGUUAGUAAUAGGAACAGCAGCAGCUAUUUGAUUUAACUGAGAUUCAAUCAUUUUAUUAAAGCUAAUUUGAUUCUUGAUGGUAGUAGAGAAAUUAUCCAUUCUAUUAUUUAUAUUUUCUAGCAUUUUAUCAUUUGAUGCCAAUUUCUUAGAUAGGUUAUCCAUUAGCUUUUCUUGAUUAGACACUAACUCUCUCAGAGAUGGAAAAUUAUUAUUAUUGUUGUAAGAAUUGUUACCUUGAUAAUUACCUGAGUAGUUAGGCCUUUGUUGAUUCCAACCUUGAUUUUGUUGAGGACGAUUGUAGUAGUUGUUGUUGUUAUUGUUGAUGUAGUUCACAUCCUCAAGUAUCUCAGGGUAGUGAUUGCCUGAGUGUCCAGUAUCUCCACACUCCUCACAAGUCAUGUGAGAGUCCUAGAUGUGCAUAACUUUCUUCUUAUCUCCAGCUCUAUCAUCGAGCUUCUUCAUGAGUAGGUCUAGCUUUGCAGACAGCAUGUCUACCUCCUUGAGCUGAUGCAUACCUGCACCUCUCUUGCGUGUCUGGGUCCUCUCUUCAUUCCAGCCUUGAUUGGACGCCAUCUUCUCCACAAGAGUUGUGGCUUGUGGUAUGGUAAGUGAUAAGAAUGCUCCUCCAGCUGCAGCAUCCAUGGUCUCUCGGGCACUGUUGCCAAGCCCAUGAUAAAACGUCUGCAUCAAUAGCCAACUCUCCAUUCCAUGAUGGGGACAUUCUAGGAUGUAGUCUUGAAAGUGCUCCCAUGCUUCUGGAACAGAUUCAGCAUUUUGUUGCUAAAAACUUGUAAUCUUCCCACGGAGAGCAUUGGUCUUGCCCAUGGGAAAGAACUUAGCGAGGAAGUUUGUUGAGCAGAGUGCCCACGUAGUAUUCUUCUCCUUUGUAGCAUAGAACCACUGCUUCGCUCUCCCUAAUAGUGAGAAUGGGAAGAGGCGAAGUAGUAUAGCAUCUUUGGAAACUCCUGAUAUGGUAAAUGUGUUGCAUAUCUCCAGGAAGUGUUGUAGAUGAGCACUAGCAUCUUCGUGUGCCUUCCCACAAAACUGGUUGGAUUGCACCAUGUUGAUAAGUCCAGGCUUGAGCUCAAAGUUGCCAUCGAUCUCUGCAGCAGGUCCAGUGUGGAUGUUGUCCGUAGUGGGAGCUGAGAACUCGCGGAUUGAUUUGUUCGCCAUGGCUCCGAACUCUGAAGACAAGUUCCGGUGAUCUUCUUGAUUGGAUGAAGCUUCUUGCUGAAGUGUUGAUGAUCUCUUCUUUAGCUUGGCUCUAGUUCUUCUGAAUAACGCUAUGGGAUUGUCAACAAAAUUUCCUGGAAGAUGUCUUCUAUUCAUACAUUCCCCUGCAUAAGAUAAAAUAGAAAAAUAUCUGGGUAAAACUGUAUGAGAGAAUAGAUAAGCUCAAUCAUAUUAGUGAUGCGAAUGAUAACUCAAAAUCCUUUAUUCCAUUCCUGAUUAGUAAUCAACCUUCCCCGACAACGGUGCCAAAAAAUGCUUGUUGGGUAUUCUUAACAUCAUUACCAAAAGUAGACUUAGUUUUCUAAUUCUAGUAACGGUGCCAAAAAUGCCAAACCUAUCCCACAUACCACUUAAGCCAAGUUGUCAUCCCCAGCAUGACAUGAGAGAUGCGGUAUUGAAAUAUGCAAUUGCUCUUCUAAAUAAAUAAUGAAUGGGAUCUGCAAGCGCACAGAUUAAUACCGAUGUAGCAUUUUAACCGGGAAGUAUUCAAGGUAUCGUUAUUUAUAUUUUUACCACUGGGAAGGGAUUAACAAUCAUCAAUAUUGAUUACAGAAUAGAAUAUGAGAUUGAGUAUCUAUCAUUGCAUGUAUAAUUGAGAACAAUUAUCUAACUCUUUCAUACAGGGAUAAGUGUCACAUAAAAGAUAUAUGAAGUGAUGAAUAGUGACAAAGAUAAUUAAUCUGAUCAUAACUAGCCACAUAAUAAAUAUGAUAAGCACCUCAAUUAGAUACUCUAGAAAGUCAUUAGCAUGGAAUUAGAACGAACUACAAGAAUAUUUCCUAUGUUAUUCUCAACUAUAUAGUCUAGCAUUAUCAUAGUUAGUGCAAGCACACUUAGCAAUCAUUGUGAGACAAGACUACGCCCAUGCAUAGUGAUAUUAGCAAGGUAAAUGAGAAACAUAGCAAUCACUCCCCUAUAAUAAUGUUGCUCUGCCAGCCCAAUACACGAGAGGGGGACCAUAUAAGAAUCAAUGAAGCUGUCACUAUCACGAACUACACCACAAUCUGGCAUAUUGGGUACAAUCGCAGAUAAAUACGGUAUAAGCACCACGCCUACACAAUAUCUAUCAUUUACCCAUGGAUCCGAUGGAUAAACGCUAUACGAUCCUAAGCUUGUAUAUAGAUCCAAUCUAACUAAGCCAAGUACAUAACUAUGAUAAACUAAAAACAAUAUAAUCUUGAAUAUAAGCAAGUAGAGCAAAGUCAUAAGCAAUAUAUUGAAGUAGAACAAAGUCAUAUUCAUAUAUUGAAGAACAAAGAUAAUUAGAAAGCAAUUAGAAGCAGAAUUAGAGAAUUACCAAGAAUCCUUGACUGAUCCGGAAACUAAUCGAAGAUUGACUCCUUCUAGUUCUAAUCCUAUGUAGCUAUACUAAUCUAGAUAUCUAAUUGAUGUGGUGGCUCUAAUCUUGAUCAGAGGCUUCUUCUCCCUUGAGGAAUAAUGAAUUAGGGUUGAGAGGCUCCCUCCUCUAGGGGCCAGGGGGUCUAGUUUUAUAGUCCCUUCAAGUGAAUAUGGGCUGUUAGAUCAAACCGACUUAGAUUGGACGGUUAUCCUUGAUCCUUUAGGUCGGUGGAGAUCUCCCACGAAGCAGAGUCCUGAUUGGACUGUCAGAGGGGGCGGGCGCCCAGGGGAACAGGGCGGGCGCCCUACCUCUGGCCCCGUUUUGCCUCCGCUUCGGUCUCGUGGCUUCUGGAGUCUUCUAGAUGUAAGAUAAUUGCGCGGCACGUUAAUAUCUCUAUGUAAUCCCGACGUGUGGGCCUUUCUUCCGUAUUUCCUGAUAACCCCCUGCAGAAAUAGACAAACACCAAAACUCAUGGAAUUCUGUCAGAUAAAACCCUAAGUCUAGAUGUUGAUUUCAUUUGGAUCCUUUUGUUUGUUUAUUUGAUAAUUAAAUUUGAUACUUAAGGACCGUCAACAAAUACCUCCUUGAUGAAUCCGACCGCCAGCAACUUGUGGAUCUCCUCCCCGAUGGCCCGAUGCUUCUCCUCGUCGAAUCGGCGCAGGCGCUGCUUCACGGGCUUGGAGCCGGCUCGGAUGUCCAAGGAGUGCUCGGCGACUUCCCUCGGUAUGCCAGGCAUGUCCGAGGGACUCCACGCAAAUAUGUUGGCGUUUGCGCGGAGAAAGUCGACGAGCACUACUUCCUAUUUAGGGUCGAGGCUCGAGCUGAUCCUCAAUGCCUUGCCUUCAGAGGUCCCGGGGUCGAGGAAGACGAGCUUGGUCUCCUCCGCUGGCUCGAAGCUCCUGGCAUGACGCUUGGGGUCAGGGAUGUCCUGGUCGCCAUCACCGAGGCUGGUGAGGAUAGACAGAGACUCAGCCAGAGCCUUGGCCUGCUCGAUGCACUCGAUGUCGCACUGGUAGGCGUGCUGGCUGGUCAUGCUGACGGUGAUGAUGCUGUUUGGUCCCGACAUCUUGAGCUUGAGGUAGGUGUAGUUGGGGACGGCCAUGCACUUGGCGUAGCAUGGUCAUCCCAGGAUUGCGUGGUAGGUACCUAGGAACCCGACCACGUCGAAGGUGAGGACCUCCCGUCUGAAGUUGUCGGGGGUCUCGAAGCAGACGGGCAGAUCGAUCUGCCCGAGGGGAUGGGCGCGAUGUCCCGGCACCACUCCGUGGAAAUGUGAUGCAUCAUUCCUCAGCCGAGACUUGCUGAUCCCCAUGAGGGCCAAAGUCUCGGUGUAAAGAAUGUUGACGCCGCUGCCUCCGUCCAUCAGCACCUUAGUGAGACGAGUCUCGGUGAUGAUGGGGUCGACAAUCAGUGGAUAACUCCCGGGGUUGGGGAUCCGAUCCGGGUGAUCCUGCCGAGCGAACGUGAUCGCGCUCUCGGACCAUUUGAGGUACGAGGGCGUGACUGUGCCGACUGCGCAAACUUCUCAGAGUUCGUGCUUCCUUUGACUCGCGGUGAGGCGAGCCGCACGUCCCCCAAAGAUCAAGAGGCAGUUCUUGUCCUUGGGGAAGCCUUCUACCUGAGGGUCGUCGUCCUUGGGGGGCUCUUCAGCGCCCUCCUUGACUAUGAUGUCGGUGUAAUACCGACGCAGGAUAGUACACUCCUCGAGAGUGUGCUUGGUUGGGCCCCUAUGAUAGGGGCAUGGCUUCUUCAACAUUUUGUCGAAGAGACCGGGGCCAGCAGGAGCCCGCUUGGGGUUCCUGCGAUCUGCCCACGGCGACCAGGUUGUCGUCUGACUGACCCUGCUUUCCCUUGUGACACUUCUUCUUCUUUUCUGGGUCGCGAGAGCCUGAGGCCUCGGUGGUCUCGGCCCUUUGUUUCCCCUUGGCCGCGCCGUCGGAGAAAAUUGCACCAACCGCCUCUUCGCCUGAGGCAAAGUUGGUGGCGAUGUCGAGCAGCUGGCUGGUGCUCAUGGGGGUCUUGCGACCGAGCUCGUGUACCAGCUCUUUGCAGGUGGUACCGGCGAUGAAGGCUCCGAUGAUGUCGGAGUCUGUGAUGCUGGGGAGCUCGGUGCAUUGCUUGGAGAAUCGCCUGAUGAUGUCUCGGAGGCACUCAUUGGGCUUCUGCCGGCAGCUCCUGAGGUCCCAGGAGUUCCCAGGGCGCACGUAUGUGCCCUGGAAGUUCCCGACGAAGAUCUUGACUAGGUCGGCCCAGUCGUGGAUCACGCGCUCGGGAAGAUGCUGGAGCCACGCUCUGGCCGAAUCAGCCAGGUGGAGUGGCAAGUUGCGGAUGAUGAGCAAGUCAUCGUCCGCGCCGCCUAGCUGGCACGCUAGGCGGUAGUCCGCUAGCCACAGCUCAGGGUUAGUUUCUCCUGAGUACUUGGUGAUGUUAGCGAGCUGUCGGAAUGGCACCGAGAACUUGGCCCUGCGGAUGGCCUCGCUGAAGACGCGGGGGCCCGGAGGCUCCGGCGACGUGCUGCAGUCAUGGUCGGGGUCGUACGUCCCGCCUCGGCGCGGUCGGUAGCGCUGAGAGUUGGCCUCAUCCCUGUCACGCCGUCUGGCCUCAAGGGUGGCCCGGGCAUCCACAUUGGUCCCGAUACGCUCAUGGACAGAUGGGGCCUUGUUGCCCCCUUGCGGAUUAGGGGGCGGCGGACUCUACACUGUUGGUGCUUUGUUAGGAGGGGGUCAGUCCCCUUGGUGUCUCGUGCCGUGGGACUGGGACGCAGAACUUUCUGCGUUCUGCACCACAGCUUGCUCCAGGAGGCCACGUAGCCCCUGGCGCACCCUUCUCCCCUCAGGACUCGAUGGCUCGGGCAUCGCUCUGAGAAGGAGUGCGGCAACCAUCACGUUCUGGCUGGCCGUACUGAAGACUGGGGGAUUAUCUCCCCCUUCGUCCUCGAUGAUGCGGCGGUUGACGUCCCGGGCGCGGAGUCUAGCGUCGCCUCCGUCCCCACGGGCGGACUGGUCUUGGACCAGGGUCUCGCGGAGUUGGCGGAGCCGUACGCACUCUUCUUCGAGCCUGGCCUCCAGCUCAUUAAGCUGCUCGAGGUCAGGGUGCCGAUCACCCGCGGGGGCUGAAGCGGCCCCGCGGGCUCCAGGAUGGGUCCCGAGAGUCAUGUUGAGAGGUGGAGUGGUGUUCCCCUGCCCAGAGGGCCCCACACCCCCUUGAGCAUUGGGGGCGCUCCUCUGACCUCGAGGUUGAAACACUCUCGUGACGGAUCGUAGCCGCCGUCGUCGGAGUCGGAGUAGCCGAGGCAGUUGUUGCUGGCCUCCAGAAAGCGCAUGAAAGUUUCUGGGUCGCCACAACCGGAAAAAUCAGCGUCAGCCCACUCGUCGUCUCCUGAGGUAGGAUCCUUAGGGUACGAUGAGACGGGUGGUGUAGCGAUAAGGUCCAGGGUAGACCUCAGGUGGUGCCCUGGAAGAUCCGCGUACACACUUAAUGAAGUGCUCACGAAAGAGGCGUAAGUGGCGGCUAUGCUCUUGAGCCCAAAAGGGAGCUUGGGAGGCGCCGCUGUCUUUCCUCCAUCCUUGGGUGGAGGGCGACGAGAUGUCGAGGCCCCCUGGUUCCUCUUUUGAGGAGGGGGCGGGAGCCGUGCUUUGCCCUUUGACCGGGGCGGAACAGGAGGUCACGACGAUCCCCUGUUGGUCCGUGGAGUGGAGCUUGAUGCUCCACGGGCCCUUCCUCUAGCACCUGUCGGGCCAGAAGAAUGGGCGAUCUGGUGAGGAAUAUGCGGGGGGAGGGCCGGACAGACCCUUGCCUCGGUGGUAGGGUCAGAGAUCCUAGACCUCUGACGCCCCCACCAGGCACCCCCUGCAUGGUGCCCCGAGCGCCUCCCACGCACUGGCUGCGGUGGGAUCGGCUCAGGGCGAGGAUCGGUAUCACCACGUGGUGGGAGGAGGACCAUGUCAUAGCCGGAGCCAAGCGACAUGAACUCCAAACUCCCAAACAUCAUGAUGGUGCCGAGGCGAAGUGGGUGGAAUCCGUCUGCCAUCCGGGCUUUCCCCAAUAGGGAAAGAUGAAUGCCACGCAAAAGGCCAAUACGUGGCGCGCCAACUGUCGGCGUCUAGACUCGCCGUCUAGACACAAACGAGUAUAAGUAUGCGUGUCUCCCUAACCCAGAUGGUGAUGCAAGUGGAACACAGAGGGUUUAUACAAGUUCGGGCUAAGGAUGCCCUACGUCCAGUGUGAGAUCGGGGGUCUCUAUUGCCUUGCACCCAAAGGUGCUUGUGUUGACACUAGCUAACACCACUUAGAUACUAAGUUGUCAUCCCCAGCAUGGUGCCAGAGUGUACAAAGGUAUUUAAAAAUGUAAAGGCUCUCUAGAAAAUCCUAUUCUAUCCGCAAGCGCACAGAUAAAACACCUCAUUGCAGCAUUUCACCAGGAUAAGUAUUCCAGGUAUCGUUAUUUAUAAUUUUGCUCAGGAGACAAGGGGUGAAAUUAAGAUAAGGACUAAAUCUAUCAAAGCAUAGACUAGAGAUAGACUUGCAAGAACAUGAUUACUAAUGAGGAACUCGUCACACAGUCACUUACUUUAGCAGGGGGUAAACCAUAAAGAUAAUGAUAAUGAAUUAUAAGUUCAUGGGUAAAUAACACAGCGAUUACAAAAUAGACUACUCCUCAUAUAUGUAAGGUGACGUCGAAUUAGCUAGAGAAUGGAUUCUAAGUUAUCUACUAUCUACUAAGUCGCAAUCUACUCUAGUUAUCUACAAGAUCAUAUAUAGCAUAAAAGACUCUCCAUUCAUGUAUAAGGAACAUUGCUAAAGUAAAUCAGAGCAUCGCAAGACUUACUCCACAAUACAAAUUCUGCCUGUACUAUCAACGGAGUGUGGACUAUAUAAGAAUCAACGAAGCUGUCACUAUCGCGAACUACCACACGACCCGGCCAAUAGGAUACAUUUGCAGGUAAAUAACAUCUAAGCACCACGCCCACAUGUGAUCUACCACUUAACUAACGCGCGUCAAGAGCUAAGCGCUUUGCAAACUUAUACAUAAACUCAUUAUCAAUCAUAACUAUAUCAAAUAUAGAACUAGAGCAAACUAAGAGCAUAAUAAAUAGAGACAUAAUGCAAUUAGAACAAAGUAUUAGAAAAAGAUAUGAAUAAUACCAAUCUUUAUUACCGAAGGUCCGAAUCCAGAGCGUAGUGCUCUACUUCUCUAAUUACUAUCUAAUCAAUCCUCUAAACUUGAAGGAUUAGGGAGUAGCUAAUUCUAAUUCUCUGUGGGAGAAGUCUAAACCCUAACUUUGAUGGCUACCUCUGAUAAUGAUUUCUCCUCUUCUCUUCUCUCCCCCAGGGGUGGAGAGGCCUUGAUUAUAUAGUCCAACAAGUGAAUUUGGGCCGUCGGAUCAAACCGACAUUGAUCGCACGGUUUUCCUUGAUCCUUUAGGUCGUUGGAGCAUGAUCCAAGAGUUUGGUUCGGAUUGGCCCCGAGACCUGGGCGGGCGCCCUGCCCCCGGGCCCGAUCGCCUUCCCGUUCGUUCCCGUGGCUUCUGGACUCUUCUAGAUUGUAGAAAAUUGCGCGGCACGUAAUUAUCUCGUUGUAAACACGACAUGUGGGCCUUCUCUUCAUAUUUUCUGAUAACCCCCUGCAGAAAUAGAUAAACACCAAAGCUCGUGGAAUUCUGUCAGAUAAAACCCUAAUUCUAGAUGUUUGGUGCAUAUUGAUCCUUUUCCAUGUUUAUUUGAUGGUCAAUUUUAGUACUUAAGGACCGUCAACAAACUCCCCCAAGCUUACCCUUUGCUCAUCCCUGAGCAAACAACUAAAAUCAGAUGGAUCAGGAGUUGCUUCGAUGUUUUCUUUCCUGACAGGCACACAUGCUUUUACAUAAAAAUUCUUCCAGAUUAGAGUGAAGUGUUAUGGAGCAUAGUACCUGCACUUAAGUCUUAAGUAAUCGAAAGACAAAAUAAUUAAGUCAAGCACUAUUCCUCCUGUCUAUACUUCACCUUUGUCCUAGAGUUUUUCAUAAAUUUUCAAAAUAAAACUCAGAGUUCCCAGCAAUAAUUCUCUCAAGUCUCUCUAUAUGUGGUAUUUGUGGAUCCUUACCAAAAUGUCACAUACCUAUAGCCAAUGGAAUAUUUAAGUGGAGCUCAUAGGAGUGAAAAAAAAUAGCUCAUACAUAUGUUGUCUAAUCGAGCCAUGGAUCCAAAGGAACUCAGCAUAUAAUUAAAUCAAGAUGUGCAUGUGUGGUGGAGUAAAUGAUAGUGAUGGUAAAAGAAUGUAUAAGUGAAACUUACUUCUCAUUGCCCCUCAUAUUGCUAUCUCUCCUCUUCUUUGAUCUUUGCUUUGGGAGAACAUGGGCUAUCUCUUUUUUUCAGGUGGGUAGUAGAUACCCCUAAUUCUACUGUCGGACACUUGUCCAUUUUUUCCGCUCAAGUGGGCAUCUUUGUAUCCCUAAUUCUACUCCAGAAACUUGUCCAUUUUUUACCUCUCGUCUCACUCUUUUUCUUUCUUUUCCGAGGUUCCGGGCACUUGCCCCUUUUUAUUUCCUCGCAUAUUUUUGCAUAACCCAUGUCUCUUCUGCAUUGAAUCUUUUUAGAGAGAGGAUAACAACACUUGGGACAGUGAGUGGUAAUAAUAUUUUUAGCAAUUUUAAUGCAUGGUGAUGAAUGGUGUAGUGGAUGUGUGCAAGAGAUUAUCUUAAUUUAACCACAUGAAAAGCUCCUAAGGGUCUACACAGCUCGAUCCAACUCAAUGUGAAUAUAAUAAAAGAUGUUAUAGCAAGUAUGGCUGUGGUAGGAAUUUUGUAAUGCUAGGAACUCAUCAUGUGAUUUGCAAGUUUUCAAAAUAAAUCUCCAGAACUCAUUGUUGUAAGAACAAGAUAAAUAGUAGCUCAAACUUUAUAUCAUGUCUUUCUCUUACCUAGACUUUAGUUUUAUGCUUCCCAUAGAUAGUAAUUUCAGUUUUAGUAAUUCCUGGAAGAACUCUAAUAUAAAAGCUAUGUACUUGAAAGUAAGCAAACAGAGCAACUGUUCAUCAUUUACAUCAUGCAUCUUUUUGAUCUUUUAUUUUUCUAGAGAUUAACACUUAGCAGGAAAAAUAAAGCACACUUAUCUACACACUCUUUUUAUUUUGUUUUCAUAUUUAUAAAAUGCAGUAAUUUAAAGCAAGAAAAUAUUUAUUGGGUUUUCUAAGUUUUUUCUCUUUAAGAUAAAUAAAACACUAAAACAGAAAGGAAUAAAUAAGAAGAGAAAAUAAAAACUUACUUGAUAAAUUGGGGAGGAACUCCCCCAAGCUGGAUGUGGAUGUCGGUCUUACCUGAUGUUCCAGAAUCGCAUCAUGGUGGUGAUGUUGUCGUUCAUUGUUGUGGUGUCUUGUCUCAGUUCUUGUAAUGCAGUGGCGUGGUCCUGGUUCCAUUUUUGUUGCUCUUCCAGGAGUCGUCCAUGUUCUGCUUGCGUAUUCUGGAUGUCGAGGAGAGUGUUGUCGAUAUGGGUGAAGAAAGCACCGGCCUCUUGGUAGUAGUCGUUCGUGAAAGCGUAGGAGGUGUCGGAGUAUCGUCCGAAUUGGGGCGGAGGUCUGGAUCCUGAAGCUCCAUAUGGAUCAGUGGAGUACCUGCCCGUAAGGAAAGGCGGGUUUGUCCACUGGUGAUCUUGGCUCUCCGGCCAUGUCUCCUGUGUUGGCUCCUGUGGUUGCGCAUGUCGAACCCAUGGGUCUCGGAGGACUCAGGAGUUGUAGUCGCAAUAAUGCAGGUGCGCUGCUUCUUCUGGCCCGGGAUUAGCUCCAUACCACGUGCGUUCUCGAUGGGUGGUCAUCCUUUCAGAUGCCACUCGUUGUGGAGCUCUCUGGUUUACCGGUGUCACUGCAAUCUCAAUCAAAAAAUUUUGAACAACGUAGAGGCCAAGGUUCGGGUUAGGUAACCGAAUCUUGCCUUUAUUAUCAUAUAGCAUAUACAUUAUGUUCCCUUCUUUCUUUAACAUCCGAGCUUGUCUAAAUAUGUCAUAGCCAUGAUAAAUUCGUAACUCAUCUAUGAAUUCCAAUGAUGAAUUUUCUAGUAAAUGAAGACUAGAGGCUAGACGAGUGAUAAGUGAAGUACAUCCUACUGGUCCCUGAAGACUAGGUAUACUAAGCCAAUGAGAAACCAAAAGUGUAACGGGUGAAGUGUGUACUUUAUUAAUAGCAGCAUAUAGAAGUUGCAAGUCUCCUACUCUUACUUUCCUAAUAUCAUCACGAUAGAAAAGAUUGUGCCCAAGCCAUUUGUGGAACAUCCUAAGAGUGGGGUGUUCCAUGUCACUGGUUCGGGCUUGACUAUAAAAAUUAUCUAUAGAUAUCUCUCUCCAGAACUGGUGUCUCUCAAAAUUGGGUAGGUCGGAGUCAAUGUUCAGGAUGUAUCUUAAAGAGAAACUAAGAUGGUCGCUCAGUUCUCUCCAAGACAACAUAAUCUCCUGUUUGAACAUCCAAAAAACAAUUCCCCCCUCAUAAUAUUGUAAAGUGCAAAGAAAUUCAAGGGUGAGAAUACGGGAACCCAGCUCAGUUAUGUUCCAAAAAUUUGUCCAACCUAACAUCUGGAAAAUUAAGUCGAAUUCAGUAUCCAUACCUGUUUCUUGUAGCAAGAUUGGAUCAAGAGUAGGGGUGUGAAUGAAAUCUUUGUUCUUUAGCUGCUAGUAAACUUCCUUUUCCCUUCAGGUCUUUAGUCCAACGUCUCCUAUCUUGAGGAGGACCUUGACUUGUUGAUCAGAUGAAGAUGACGGAGCUUGUGUGGGCGUCGGGUCGACGCUCAUCUCUGAUGGGUGCGAGGAGUGUCGGUAUGAACUCCUUGUACCUAUGUUCUUGAGGGCCUUCCCUGCGUUCUUCACCUUGUUGAACAUCCUGUAAACAAAAGUUGGCAAAAACACAACUAGUGGAAAAUGUGAGAGAAAAUGUUAGUGGUCAGCUGUCCGGAAUGUCAGUAGUCUAGAGGUUAGUCGUUCAACACAAGAUUUUAUUUUGGCAGCACCUCCCCCUAAACAACUUUUACUUCUGCUUGGACAGCGGGAUCACUACUUUCUAGGUGAACCUCACUCUCUCACUCAAAGACUACCAACUUCUUUCCCACUCUUCUCUUCCUCUCUACUCUCUUCUCACUUCACUACAAGAGCUCCUUCUCUGGAAACUGAAACUUGCGUGGUUUUCUAGAAUGCUUGUGUGAUGGAGAUGGAGGCAGGAGGUGGCAAUUUAUAGGAGGAAGACGGGACAGGGCGGGCGCCCACUUGUGGUGCCCAUCCUGGCUGCCCUUUCUCCACUCCCUCCUUUGCUUAACUCUUACGCAAAAUAAUAGAUCAUGGGUGGUGGUUGGUCGGUGGAAAAGUGCUGGUGAGUGGAGAUAUGUUGGUGGAUCAAAUAAUCUGAUGGGAUGUGUGUGAGGUGUGGUGUAUGACAUGUGGGACCCAAGGAGUGUGGGUCAUGCUUCUAGAAGGUUGCUAUAAUUAAAUAUAAUGCAGGAAAAUCUAUGAGAAUUGAGAUUUAUUUGAAAUGAUAAUGGAAAAAUAUUUUUUUGUGUCUCCACAAUAAUUAAUAAAUAUGGGUUGUUACACACCAUAAAUAUUAUUUAUAUGGGGAUUUUCAUUAUUAUAAUAAUGCUAUGAAUAUAUAUGAAUAAUGCAGGAAUAAAAUAUGAGAGAAUUAAUGAUGCGGAUAAAUACCGAUUUACCUCCCGGCGAGGGUUUGGGAUUUUUUUAGGUCCCCCAAGCUGGACCUCCAAAUCUUUUAAUCUUCUGAAUUACCUUCCUCCGGAGAUGAUGUCUCCAGUGGUUCUUCUUCAUGAACUUCCUUCACUGUAGAGUCUCUCUCUGGUCUGGGUUUGAAUGUCAAGUGUUCUUCUUUUCCGUUUAUGUUGAACUUGAUUUCUCCCUUUCCGACAUCAAUGUGGGCAUUGGCAGUGCCCAGAAAUGGCCUUCCGAGGAUAAUGGAUACUUUUGAGUCAGGACUCAUGUCCAGUACCACGAAGUCUACUGGCACCAGGAAAUCUCCGAUCUUGACUCGAAUGUUUUCAGCGAUGCCCAAUGGGUGUCGAACUGAUUGAUCCGCUAGUUGCAGGCACAUUGAUGUUGGUUCUAGGGUCGUAUGCUCAAGCUUCUCAUAGACUGAUGCUGGCAUCACACUGACACUUGCUCCGAGAUCACAAAGUGCAUUGUUGAAGUGUUGGUUUCCGAUCAAGCAAUCAAUAGUGGGUCAUCCUGGAUCUUCCUUCUUCUUUGGUGGUUUAUUGAGGAUAGCCACACUACAUUCUUCUGUCAUCUUGAUAACCUCAGUGGUGGGCAAUGGUCUCUUCUUGUUAAGAAUAUCUCUGAUGUACUUUGCAUAUGUGGGUACCUGCAUGGCAUCAAGUAGAGGUAUGUUGACAUAUAAUUUCUGAAUGACCUCUACAAACUUACCAAACUGCUCAUCCGACUGUAGUCCUCUGUUUCUUUUGGGAAAUGGCAAAUAGUUGGUGUCAUAAAAAUCUUUCCUCAUUUCUCCAGUUCUUGGUGGUUGUAGCAGAUCUUCUGCUUCAACUGGGUUUUCUUCUUCUAUCACUGCUGGUUGCACUGGUGCUGAUGUUCUUUGUUUCUCUUUUGGGUAUGGGGGAUACCUGGUGGCUUUGCCUCCUCUAGUAGUUAUGUUCUUAACCUACUCAAUGUUAGUGGCAACAGGCAAUGCAGCAACUAGUUUUAUUAAUUUAAGCUCUACCCUUUUAUUAAGAGUGUUUUGCUCAUCAAAGGCAGUUAAUAGAAAAUCCAUUUUAUUGUGUAUAUCUUUUAGAGAUGAUUCAUUUGUAUCCCGCCUUUGUUUAACUUCAUCAUUAGUUUUGGUUUGUUGAGCAAUUAUCUCUUUUAAUGAAAGUUGCUUGAAAGUAUUACCUGAAUUCAUACCUUUGUUAUUGGGUUGACUCGAAGUGGUUUGAUAUUUGUGUGCUGUCUCAAUAGCCCUUUGAUCUUCUUUGAACUUGGCCCUCUGGUCAAUCCAAUAGAGCAAAUUUUCCAUCUUGGUUGAUAAUGCUUUUACUUCUUCUGGUAUUUCUUCAGCUUGAUGACAUUGUUGAGCUUUAUCUUGGAACCAGCUUUGGUUUUUUGCUAUCUUAUCCAAAAGUAUCUCUGCUUUUCCAAUUGUUAGCUCCAAGAAUGAUCCUUUAGCAGAUGCAUCUAGGCACUCACGAGCCUUCUGGGUUAAUCCAUGGUAGAAGGUCUGCAUAAGUAACCAUGUGGCCAUUCCAUGGUGAGGACAAUCUGAUAUGUAUCCUUGAAAACGCUUCCAUGCUUCUGAAAUGGUUUCUGUCUUCUGCUGUUGGAAACUGACAAUAUUUCCUCUUAAGGCAGUUGUUUUGCCUAUAGGGAAAAACUUUGAUAGAAAGGCAUCUGACAAGUUCGUCCAGUUGUUGAUGUUAUCUUGAUGAGUGUAGAACCACUUCCUCGCUUUCCCUUCUAGUGAGAAUAGAAAAAGACGAAGCAGUAUGACGUCUUUGUCGACUCCAUUGAUGUGGAUUGUGCUUCCAAUCUCUAAGAAAUUCUGCAAGUGUGCACUAGCAUCUUCAUGUGCCUUUCCACUGAAUUGUGUAGCUUGUACCAAAUUGAUGAGGCUUGACUUGAGCUCAAACUCGGGUACUCCUUCUUCUACUGCAAAUCUUGGACCAGUUGGAAUGUUCUCAAGACUUGGAGCAGAGAAUUCUUGUAGGGUCUUCUGUGCCAUAGCUUCAGCAAUUGGUAGCUAGCUUCUUCUUUGUUUCUUGAUUGCUUUGGUUCUGAUGAUGAAGAGUUGAAUGUACCCAAAGUCAAUCCUAAUAUACCAUGUAUAAAAAUAUAAACAUAGAAAAACAACAGGGUGAACCUGCCAAAGCAGAGGUGCCUUGUUAUGAUUUCUCACUUAGUAGCUGUUUUAUGCAGUUAUUUCUCUAUAGUCUAGUCUAAUAUUUUAUGUGAAUAACCUUGGCUGACUUCCUGACUUUCCUUACCGUCCCCGACAACGGCGCCAGAAAUGCUUGUUGACACUAGCUAACACCACUUAGAUACUAAGUUGUUAUCCCCAGCAUGGUGCCAAAGUGUACAAAGGUAUUUAUAAAUGUAAAGGCUCUCUAGAAAAUAAUCUAUUCUAUCUGCAAGCGCACAGAUAAAACACCUCAUUGUAGCAUUUCACCAGGAUAAGUAUUCCAGGUAUCGUUAUUUAUAAUUUUGCUCAGGAGACAAGGGGUGAAAUUAAGAUAAGGACUAAAUCUAUCAAAGCAUAGACUAGAGAUAAACUUGCAAGAACAUGAUUACUAAUUAGGAACUCGUCACACAGUUACUUACUUUAGCAGGGGGUAAACCAUAAAGAUAACGAUAAUGAAUUAUAAGUUCAUGGGUAAAUAACACAGCGAUUAGAAAAUAGACUACUCCUCAUAUAUGUAAGGUGACGUCGGAUUAGCUAGAGAAUGGAUUCUAAGUUAUCUACUAUCUACUAAGUCACAAUCUACUCUAGUUAUCUACAAGAUCAUAUAUAGCAUAAAAGACUCUUCAUUCAUUUAUAAGGAACAUUGCUAAAGUAAAUCAGAGCAUCGCAAGACUUACUCCGCAAUACAAAUUUUGUCUGUCCUAUCAACGGAGGGUGGACUAUAUAAGAAUCAACAAAGCUGUCACUAUCGCGAACUACCACACGACCUGGCCAAUAGGAUACAUUUGCAGGUAAAUAACAUCUAAGCACCACGCCCACAUGUGAUCUACCACUUAACUCCCGCGCGUCAAGAGCUAAGCGCUUUGCAAACUUAUACAUAAACUCAUUAUCAAUCAUAACUAUAUCAAAUAUAGAACUAGAGCAAACUAAGAGCAUAAUAAAUAGAGACAUAAUGCAAUUAGAACAAAGUAUUAGAGAAAGAUAUGAAUAAUACCAAUCUUUAUUACCGAAGAUCCGAAUCCAGAGCGUAGUGCUCUACUUCUCUAAUUUCUAUCUAAUCAAUCCUCUAAACUUGAAGGAUUAGGGAGUAGCUAAUUCUAAUUCUCUGUGGGAGAGAAGUCUAAACCAUAACUUUGAUGGCUACCUCUGAUAAUGAUUUCUCCUCUUCUCUUCUCUCCCCCAGGGGUGGAGAGGCCUUGAUUAUAUAGUCCUUUCAAGUGAAUUUUGGUCGUCGGAUCAAACCGACAUUGAUCGCACAGUUUUCCUUGAUCCUUUAGGUCAGUGGAGCACGAUCCAAGAGUUUGGUUUGGAUUGGCCCUGAGACCUGGGCGGGCGCCCAAGGGGGGAGGGCGGGCGCCCUGCCCUCGGGCCCGAUCGCCUUCCUGUUCGUUCCCGUGGCUUCUGGACUCUUCUAGAUUGUAGAAAAUUGUGCGGUACGUAAUUAUCUUGUUGUAAACAUGACAUGUGGGAGUUCUCUCCAUAUUUUCUAAUAACCCCCUGCAGAAAUAGAUAAACACCAAAGCUCGUGGAAUUCUGUCAGAUAAAACCCGAAUUCUAGAUGUUUGGUGCAUAUUGAUCCUUUUCCAUGUUUAUUUGAUGGUUAAUUUUAGUACUUAAGGACCGUCAACAGGUUAUAGUAGGGGUGUACAAGCAGGUUGCGAGAGAGGGCUAAGUCCCAAGUCUCGACGUUGUGUGGUGGACAGAACGCUACUUGCUACUCUGUGGGUGAACUCGCUUGGAGUUGUGGUAUAUGGGUUGAGUCUUGGUUGUUGAUGGUCGUGUCUUGGAUGUGAGCCCUGGCUCCCCUUUUAUAGUCUCAAGGGGACACAGGGUUUUACAUGUGUGACUGGUGAUCUUCCUCUGAUGAGUGGUGAAGCUACAGUCCCGACCCUGUUGAGACUUGCCCAUUCCGUCCUUGAGAUAUGGUUGACAGCAUGGUUGCUUCUGUGGAGGGUUGCCGAGCCCUGCUGAGGUCAUGGGGGUCGGAUCGGUGAUACUGCAGCUUGUCCUGUAACAGUGGGAGAAGACAGCUAAUAGUGACACUGGUUAAUCCCUCCCAUUCCUCUUUUACUAUGAGGCGGUACACCACAGUGAAAGAGGUAAGGUUGCACAAUGAAAGAGGUAAGGCUACAGUGAAAGAGGUAAGGCUACAGUGGCUGGGGUGGUUGGAAUAGUCGCCACCAUGCCCUGCUGUGGUAUGGGGGUCACUGCGUCUGUCGUGUCGUGGGUACGGGCGCUGUGUGUUGGAAGCCUGGCUCCGAGACGGGGGCUCGGGCGAGGCGGCGUUGGCGCCCGAGCCCAAGAGGGGUGGGGCGAGGCGGAACUUGCGCCCGUGGCCAAGGGGGUCGGGCGAGCCGUGACUUGCGCCCGAGGCCAAGGGGUCGGGCAAGCCGUGGCUUGCGCCUGAGGCCAAGGGGUCAGGCGAGUCGGGGCCCGCGCCCUGGUUAUCGUGGCUGGUUUGCUUUGUCUUUUGCGAUUUUUAUUUAUUCUGACUUGGGUAUCCCUUUUUAUGGUACCCAACAAUAGUAUAGGCCUUUCAUGAACAAGCGCUGCUUAUCAACAUCUUCUCUGACAUCGUUUGGAGCAUAGCGAGCCAACUGUUCAAAUGUGUCAUGAUAUUCUGCCAUAGUCAUAGAGCCCAUCCUGAGUGAUCUGAAUUCUACUUGCUUGAGCUCCAUCAUUCCUUCAUUUAUAUGUCGAACUCUGAAGUCUCUACAUAAUUCUAGGCAAGUGACAGGAGGAGCAUUGUUGGGACGAGCAGCUUGAUAUGACUCCCACCAUGUCUGAGCUGCCCCCUGAAGCUGUCCAGAAGCAUACAACACCUUCUCCAAGUCAUUGCACUGGGCUAUGUUCAGUUGCCUCUUCACAGCACGUAACCAAUCAUCUGCCUCCAUGGGAUCAGCUAAGUGUGUAAAUACUAGGGGUCUUCCCUUCAUAAACUCUCCACGCUUAUCUCUCACAUGAACAGGUGGUGGUGGUGGUGGAGGUUGCUGCUGUAGGUGCUGCAUGAAGACUUGCAUCAUCUCAUUCUGGGUUUGCAUGAGUUCCUCCACAGUAAUUGGGGGCAUUGCCACCAUUGCCACAGCCUCUGCCUCUGCCUCUUCCCCUUGCUGCCAUCUGCAUUCCAAGGUAUAGAAACAUGUCUUAGUAAUGUCCAACAUGACAAUUACAAGAGUUAACGAAAUCUGAAAUUUUCUGGGUAACAUCCAACAUCAGCAGAUCAGAAAAUCACUCAUAUCUCGAGUUCCAGACUUCAAAAGGAUACAUUCUGCACACCGUUGGAAAGAUAAAGAAAUCGUCUACAACUUUCAUUUAGAUCAUAUUAACAGAUUUCAACGUUAGGUUAAUCAAAAACUGAGUACAACCGAAACUGUUCCAGAAUUCCAGACUGCGCAGAAACCUCAACUUUAAACAGUCAUAACUCACAGCUCAUAAUAGAUAAUAUGCUCAUUCUUGCGGUAUUGGAAAGAUAUGAAAGUCUACUUGUUCCAAGAAAAAUUUGAUGAACAUUUCACGAACAGAAUUUGAUUUAUACCAGAAUCAUUGCAGACUGCUCCAGAAAAUCAGCAAAAGACAGAAACAGGAUAUGACCCCAAACCACUAUUUAUUCAUAUUCUUACUUAAGGUUCUUAACUAGGGAUCUUGUGGACAUGCCCACAAAGUUCCAGCGCGCAUCACAAAAAUCCAAAUCACACAUUAUCAUAAUAAAAAUCCAGCAAGCACACCAAGUUCACACCACACUAACAAAAGAAUCGAAAUAACUCGCAAACUACUAACGUUCCUAUUACAUAUGGGUUCUUUUCUAUUCCUCGGGAGCAGCAUCCUUUAGGAUUGGUUCGAGACGCAGCCUCUUGUGGAGCUUUGGAUGGCCUAACUCUGCUCGAAGGUCAUCUGCUUCCCUUUGCUCUUGCUCCAGCAGCUUCCUCUCACGGUGCAGUUCAUUCUCCAACUCUAUCACCUUGACGGUCAGUUCAUAAGUCAACUCCACUUGCGCCUAAAGCUUUGGUUGUGAAGCAUCUGCAACUUCUAUGGCCCAAGUCAUCUUCUCUGGUACAAAGCGAGGAUAAUGGUAUGUCGCAUUGUACUGGACAUCCUCAAAGCGUCUACCACGAUAAACGAUCAAGGCCUGGUAAGCUGCAUCAGCCAUGCUCUCCUUUAUCGUGUCCCGGCUGAUUCGAGAGAUGUGUUUUGAUUCCACCUUUCGAAUCCCCUUAGUGGCAUCCAGUGUCUUGACUACCAGCUCUGCAUCCCAAAGUGAUCUCCUCAGAGGGUGUUUGUACUUAGUGCAGUUAUACUCCAGUGUGGGUUGCAAAUCCGGGUAAUGGUGUUCCAUUGUCAACACCAAAUUCUCAUGGAAGAAACCCUUGGGAUCUGCUUCUGGAAACCACAGCUCUGUACUCCACCCCAUCCUUGCAUUUGCUAACUGAGCAGACUGUGGUGGAGGUGGAUCUUGCAUCUCCUCAUCUUCAGGCACAUCCUCCUGAGCUUCCACCCUUGAUUCCUCAUCUGCCAGCUCAGGAACACCUUCCACAUGUUGUCCUCUUGGGUUGAACAGGGCACGGUACUCCUCAGUAGUCCUGCGUGCAGCACUACGGGUACAGGGCGGCAUCUACAAAAAGUUUUUACACAUAGAUCAGAUGGAUGCAAUAAUUUCACAAUAGAGCAAGAUAGAGAAGCAUAAAACUUUUAGCAAAUAGCAAGACCAUAGUGGGAAGCAUGAAGUAAGUAAAGUAAAGAGCCUGAACUUUCGACCAUUGCUAACUAGGUUUGCGUCCUACAGUCAACAAAGCUUUGAUAUCAAUUUGUCACACCCAUAUUUUAAGAACAAAAUAGGAUGCAUAAAAGACUCAUAUGUGCCCCAGAAACAGUCGCACACAUAAGUAGACAAAUCUCAAAUGUACCAUUGCAAUGUUUAUUACAUAGUGGAACAUGAUAUAUAUAACAUAGUCUCAUACAAAAAUGAUAAUAAGAUUAAACAACGCUCUCGACAGAAGCUCCACACAGGGACACUGUUGACUAGUUGACUCCAAACCUAAUACUCAUAGCGAUAGUCCUCAUUCCAAUCAUCAUCAUUAGCAUAACCUUGGGUGUUGGGAAAUUGCAAGAGUGAGCACAUAUCGUGCUCAACAAGUAUAACCAGGGGUUCAUGAGGCUCAAAUAGCUGAUACUGGUUUGACUGCAAUUAGCUUUUAAUGGUGGAUAGGAUGUUCAUAAUUAUGCAACAAAUGUCAAGGUAGCAUAAAUAAUCCAUUAAUCACAUGAUCAAGUGUAAGCAUAAUUAAUUCAUAACAUAAACGAUAAUCAAAUGAUCAUAAUAACAUAAUAAGCUCAUCAUCUUAAUGUAGAUGUCCCCAAGGCCGCUCCUAACCGUGAGCUCGGCUAGUAUACUAGUUUUAACACUCUGUAGAGGUUGUACAUCUUUACCCAUGAGUCAUGAUUUACCCUUUCGCCUGAGGUAGCUAAUCUCUUAACCCCCUUCCCAGGGAGGUCGGCAGGGAUCACUAUGAAGCCUUUCAAAAGUUCGUCUAACAUGUUAGGGCCGCAAGGUUUCCUUUGCGCGCAGAUAUAGAUAGCCCCGUUCCGAAUGGCACAAUGACGCGCAACCUAUACACAUAGGGACAGUGGAUCGCACUAUACCCAAAACGGUUCAGCCCCUCCGCCCUUUUGGGUAACCUCUAACAAGCUAGAAAAGGUCUUCAUACUGAGCUAAAGCCAGAGCCAUUAUAGCCCUCAUGGUUGCACUGUUAUCCCGAGUGAUCACGUACAGACAAGAUCUCAUACAGUUAUUUGUCAUUCUUUUUAUGUUCAUUGCAUAGCUAUUAAUCAUCUUACAAGAUCAUGGCUUAUAUCAAGCACUAGCACAUCUACACCAAAUGCAUAUCAAGUAGGUAGCAAGGAAUCCAGGUAACAGUCAUCUAUAAUUUUGCUAAGGUCGACAAGGUGAAAGCAUGCAUAUGAUAUAUAUGUGUAUUUAUAAGUGAAUAGGUAACAAGGAUGAUUCCAAGUUAUACUUGCCUUGAUCAAAGCUCUCCUGAGCUUGCUGGUCUUCAAAGGUUUGGUCUUGAUCACCAACGUACGGCUCACCGUCUAUUCCCAAACAUCAAUCAACAACACGCAAUCCAAUGUAGACAAUCAUACACAAAGCAAACAAGCUAUAAUUAGAACAUUACACCAAACAGUGGUAAAAAAGAUACAAGUUUAUGAAAAUAUUCUACGCAGCGCUACGAUCACACAAACGUAAAGUUCACGAAAAUCGGAAUUAAAACGUAGAAGAUAUGAAUUUUCUAAGAUUUCCUACAGAGAAAUAAUUAAUUAAAUGCUAAUGCAGAAUUAAAAAGUUUCAAAACAGUAAACUAAUACUUCUAACAUAUAGAGCUAGUGAAUAGGAAUCUAACGAAAUUUGAAUGGACAAAAACGGAGUUAAAAUGAGUAUUUUAUGAGCAAAAUAAACCCAAUGGCAAAACUGUAAUUACUGGAAAACGCCUUUUCACUAGAACCGACGAGAAUACGCUUUUAGACUUGAAACUCGUAAACUUGAAAAUACGUAAAGGACCACGGGUUCAAUAAUAAAGAAACACAGGGGCUUUUUAGCAAAAUAAACAUCGAAAGGGUAUCUUUGUUUCUGGGCCGUUGAUCCUCGAUCUGACGACUGGGAGCGCUUGGGGCUCUGCCGUGGCCGACGGCCGGCCGGACGCAGGCACCGGUGCGGUGGCGCCAUGGCCGCCGCCGUGUACUUCGCCGGCGUCCGCGGGUUUCUCCAUCGUGUGCACCAAAUCAAGAGGCGAGACCAUGGGCGCGUGGAGGAGGAGAAGGCGAGCUCACCACGGGGAUUGGCUCGGGCCGAGGACAACCAGGGCGCUCGUGUCGCGGUGAGUGAAGAUGCUCGGCUCGGCGAGAUCUCAAAGGCGUAGAUCUAGGCGGCUAGGGCUUCCUAGAGCACGGCAGAUAGCAAACAGGUGCCGCGGGGAGUUCCUACGGCCUUUAUAGGGCUUGGCACACGGGAUAGGAAGGUGAGCACGGGGUUUUCGGGAUCCGGCUCGGAGCUAGGGGAAAGAAUCCGUCCCGGAUACGAUGAGGAAGAAGGCGCUGCACGCGGGGUCGGGAUGUCAGGGGGAAAAGAGCGGGCCCGGCUGUCAGCCAGCAGAAGGAGGAGGAGGUGCGGCGCGCGCGGCCUGUUCGGCUUGGGCCGGCUUGGUGAGCUGUGGUGGGGGAAAAGAAAACCAGGGUGUGGGGGAGAGGGACUGGGCCUCGGCCGAUUGGGCCACCAGGCCGAGAGCAGGUGGCUCUCUUACUUUUUUUUCUAUUUUAUUUUCCAAAUCCUUUUUUUCCAAGAGAGUUUUGGGCAAGACAAUUAAAGAUAUAAAUAGAAACAGCAAAUCACAAAAAUACUAUGCCCCAGCAUGAAUGCAAAACAUGUUUCUAAACUUAUGAUAAAUUUUAUUUUCCACAAAAAUUAUUUAAGUGCUAAAUUUAAAUGCUCACAAAAAUACAUAAAUAAAUCCAAUUAAAUCCUAUUAAUUCGAAAUCAAAUUUUGGGUGUUACAGAGACGAAGAUAACACUAAUGAGCAUGGAAUUUAUUUCAUAGCCACUUCGUUUACUCCAUGCUCAUAUGCAACAUCUUCCCAAUCUAUUGGUCUCUCCAACAUCACCACAUUUGAGAUCUCCCACCCCCUCUUCCUUUCUAUUUAUAAAAACAUUAAAAGGACGAUUGUCGAUGCAUAUGUCUAGAAUAAAUAUUGCAGAUCUCGUUGACUUGAUCUUGAUAUAGGUCAGCGUUGGAGGGGAAACCACUUCGCCGACAUAAAUUGAUGGUUUCCCAAGCUUAGUAUCCUAAAAUAAGCACUGAUCAGAUCGUAACAUGAGCUUUUAAUUAUUUGCAACAUUACCUUGUGUAUUGAGCAUAUAAGGAUAAUUGUAAAAAUAUUCCUUCGGGUAUUCUUGUCACUAACCUUUUCAGGAUUGGAGCAAGAAGAUCGGAUGAAUGACAAACACAAGGUAUGUCCAACCAAUCAUCAUACAACAUUGAAUUAAAUUCAUCCAAACUUGAAUUUUGCAAAAUUCAAGCUUGGGGGAGUACUUUACAUAAAACAUCCUUUGCCAUGUUGCUAUGUUGGUUGUCCCUAGCUUUGAGACAUGCUCAAUUUGUUAAAUACUAAUCACACUAUUUCAUCUCCACUUGAGUAGAACUCUAUAAAUGCUCUCAUGCUACCUUUAUUUGCUUUAGUAUAUGUCUAGGUUUGGAGUAGUUUCAUUUAUCUCUUAAUUAAGCAUGGUGCUUAGUUUAGGAAUGAUGAUCUUACUUCCAAGGGUUAUUAAAUUAAGCAUGGUGCUUAGGUUAAAAUACCCUCCUAAAUCAAAUUAGACAUGGUGUCUAGGUUGAUUUUUGAGCCUAUAGUAUGCUAUAGUAGAUAUGGGAUAUUUUGUUGGACUAACCCCGACAGGAAAACUUUCAAUAUCGACCUGGGAAGUCCUAAGAUAAACUCACAUUGGAGACAAAGAGAGAGACACAUGAAGUUUAACAAUUUACACAAGGAAGACGUAGCUCAUAAGAGAUGAUGCAUGGAGGGUUCCACAAACACGAGGCACAACCGCUAAGAAAGGAAAGCUUCCACAAGGUGAUAUUGUACCAUCACUCUUCAAGUAAGGUAACAUCUUAAGGUACUUGACUAUCGCUUUUAUAAGCUUCUCCUUGGUUCUGGCGUUCACAUAAAAUAAAGAGACAAACAUGUAUGAUUUGUAACUCCAAAUUAACCAACCUAAUUAAUUCAACAAGUUUAGUCCUUUAAUCUUUGUUCUUAGUACUACCUUCGUGAUCCCACACUCCUAAUCAUAUAAGCUAAAAUGUUGCACAUUCAAUCUUUGGAAGAUAUAAACAAAACAUAAAUAUAGAUAGAUUAUCUUUCCAUUAGGUCGAGCGAUCUGAUUUGACAAAUGUUUUAAAUGCUACACUCAUGAUCUUAUUAUCCAUCAACUUUGUCUUGCUCUCUAUGCUUAAGAUUAGAGAAGAACAAAUACACUUUUUGUUCUGUUGGUGUUUUUCACCAACAUGGCCCAUGCACUUGAUCUCUGCCUUGUCUCUAUGAACAGGUACACUUCAAGCAAAACAUGGAGGAGUUUUACAACUCCCAGACUCCACCAAGUGAAGGACCUGGAUCUACGAGCACAAACACACUGAGCAGGAUAUUGCCAACACCGCACUUUGAACUGUUGGGCAAACGAAGAACAUGGGUGACACCGUAUCAAGAGGUACAGACGUCAAGGUCCACACCUAAUCAAAUGAUGCACCUAAAGGAUGAAGAUGGUGAGAAGUCUUGUCCAGAAGACUUAAAACAUUGGAUCCUUGUCGGAAGAGGUCAAGAUCGUCGACUCAAGUUGCCUUUCUUGAUCAAGAAGGAUGACCCUGGUGUUCCAAGCAUCGAGUGCACAAUCAACGGAUACUCUUUUCAGAAGACACUCUAUGACACCGGAUCUGACGUCAUCAUAAUGGCCGCAGUCAAUUAUCUGCUCCUACAUGGAACCAUGCCCCUACAACCAAUAUACAUUCAGCCCCAGAUGAUUUUCAGGUCAUUGACAUGGGAGAAGACGAGUACGAUCCACCCAUCAUCCUUGGAAGACCGUUCCUCAGCACUAUCAAAGCCAUCAUCUAUAUUGGAACCGGAGAAGUCCACAUGCACUUCCCCUCUGAAGAAGGCAAUGUAACUGGAACCAAAGGAGGCAAAUCAUCAAGGACGGAUGGGCAGACUACGAAGGAGAAGUGGUGAGGUCUGAAGACAUACAGCUUGAACAGAACUGUCCUGAGGAGACCAUAGCACCGAGUCAGAUGUGGAGAGAGAAGAUAGUUAUACACGAAGAAGAGGCGCUGCCGAAACCACCGACUACGCCAUCCAGCAAAUCCUAGGACGACUGAGAAAAUAGAGAGUCCCGUUCGGAGGACUUAAAAAACCAAACGUCUUGCCAAGAGGUAAACGUGGUAGUUAUCCUUUUCCCUUCAAUUAUUUAAAAUAGUUGCUUAGUUAAUCAAGUUCAUAUCAUCUCGAAAAGAAAACAAAAAUAUUUAUUCGUUGCAUUGCAUCAUAAAAUCUAAAGCCCCAUGUGAGCAGACUUAUGGUUUAAAACCCAUAGGUAUAUUGACUGUGGUGGCAUAAAAUAAAUAUGUUUUCAUCUUACAAUAAAAAUAUAAAAAUAAGUUUAUGAUCCUACUAAAGAGAGUAACAUUUUUUGAGGAGGCUCAACAUGAUAAAGGCUAGAUAUUUAUGCUAACACUUAACUAGUUCCACAAAGCUUUGUUGUCUAUUUGAGCUCAACAGAAUUCAGGGAUCAAAGAAGACUAGCAGACGAAGGACAUCCUAAUCGCUGUCAGGCUACUGCCGACAUUCAAAUAUACCUCCGUCACCUGCUAGCUACAUCAGAAGAAAUUACGUUAAAAUCCAGCUUGGGGGAGAGCACCCCCAUUUAUUGAGCUAAGUGUUUCUACUCGCGUUUAUACUUUACUCAGAUAAUAAAAAGAUGCAUAAUCAUGAGAACCCAAAUAAAAAUUUUGUGCUUAUAUAUAUCUUUGCUUAGUUUGCUAAAUAAAUAAAUAAAGUGUCUAGGUCAAACUGAACUUAAAUGAUAAACUCUUACAUGGAUAUGAUAAAUAGUUGCUCUGCCAUGUACCUAGUUUUCAAGUUUGAGCUCUCUCUCAAGUUUAGGCAUAACUAUUAUAAUUUAAAUCUGCUCUAAACCUGAACUUGUGGGAAGAGUACUUGAUCUAAUGUCUAAGUCGUUAACGGAUACGAUAUGGGAAGGUUGAGCUGUUGUUUAUCUGUUCCUAGAGAUGCUAGAAUUCUGGAGAAUUUUAUCUUUGAAAAUCUUUAAAAUAACACAUGAUAAGUUCCUGUAUGAUGAGAGUUUAAAUUCCUACCACAGCCAUACAUACAUGCUUGCUAGACUUUGAGCCACACAUUUACUUUUUACUGCUUAUGAGCAUUGAGUGUGGUCAAGCUGUGUAGACCCUUAGGAACUUGUCGUGCGGUUAAAAUCAAGAUUCACUUGCACGUUCACUCAUACAUGCUACUUCUACUCCGGAAGUACACAUCCACAUACAUCCACUCAAUUCCAUCUCCAGAUUCACCUAAAAUUAUUCUACUCCUAAUCCGGGAGAGAAUAGCCAAAAACAUUCUCCUAUUUCUGUUUUUCCCUAUGAAAUAAAUGCUCGAGUUAUCUUGGUUACUACCACUUGCUAUAUUAUUUCAGGAGAUGAGUGCUCUAAAAAAAAGAAGAGAAAAAGAAAAAGGAAAAAUACGAGGAAAUAAAAAGGGGCAAGUGCCCGGAACCUCGAAGAAAAGAAAAAGUGAGACAAGAGGUAAAAAUGGACAAGUGUCCGACAGUAGAAUUAGGGGUACAAGAUACCCACCUGAGAGAAAAGAAAAAGAAAAUAUAGAGCAUCUCAUUCCCCUCAAAUAGCUUCAAAGUGCAAGAAAGGUAUGUAUCCCCUCAAAAGAGCAAAAGUAGAAUUAGACUUUCACCAUUGUUAUCACCAUCAUCACCAUACACCAUUCAUUCGCCACACAUGCACAUCUUGAUUUGACUUAUUGACUUGUUUCUCUAGAUCCAUGGUUUGACUAUGCAAUAAAUGUCUUGUAAGUAUGUAUUAUCUGUCUCCCACCUAUGAGCUCCAGAUAUCAAAACCUUAUUAGAGUAGGGUGAGAGAGAAGGCAAUAUCACUAUGCCUCAUACCAAAAAUACCACAUACUUUGAGAGCAGGCAUAUACCAUUACUGCCUUGGAAAGGAUCCAGAAAUACCACAAAAGAGAGAUUUGAGAGAGUCAUACAAGGAAUCUCUGAGUUUUAUUUAAAAAUCUGCAAAAACUCCAGAGCUAUAGUUAAUCAAAGAACAAGAGACAUGGCACUUGACUAGACUGUUCUAUCUUUUAACUGCUGAAGACACUAGUGACGGUUGCAAGCCCCAUGGUGAAAGAUAAAAUGAGUAAGUUUUAAGUCUUAACAGUUUACUCUAACUCAAAGAUGAGAUCUUCCUUGAACGCAUGUGUACUUUUAAGGCAUGAAACCAUUGUAGAAACUCUUGAGUCCAUCCUUGCUCAAGGACGAGCAAGAGGUAAGCUUGGGGGAGUUGUUGACGGUCCUUAAGUACCAAAUAUAAUCAUCAAAUAAAUAAAGAAAAGGAUCCAAAUGCAACCAACACCCAGACUUAGGGUUUUAUCUGACAGAAUUCACGAGUUUUGGUGUUUGUCUAUUUCUGCAGGGGGUUAUCACGAAAUAUGGAAGAAAGGCCCACACGUCGGGUUUACAUAGAGAUAUUAACAUGCCGUGCAAUUUUCUAUCAUCUAGAAGACUCCAGAAGCCACGGGAACGAACGGGAAGGCGAUCGGGCCCGGGGGCAGGGCGCCCGCCCUUCCCCCUUCGGUGCCCGCCCUGUUGCAGAGACCAAUCAGGUCCCGUCUCGCGGAUUAUGCUCCACCGACCUAAAGGAUCAAGGAUAACCGUUCAAUCAAUGUCGGUUUGAUCCGACGGCCUAGAUUCACUUGAGGGGACUAUAUAAGCAGACCCCCUGGCCCCUGGAGGAGAACAAGUUCAUCAUAGAGUUGAGAGGUGCCCUCGAAGGAUAACCUUUCCUCUAUAUAGACUUAGGGCUUAGCAUCCAAGGUGAGAGUAGACUAGUUCUACUAGAUUGAGAGAGAUAGAGUGGAGGUGUAGAUCGGAGGAAGCCCGGCCUGUCGGUGUCUACUCCGAGGUUGUACCUGCGGGAUCAAGUCUUCUAACCCGAGGCUUGAUCCUAGGAUUCUUCAGUAUUUCGACUUCUAAAUUCUAGUAAGUUCUUUGUUUUAUUGUUCUUUGGUUUAUGAGUUUACUUUGAUCUCUUCGCGUAGAGUUUAGAGUAAUCAUGUCUAGCGUAAACGUGGUGUUUGGGCUAGGAUACUCAUCGAUAUCCCCUGACUAGCCGGACCGUGGUAGUAGUGAGGAACGUGACAUUUCUGAGUUACCUUUGUAGCACAUAUCCCGUUAGCAGGAUCGAUAGGGUUUAUAGGGGCGGGUCAAACAUCCUUUGUGGUGUCUAGAUUCCGUGAGCCUCCCCGUAGAUCAUCCUUACCAAGGUUAGAACGAGAUUACGGUUGUAGUCUUCUCUAUACAUCACUCACAUCGAGUCUCAUAGUUUGUAGCCUAAAGGGUAGUAGCAAUAGAUUUGGUUAGUCAGAUGCACGCUUUCUCCCAGUGGUAAAAAUAUAAAUACGAUACUCUGGAUAACCUCCCGGGUGAAGUGCUCACCGAUAUCCGUGCGCUUGCGGAUCAUUUCCUGAUGGCGUUACCAAAUAUCAACAACCCUCUAUAUCGUUUAUGUACCAUGGUAGUGUAGCCUCUUGUGUAAAUCUGAGUAACAUUAGAGUAGUAUAUUGUUCUCAUCAAUGUUAGGAUGUAACUCAAAGAGGAAAUAGUGCAGCUCUUGUUGGAGUAGCUUUGCACGGUUGUGGGUAAUCGGCCUUUUAUAUAUUUGUGUAAAUAUAACUUGAGCUAACGGUGACAUGUCCACAUCAUCCUCCCUCUUAGUCGUCUUUGAGUCUUCCAAUCCAAAGAAAGGAGAUAGACCGGCGAUAUUGAAGCUUGUACUCACACCAUAAGUACUUGGAAGAUCAAUUUCAUAUGCAUUGUCAUUGAUCUUGCGAGACACUUUGAAUGGGCCAUCAGCACGGGGAUAUAACUUGCUCUUGCAUUGUACAGGGAAGAGAUUCUUGCGUAGAUGAACCCAAACCAAGUAUCUUUGUUCAAACAACAUCUUCUUGUGCCCUUUAUUGGCACUCUUCUCGUACAACUUGGUCAUCAUCUUCUCAAUGUUUGCUCCUACACAAUCAUAAAAGGUUUUUGACAAAAUCAGCUCGCUUGCUUGUAUCAACGUCCACAUGUUACUGCAUAGACAAAGGAAGAAGAUCGAUGGGAACAGUAUGUUUGAAACCAAAGACAAUCUCAAAAGGACAAAAUUUUAUGGUUGAAUGUACCGCCCUAUUAUAUGCAAAUUCCACAUGAGGCAAACUUUCUUUCCACAAUUUUAGAUUCUUAUUUAGAACAACUCGCAACAAAGUUGACAGUGUGCAGUUCACAACAUUAGUUUUCCCAUCAGUUUGAGGAUAGCACAUUGUCGAAAAUAGCAGCCUCAUUCCAAGUUUACCCCAUAAGGUCUUCCAAAAGUAGUUCAAAAACUUGGUGUCCAAAUGAGGCAUUUUGGUAUGUGGCACUCUAUGUAGAUGCACAGUUUCUUUGAAAAUAAUUUAGCAAUGUGUGAAGCAUCAUUACUCUUAUGACAGAAAAUAAAGUGUGUUAUUUUGCUAAAACAAUCAACCACAACAAAGAAUGAAUCCCUCCCUAUCUUGGUUUGAGGUAAAGCAAGAACAAAGUCCAUAGAGAUAUCUUCCCAUGCUAUGCUAGAAAUAGGAAGAGGACUGUAUAGUCCAUGACUUAGCCUUAUGGAAAGUUAUACAGCGAAGAACAUGCCUCUCUACGUCUUUCAUCCUUAUGUCAAAAGAAGCUAUCAGUGAGAAGUUGUUCUAUUUUCUUGGUUCCCAAAUGGCCCAUAAGUCCAUCUGCAUGAGCUUCCUACACAAGCAAAAUGCAAAGACUGCAAUGCAAAGUUUAUUAGCUUGAAACAAAAAUCUAUCAUGCAAAUGAAAUUGUUCCCAUCUCUUACCACCGCAACACUUGGAAAUGGCUCAUCAAAAUAUGAAUCAGUCACAUAAAUCCUUUAUACUUUGUAAUCCAAGAUUUUUAGUAUCAAGUUGUGUACACAAAGUAUGGCGGUGAGACAAAGCGUCAACAACAACAUUGUCCUUUCCUUUCUUAUACUUGACAAUGUAGGGAAAAGACUCAAUGAAUUCACACCAUUUUGCAUAUCUCCGAUUCAAUUUUAGUUGGCUUUUAAGAUGUUUCAAUGAUUCAUGGUUUGAGUGUAUCACAAAUUCUUUAGGCAAAAGGUAAUAUUGCCAAGUUUUCAAACUCCUUACAAGAGCAUAUAAUUCUUUAUCAUAAACUGAAUAAUUCAAUGUUGGACCACUUAGCUUUUCACUGAAGUAUGUGAUAGGCCUUCCUACCUACAUGAGCAUGCCACCAAUCCCUAUACCACUUGCAUUACAUUCAAUUUUAAAGGUCUUACCAAAAUCUAGAAGUGCAAGAAAUAGGGUUGUUGUCAACUUCUUUUUCAAUUCUUCAAAUGCCUUAUCUUGUGCUUCACUCUAGUGGAAUGUUACUUCCUUUUUUGUCAACUCAUUGAUUGGGGCAGCAAUGGAACUAAAAUAUUUCACAAACCAAUGAUAGAAAUCGGCAAGUCCAUGGAAGCUUGUACCUGGAUUACAUUUUGUGGGGGCUGCCAUUCUUGAAUAUCUUUGAUCUUUUUCUCAUCCACCUCCAUGCCAUGAGCUGAAACAACAAAACCAAGAAUGACAACCUUGUCUGUGCAAAAGGUGCACUUGGCAAGGUUAGCAUACAAACAUUCCUUCCUUAAAAUAACAUGCACAUAUUUUAUAUGUUCAAUAUGUUCAUCAAGAGACUUGCUGUAAAUUAAGAUAUCAUCAAAGUAAAAUACAACAAACUUGCCAAUAAAAGUCCUAAGCACAUGAUUCAUCAAUCUCAUGAAGGUGCUAGGUGCAUCUAUCAAACCAAAAGGCAUCACCAACCAUUCAUACAACCCAAACUUAGUGUUGAAGUUUAUUUUCCAUUCAUCUCCUUCUCUUAUGCGAAUUUGAUGAUAGCCAGUUCUCAAAUUAUUUUUUGUAAAAAUGAUAGUACCACUAAGCUCAUCAAGCAUGUCAUCGAGUCGAGGUAUGGGAUGCCUAUGCCAUAUGUGUCACACCCCAAAAUUUUUAUUUUGGGACGUGAAUGCAAAAAAUAAAUAAAAUAAAUGAUUUUAAUAUUUCAGUAAAAUUUGCCAACAAUAGUUUAGAUUUCAAUAUUUUGUUAUUAAAGAACAUAGUGCUUUCUAAAUAUUUUGGAAUUAGAUUGAUGGGCUUUAGUUGAUGUAGUGCUUGUCUAUUGCUUGAGUUUGGUGUUUUUCUAUGUGCUAAGUUGUAAAAACACAUUUAGACGUUGCUCGAUCUUCAACCUAGAAAUUUCUAGACUUUUCUAGGACUUUUUCAUGUUUUUUCUAGAGAAAAAUCUUUUUUUAGAUGCUCUAAAAUUUUUUUCAUGGCCUCCAAAAACUUUAUUUGAAUUCACUAUCUUCCAAUUUAUCUCUAUGAGUGUUCCUUUAAAUUUUUUAAUUUUAGAAAACAAAACUCAGAAAUUUUAAACUAUUUCAGCUUUUUCUAGAAUUGUUUUUGAAGUAAAAAUGAUUUUAUAAAAUCCCCAAAUCAAGAAAUUUUGAAAAGUUUUGAAACCUUAUAUAUAUACAUGCCAAUUUUCUCCUCAACGCACUAGUUCCAGAAAUACAACCUAUUUUGCAAGCCGCCACUCAUUUCAUCCUUGAUCUAAAGCCGAAGUUUUAAAACCUAGCUUCAACGAACUUUCGGCGAAGGUGUGCCGAGCGUUUUCGGUCAUAUCCGAUAUUCCCUACAGAAACCGUUACUACCUCGAUUCAGCUCGUCGUUCUCUAUAUGGGUACACUUUUAUUUUUUUACGUAACUGUGCCCAUUGGUCAUUCCCCUAACCUCUCUUCCUUUCCGACGAGGUGCUUAUGCUAUCUUCUUCGUUUCUCCGACCACCCCGUUGUUCAAUGUCUCCCUUUAGCCCUCUCCGCAACCUAGGCCCCACGCUGUGGCCACGUGCCACCUAUGUCGUGCCCCGUCAGUCUGUCACGUUCCCACGCAGCUCCAUUUGGAGCCGCCAGUACUGCCAAGUGCGCCAUGGCUAGGGAUGAAAACGGUACGGGUAUUUUUCGACCGUAUUCGAGACCAAAUUCGUUUAGAGGGAUUCAGAUCAGUUCGUAUCCGAGUCCGAAUGUUCAACAUCCGAUACCAUAUCCGUAUCCGAGUACUUAAAUCGUAUAUUUAUGAUGUCGACAUCCAAUCGUAUCUUAUCCGACAUAGUUGAUAUUAUUCGUAUUCGAAUCUGAAUUCGACCAAAAAUACGAAAACAAAUAUGAUAUCGAUGAUAUCCGAUCCGUUUUCAUCUCUAGCCAUGGCCAUGGGCUCUGCUGUCCUCGCCGUGGGCCCUAAACGCCUACCUGCGGACUAGCGCCGCUGCGCCGUCGCUGGCCAGCUCCCAGCGCCCCUCUGCCCAUGUCAUGAAUAAAUCUAGCGUUCCAAAGUGGGGCCUGCUAAGGUCCGGGCGGACGGACGUAAUCCGUGCGCCGAUGGCGCAACAAUUUUUCCCGCCCACGUUUUUCCCACCCAUGUUUCACUCCCGUCGCGCGCGCAUGCAGGAAUUCUUGUAGUGGACAGCACGCGCCAACAAUUCCCAGCAGAGGCAUGAAAGAAAGCCAAAAUAGCUGACAUAAGCAAAUAUCUCAUGUUUCGUCAAGUAGAAAAAAUUAUAGUGGCUAAACCAGGUAUUCUAAUUAAAAUCCGAUUACACCAUCGUAUUCCUUGCAAUAAACUAUUCAAACAAGACCCACAUGAAUAUAUUUUAAUAUUUUUUGACAAAUAUUUUAUUUCACAAAAAUAAAAUAUUUUUUGUUAACUAUAACAAUGUUCUACGUAUAUAAAAUGUUCCAUCUUCAUAAAACAAAUGUUUCGUCUUCAUAAAACAAAUAUUAUAAACCAAAGAAAAUAAUUUUAAAAUUUUAAGAUAAAAAUCUAGAUUCAUAUGAAUGACAUUAUAAUAUUUAUGAAAAAUAAAGAGAACAAUGAUUUAUAAAAUCUAUAAAAUAUAUAGAAAUAGAUAAAUAUAAAAAAUAGAAAAAAUAAGACAUAGAAGAAACACAAAAAUAAUAGAAAUAAAAUAUCCGGAAAAUAAAGAGAACAUCAUGUCAAUGUUACUUGAACAUUAUAAAAUAUAUCAUAAAACAUCUCAAGGAUAUUUAUGAGUAUUUAAAGAUAAUCAUCAAAUAUAAUAUUGAUACUAUUUGAACAUCUCAAAAUACAAUAGAGAACAUCAUAUAUAGACUCCCAGCACAUCACAUACAUAAUCAAGAACACAAGGACCAAGAAAGCAAAAACAUAAAACUAAAAGAAAAUGAAUUAUAGUAAACUAAAGAAGGAAACAAAUGAAUAAAUUAAAUAUAUUGUGUAUACUACAUUAACAUCUAAAACAAUGGAAAACAUCACAUGUAUAAUACAUGAACAUCACUAAAUAUGUUAUAGAACAUCGUAUGUAUACUACGUGAACACCACGUAGAUAUUGCAUGAACGUCACAAAAAUGUAUCACGGAACAUCACAUGUGUACCACAUGACAUAAAAAACAUAGAACAUCAUAUGUAUACUAAGUGAACAUUACAUGUAUACUGUACAAACAUCACAAAAUACAUCAUAGAACGUCACAUGUAUACCACGUGAACAUCACAAAAACAUCACAGAACAUCACAUGUAUACUACGUGAACAUCACAAAAAAUAGAACAUCAUGUGUAUAUUACAUGAACAUCACAAAAAAUAUUAUAGAACAUGACAUUAUAUACCACGUGAACAUCAAAAAUAUAUCAUAGAACAUUACAUUUAUACUAUAUAAAGAUAGCAUCACAUAAAAUAUAGAAAAUAAAGAAAUAAACAUGAAAAAUCAUUAACUAAGCUAAAAUGGAAAAAUAAAAAAAUCUACAGAAAAUAUAAAGACCAAAAAAACCAAAAAGAAUUAACACAAAAAAUUGAAAUAAAAUAAUUAACAUAAGAUAAAGAAAAUUGAAGCAUGAAAAUAAAAAGAAUAAGAAAAAAUAAAGAAAAGCAAAGAAAAUAAAAAGAAAAAAAUAAACAUGAAUCAAAGAAAAUUAAAAAAGAGACAAGAAAUAAACAAUAAAAAAAUAGAGAGAAAAACCACUUGUAAAAAUGAAAAAUGAGAAAAUAAAAAAACGAAAACAAAAAAGAAAAAGAAAAAGAAAAAAAUAUAACAAGAAAGGACGAAAAAACACGUAAAUAGUUACCUACUGCCGUCCGCACGUGGAUGUUUCAUCCGACCUGCGCGCUCUGUCGAGCUAGUAGCUUCGUGGGCCGUUCCAUCUUUAGCCCGUUUAGAACAGACACGGAACCAGCAGUAAAUUAGCGCGGGAAAUUAUCACACGGGAACUAUCGGCACGCUGCUUCUGUCCGAACGUUCGGAGCGGAAGCUUUCCCUUCCAAAGUUCGCCAUAGCUUUAUCAAUGAAAGCCGAAAACGGAUCUUUUAAAAAAAACACACAAAAUUUACCAUAGGUCAUUUUCUAUGCCACUACUUGCGGUUAGCAUAGUACGAAAACAGGAUACAACAUAGGGACGGGCGAACACGUACCAUGAUGAAUGGCAGAACAGCCGAUGGUCAGAUGCGCCCGGCAGCAAAUGGCGAGCAAGAGCUUACAGAGAAGGAAACUUGCCCCCAACACCUAUUAGUAGGCAUGAAAACGGUACGGAUAUUUUCUGACCGUAUUUGGGACCGAAUUCGUUUAGAGAGGUUCAGAUCUAUCCGUAUCCGAGUCCGAAUAUUCAACAUCUGAUACCGUAUCCGUAUCCGAAUACUUAAAUCGUAUAUUUAUGAUGUUGAUAUCCAAUCGUGUGUUAUCCAACAUGAUUGACAUUAUCCGUAUUCGAAUCCGAAUCGCACCAGAAAUAUAAAAACAAAUACGAUAUCAGUGAUAUCCGUCCGUAUCCGAUCCGUUUUCAUCCCUACCUAUUAGCCAAUAGCCACCACAUAACACUCGUGGCACUAUGGUAAAAUUGGUUUUUAUUUGAGGGGAUAACAUCAAUAUCAUAUACCUGGAGCUGUAGAAUACCAAAUCAAGGUCGCGUGGUAUGGGUUGGCUUGUGCUCACCAAGUAUUGAGACAAAAAAGUUAUACAAUUAAUGUCAUGUUUCUAUUUUUUUCCUUGCAUAUAUAGAAGCAAUAAUCUGAAUUCAGUUCCAGUAGGCUUCUUCAUGCUCAUAAGAACGCCAGAUCUUGGAUAAGUGUCUCAUUCUCUAUGACAGAAUAUUUCUGUUAACGAAGCAUUCAUUGGAUCAUGACGAUUCUUUGAUUUUAUCUUCACUCUGAGAUUGCAAUAAUUCAUCCUUGGGUUUUUCUUCAUUGUUGGGCACCUAUUUUUUUCUCUUUCCCCAGAGGAAAAGGUAGAGCCGGGCGAGAAUCAUUAACAUGCCAAGAAUACUACACAUGUAUGAAAUCAAAUUUGCAUUAGGUGUAUAGAUCAUAACAGCAAUCGUCCUCUUUAUUUUUUCAGAUCCCAAAUUUAAAAAGCAUUAUUGUUUUCCGUUCUCAAAGCCACUGUAAUCAAGAUGUACUUGCAUUAGUUUUUCAUAUUUCUCGUAUGCUUUUCAUGAUCAUGUUUGAUAAAAAGAAGAAACAUUAACUUCUUACCCAGAGUUUGAUAAUUAUAUUACUUUUUGACUUAUGCUUGUAAAUUUUAAGAAUUACUCCCCCCAUCGCUUAAAAGAGCCGCUAUAGGAUUGGUGUUUUUUUUGUUGUUAAGUUUAACUAGGUUUGCAACAAAUAUUAGAAUAUUGAUGUCUUCAUUCAAAUUUUAUUAAAAAAUACACUCAAUGGUAUAUCUAAUGAUAUUAAUCAUAAAUAUUAAUAUUUUCUUAUAUAUAUUUGGUCGAAGUCAAAAGUGUUUUAGUUCUGAGGAAAUAAGAACGAUACUUUUAUGAGACCAAUGGAGUAGGAAAAAAGUUAUAGUGAUACCUUCCAACAGACAAAUCGUGGCCCAGAAGCACUGAGUCAAGUACAGUGGUGAACAAGACGGAUACUGCACAAAACAUCGAUGGGUAGGUUGGGCCUCGUUGCGUGACGACCCACGAAAUCAUCACAAAUUUGGCAGCAGUGUUGAGUAUUGCCAGUACAAAAGAACAAGAGUAGAUGUAAGCACUAGCAAUGAAGCACUUGGCUAAAUACUUCUUUAUCCUCAAAUAUAAGUUGUAUAAAAGAUUAAUAAUAGUUAUGACAUUAAGUUAGUAUCGAUCAGUAAAUACAUUAUUAUGAAAUAAAUUUUUGUAGUUUAUGUAUUUGAUAUAUGAUAGAUGUUAAAUAUUUCUCUAUAAUUUUGUGUGAAACCUGUGAUAUUUACAUAAAUAUUUUUUUAAGCUUUGGUCAAUUCAUUACUCAUCAGAUGACAAAUCGUAAGAAACAAUUACAGAUACAUCAUCAAGGAUGGAACUAGUAAUUAGUGCAGGCACAACCUAAACACAACAAAACAUGAACAGCCCUAUUGCCAACUCUACCCAAAAAUUUACAAGUAAAAUUACUAAAAUUCGACGUAGACAAAGACUUAAGCUUGUGGAUCAAACCCCCUUCCGGUUGCACAUCAAAGAACCGGGACUGCAGAGCUUGCUGAACAUUUGAGCGCAUCCGUUUCAAGAAUGAGGUGACCGAUUCCCAAAUUGCUCGCUAUCACCUUGCAGGCAGGCAAUUAAUUCCGCAUGGAAAGCACUUAGCACACUGUUAACUCUCCCUCGGCCCGUCAUCACUACCUCACCAACAUGAUCACGGAUCAGAAAUCCCCAACUACCAGUCAUAGUCUCCUGAGUGAAAGAAGCAUCAUCUCACUCUUGGCCCUGAUCUCAGUAGCCUAGGUGCUGCUCUUGGCCCUUCCUCUCCUUCUCUCUGGUAAACGGGCCUCGCGUGUGGAGUCGCUGACGGGUGGGACCCACUAGUCAGCGACACCACCUCCUUUCCCUUUUCUUCUUCCGUGAACCGUGGCCGAUUGGGACUCCAUCUGGGAUGGAGAUCCUCUUCCCCCUCUGUUUUUCUCGGGAUAUGCUGGUUGAGAGGUGCCCAUAAGAACCCCUGGCACCCCUCGGUGCUUUCUCCUUUCUUCUUGAUCUCCGUGAGAAGCCCUAGCCACAGCUAGGGAUGAAAACGGAUCGGAUACGGACGGAUAUCACCAAUAUCAUAUUUGUUUUCAUAUUUGUGGUCGGAUUGAGAUUUGAAUAUGGAUAAUAUGAAUCAUGUCGCAUAAGAUAUGAUUGGAUGUCGACAUCAUAAAUAUACGAUUUAAAUAUUCGGAUACCGAUACGGUAUCGGAUGUUGAAUAUUCGAACUCAGAUACAGACAGAUCUAAACCUCUCUAAACGAAUUCGGUCUUGAAUAUGGUCGGAAAAUAUCUCUAGCGUUUUCAUCCCUAGCCACAGCGCCACCAGGUUCAAUCUCGCCAAGCCGCCCGCCAUCGUUGCCCUUGCCCCUGGUGCUCGAAGACCCUCCGCAAACUACUCACCGAGCUUCAGGUUGAGGUUUCGAACCUCCCUGUGCUUUCCUUCAUUUGUUUUUCUCUCUAUGUGAUGCUUAAUUGCUCGUCGAAUCUUGUAGGAGCGCCUUCGUCCGCCAUCUCUCGUCGCCGGUCCUCUCCAAGCUCUCUUCGCUUUCGUUUUUGCCCUAGGUGAGAUUCCCUUGAGCUCCUCUUGCUCCCCAUACUCUCGGUUUUGUGUUUGGUGCACCAUAGUGCUCAAUCCAUGAACUCCGGCGAGGUUCCGGCCUAUUCCGGCCAUGGCGCCACCGUCAGGCUCCUGUGCAUCGCCGGCCCUCCUCUCCCAUCUCUUCUAUUUAAUCCGCGCCACUCAACUCUAAUCCAACGGUUGUAGUUGAAUCAUACCCCUUCGAUUGAAUUUUGCUAAAGAGCUCCUCGAAGAUCCAAAGCUCAACCUGCGGUCCAAAGCGCCCCUGUUGAAUACGCCAACCACAUUUGGAAAAUAUGAUUUCAAAAUACGUUUUCAUAAUUUACAGUUUUGCCACUGAGAUGGUUUUGGCCAUAAAAUAUUCAUUUUAACUCCGAUUUGAUCCAUUCAAAUUGCGUUAGAUUCGUAAUCAUGAGCUCUACAUGUUAGUUGUAUUGUUUUGCCAGUUUGAAACUUUUUAAUUUUGUGACCUUAUUUAAUUAAUUACUUUUCUAUAGGAAAUAUUAGAAAAUUGAUAACUUCUUCGUUUUAGCUCCGAUUUUCAUGAUCUUUACGUCCGUGUGAUCGUAGCGCUGCGUAGAAUCAUUUUAUAAACUUUUCUUACUGUUUUUAUACUGUUGGUGUACUGUUCUAAUUAUAGCCUUGUUUGCUUCGUGUAUGUUUGGUUCUGAUUGUUUGUGUGUUGAUGAUUGGUGAUCGAAUAGAUAGUGAACAGUACUUCGGUGAUCAAGAUAAAAAUAUUUAAGCAACAAAUAAUAAAAAUGACAUUUUAGCCACUUGAUUUAUCUGUAAGUGAUAACCGGGAUAAUAGUGCAACCAUGAGGGCUAUAAUGGCUCUGGCUUUAGUCAAGUAUGAGUAACUUUUCUAGCUCGUUAGCGGUUACCCGUGUCGCGCAAUUGGGGGAUAGCAGACUGUGGAUCCCUAUGUGGUAGAUCACACGGACUGACUAAUGAAACCAAGCGGCCCUAACUUGUUAGACGAACCUUUGAAAGACAUCAUAGUGAUCCCUGUCGACCUCCCUAGGAAGGGGGUUAAGAGACUAGCUACCUUGGGUGAUAGGGUAAAUCAUGACUCAUGGGUAAAAAUGUGCGACCUCUGCAGAGUGUUUAAAACUAGUAUACUAGCCGUGUUCACGGUCACGAGCAGCUUUGGGGAUUCGUGCAUUAAGGGUGUGAUGAUUCUAGUUGUGUUAAAAUUUCUAUUAAUUAUUUAUUGUUCCAUGCUCUACAUUAUUUAUGUCAUAUUGAUCAUGAGAUAUGGGAUCUAUACAAUCUAGUUGCUAUACUUGUGGAGUUCGACAUGAACUCACUCUUGCUAUUUCUCCCAUACUUCAGGAGGAGUGUUAGGCUUGUGAUCAACCGGUCAGUUGGAUCCUGUAGAGCAAAGUUAAUAUCCAAAGUUUAGAGUUGUCUAUCCGUUGUUUGCUAUCAAAGGUUAUCUCUUUUAUACUAAGCACAUUAUAUAUUUAUACAUUGUCUUUUGAUAUUACCCCUUAUUUGUAGCUAUACGUGGGAUUUGACUUCUAAAACUCACAUAUAGUGCAUAUCUGAUUUUAUCCUUAAAAUCGGAUAUUACAAAGUGGUAUCAGAGCAAUACUGACUGUAGGACGCAAGCCCAGUUAAAACCGGACGUUUUAGCAUGCUUCUAUCUCUGCUUACUUCUUGCACACCUCUAUGGCACAUCUACAAACUUGGGUAUAUCUCUAGGUGGACUAUUAAUGGUAUUUUUUCUAUAGCUACCAUUUAUGAUUUGAUUUGUUUGGUUUGGCAUGUUGAAUGGCCGGCUAAUGUUCAAAUAGGAUUACUUGUGCAACAAACUCAUAAACACAACAACAACUUGUUAUAUAUUUUGCAAAGAGAUGUAGUGGAAUACAUCUCUUAAGUUAAGGUUAUGAGCCGUAUCUUUCUGUUAUACAUGUGUUGCAAUCUUGCUUUUAUAUUUCCUCUUCUGUUUUCAUCUUUCUCCAUUUACCUCUUUUCCAUGGAAAAAUCAGUUGCUUUCUAUUUUUCAAUCAACUACCUCUUUUCUAUGGAAAAAUUAACACCAAUUGCAAAACCAGACUUAAGCUGUCCAUGUCAUGAAUAGGACAGAACAAAAAUAAAAAAAACAAGAGGUACUGCACAGGGAAGUGUGGACAGGUGGAGGUAAAGAACUGAAGACCCAUUUUGCAUAGGGGCAAAUGAGAAAAAAAAGGAAAAAUAAACAACGGAUGGAAAAAGUCUUAAUUAAUGACUUGUAAUGUUGAGGAUUGCUAGAUUUACCGAGUAAACGAUUGUAAGCAAGCUCAUGUUCCAUUUCAGCUGCCAAGUCGCCUUUUCUCUGUUCAUUGCGACCCCCACAACAGCCAUUUGGAUGCAACCCACGAAGCAUGUGGCAACCGUGGACCAGUACUUGUACGGGAACACUUUCAGCAUCUGGGCCUGCAGCAAUUACAGGACUACAUGACGUAAGUUUUCCUAAGGCCUUGUUUAGUUCCGAAAACUGAAAAGUUUUCGGAACUGUAGCACUUUCGUUUGUUUGUGCUAAAUAUUAUCCAAUUAUAGACUAACUAGGCCUAAAAGAUUUGUCUCGUGAUUUACAGUCAAACUGUGUGAUUAGUUUUUAUUUUCGUCUAUAUUUAAUGCUUCAUGCAUGAGCCGCAAGAUUCGAUGUGAUAGGGAAUCUUGAAAACUUUUUGGAUUUCGGGGUGAACUAAAUAAGACCUAAAAUGUUUCUCCUGUUCAAUAAAUGAUGAUCAGCGGAGAGUUCACAUCAAAGCAUCGCUUUAAUUCUUCACAAUUUAAUAUCCAUGUACCAUUCUGUCUGACAGCAGGAACAUGAAAAGAGCAGACAGAAAGAGACCGCAUGCGUGGGCUACACACACCCCUAUGGAUUUCUGCGCAAUAAAUCUAUGGGUGUUUGCAUUAUAUACAUGGUACCUGCACUGUGUACCAGACGGCCAGGCUCAAGCAGCUGACGAUGAGCAAGACGGUUCCACGCAUAUGGUGUUGCCCAAACGCUGAUCCAGAUUGCUUGGGAUGGUAGCUAUAACAUCCCGAAAUUUCUAUUUCGGGUUGUUAUUAGAAAAUACUAAAUAAAAUGAAUGGUUUCAAUAUAUGGAUAAAAUUUGUCAACAAUAGUAUAGAUUUCUAUAUAUUUUUAUCAAAGAAAAAUGGUGUUUUUCAAAUGCUUUGGAAUUAAUUAGACGAGCUUUAGUUGAUGUGAUGCUUGUUUGUUACUUGAGUUAUGUGUUUUUGAGUGUGCUAGAUUUUAAAAACACGUCUAGACACCAUCUGUUCCUUUGCGAGAAUUUUUCAGACUUUUCCGGAUCUUUUUCUUAUUUUUCCUUGAGCAAAAAUCUAAUUAUCGGACGCUCUAAAAUAUUUUUUUAUGAACUCGAAAAACUAUCUCCGUUCAUAAUCUCCUAAUCUAUCUCUACUAGAUUUUAUUGAAUUUUCGGAAUUUUGAAAAUAUUUUUUUUACAGAUUCAAAAUGAUUUCAGCUUUUUCUAGAAUUAUUUUGGAACUAAAAAUAAUUUAUUUAAAAUCCCGAAAUUAAUAAUUUUCGAAGCUUCUCCAAACCCUAGACCUAUAUAUAUGCCGGCGUAGCCCUCGACGCGCUGAUUCCAGAAGUACGAUCGCUUUUUCGAGCCGCCUCUCGUAGCCCCGCAGAUCGGACGCUGAAGUUUCGGAUCUCACUUCCGGCGAACUUCUCCGAUGAAAGUUCGGCGAGCUUUUCCGGCCGUCUCAGUCGUCCCCUGCGAAAACCGUCACCAUACCGAGGUUCGUAUCGAUCUCCUCUACACCGGCACGCUAUUUGUUUGACUAAUCCAUUCUCGUUCAUCGUAUCCUAAUAUUUGUUUGUCUAACUCCGGCGAACCUCCAUGGACGUCAUCUUAUCCUUCGUUCCAGCCACUGCGAUCAUGUACGACGACAUCGCCGACCCUGCGCCCCACGCCACAGCCCCGCAGCACCCCGGCUCGCGCCCUUUGGCAUGCCGCUGCGAGCAGGCAGCAGUAGCCGCCUCCCUGCUCCGUGCAGUGCGUGCGGGCAGGCCACCCUGCACGGCCCGAGCAGGCUGGCCUAGCACCGCCGUAGCCGGGAGCCGCCGUGCUGGCCGGCUGGCCCCACGGCUGAGGCUGAGCCCCUCCCUCCCCUCGCUCGAGCUUGAGCAGCAGGAAGCCCCAACCAUGGUUGCGUACGUGAGGAUGGUGGAUAGAGGUUGAAGACAAAGUAAUUACAGAAUCGCCAUUCAUUCUUUUAAUCUGCACUGAUUAAUCGUUUUAGCUCCGUUUCAAGUCAUUUAAGUUGCGUUAGAUUUAUAUCAUCGUGUUCUAUGCAGUAGCGCAAACAAUUAUUAUGUGACUCGUCUAUGAAUUCAUAAAUUUAAAUAUAUUUUUGUUUAAUAUUUAUUUAAGAACUUUCUAAUUAAAAGCCACUUAGGGUUGUAAUUCGGUUCUCGUUGCAUAGCGACCGUGUCUGCGCGAACUAUGUGUUUCCAACAAUGUUUACCAUGCCACAUGUUUAUCAAAUUAAUCUUAUUAAUUUGAUUAAUAAUUACACAAAUUUUUUUCUAAAUAAAAAUAAUAUAGGACAAUAUCAAUUUUCUUUUAAUAAUUGCUUGUCAACAUAAAUAUGUAUUAUUAAUUAUAAUUUGCUAGUUUAAGCAUGAUUUAUAUGAAGUCGGUCUAGAUGCAAUUUAAUUAAUACUUAUGCAAUGUCUUUCUUUUUCAUUAAAAAGCAACUUAGGUCUAUAAUCUUGGCCAUUUGUAAAUAAUUGUUAGCUUGAUUAAUAUUAACUUAAAUAUUUCUUAAUUAUAAUUGGUUUAGUUAAAUAUGAAGCAUGUGAUUAAUUUAUUUAAUAUCUAUCUAAUGGCUUUUGGAUUAAAAGCGAGUUAGUUAUAUAGUUUAGUCUUUAAAUAAAGAAUGUUAAUAUAAUUAAUAUCAACCUAAAUGAAUUUUCAAUUAUGACUUGCUCAGAUUAACUUUAAAAAUAAAUAGUGAUUCUAAUUAAGUUGCUCUCACUCGUUUUAUAUUCUCUAAGAUAUAAAUGCUAAAAUAGUUUAAAUAAUUUCUAUAAUUAUUUAUAAAUAGAGUAUUACUAGAACUAUACUUCGUCUUUUAUAAUUAUAAUUUGUUUAAUUCCACUUUUUGAGUUAUUUCUCUAAAAAGUCUAUCACCUCUUUUCAUCAAAUAAAAUAGAUCAAGCGGAUAGUUGAUCUUCUUCGUUGCACUUCGAACCUCGAAAGUCGUGUCCAUUUAACUAUAGCUCCGUUCUCAAUCGUUCUGAGCAGAUAUACACUGGGAAUCAAGGCAAGUGCAGACACCCUUUGAUCAUAUUGUACCUAUGAACUUUAAAUACAUUUACUUUCCACUGCAUGUGUCUUAAUACUGCAAACCCUAAGGACAUGACUAGCCCUCUACUAUAUUCCUUAUACUCCUAGGUUUAUACAUGGAUAGAAUAGUGAACAGUAGUUAUGCUUAGCUGCUCCACUCAUCUAAUCUAUAUAAUAAUAAAAGUAAUAAUCUUGAUCAAUGAAUUCUUCAAUGAUGAAUAAUGUUUAAAUGAUGAACAAUGGUUACUUCGGUGAUGGAGAUGUUGCGGUGCUUGCGAGCAUCGUGGUUUGGUUGAGAAAAGGGGGAGCGGGUACUGUUGGUGGUCCGGUUUGGCGGGCGUAUCCGCCUCUGCUCUCCGUAAGGACUUAGUCAGGGAGCGGCCCCCUGGGACUUACAGUGCAGCUCCAAGCUAUGUGGCUCUGGCUUGACUAAUUAGCAGGACCUCCGCUGGUAGGGUGUUACUUUCCGGGUAGGCGUGAGGAAGUAGCUUGGGUAAUGAAUAUUAAGUUAGCGGCUGCUCGGUACGCCAUGGCUAUGGGUAUCGACUGUCGAGCGCCCCGGCGAAAACUUGCGAGUGGCAUCCUAUUAGUUGGACCCUGUGAAAGGUCUCGUAGUGAAACCCUACAUGCUCACCUCGGUAGUGUUUUGGGGAGUCGCGACCCCGGGCGAAUGGGAAUUACGACUUGGAGUGAAAGUGCACACCUCUGCAGAGUGUAAAACUGAUAUAUCAGCCGUGCUCACGGUCACGAGCGGCCCAGACCCUCACUUGAUGAGCAAAUUGGAUUCACUGGUUACUUGGAGAUGGAACUUGGCGAGGUUGCUACCUCGUGUUUUGGCGGAAUGGCUAUUCCGUGUUGGCAGGAUUGCUAUCCUGUGUUAAUAAUUGGGGUUAAUCCCUGGACUACUAUAAUUAUUAGGAUAGUUAUUUAAAAGAUGCUAAUUACUACUUACACUAAUUAAGGGUUGGGUUUAUGCUACUCAUAAUUAGUAGUAGGUUGUUCUAAUAAUAUUCAUAAUUAAAAAUGAUCAACUAAAAUGCUACCGCAGUCAAACCAAGUCAGCUUUACCUUGUUUUAAGCCUUGCAUGUCACUACUUUCCGUCUGUGCUUGCUGAGUUCGACAUGAACUCACCCUUGUUAUUUCCCCCACACCCCCAGUGUGUAGUAAAGUGCUGCUCAGAAGAAGGAUUAAGAUAUCGUGAAGUUUUCUCGAGGCUUAUCAGAAGUGCUUGGCGUACGAAGCCCCCAGUCAACCGUCCCUGAGAAGAAUGGAGCCUAAGAAGUUUAGCUACUCUUUCCGCGUACUCUGAUGUUUGUAAGUGCUAAUAUAAAUAUGAUUUCCGCUAUAUAUAACAUUGUUUUCUGAUAUUUCUAUUCUUUGUUGUAUGUGUGGACUUCCUGGGCACACUGUUGAUGCAAAACUAAUCUGCAAACACAAAGGGCUAAUACCCGAUCCAAACGUUAAGGCGUGCCAGCCGAUUUGACCUUACUAUCGGCAAAGGUGAUAACUCGAAUACUUUAGUCCUGACAACAGCGAUGCGCCCGGAUGUCACGGCUAAGAGGUACUCACGCGGAACUUGAGGAUACGCCGAGCUUGAGUCGACGAAUUCCUAAGAACUCGUAACAAAAAGAAAACGUAUGACGAAGUCGUCGAAAAGUAAAUGCUGGAAUAUGAGUAAAAACGUGUGUUUGAUUGAUUGAUUGAUUAUUACAAGGUCCUAGGGCUUAUAUUUAUACCCUGCUCAAAGAGCUAAGACCAGACACGAUUAGAAUUCGAAUUCCAAUUUACACGGAACCCGUAUACAAAACGAUGCGAAUAACUAAGAAAAUAAUAAAACCACCCUUCGUAACAAACCAAAACUCCUCCACAUGACAACUAGCAGCUUCCGGACUCCUCCUUCGCGUCAUCGGCAAUCCCCUUGCCACAGUCAUCGGCAGACCUUCUUACUUGGUCAUCGGCACCGUAUUACUGCUUGAGGACUUAGUCACAUUCAACCUUUCCCUCAUCGGCAACCAUCCUUAUCAGCAACCCGCAUCGUACUGCCACCUUAUCCUGCUAUCCUGGACACGUGUCCAAAAAUGGUGUCAACACAUGCCCCCCAGUUUCGGAGUAUAAAACUAUUAAUGCUCCGAAAUUCUCUGCAGUAAUGAUGUCUUCUCCGCAAUUAAUGCUCCUAAUCUGGUAACCGACAACCUCAAUCUGGACAACUCUGAUCCUAAUCCUCCGCAGAUCCCUCGAAAUCCCCAACUUCCUAAACGGGCAUCUCUCUUAGUCGUACAUCGGCAACAAUACCGUUACAAAGUUCUGCCGAUGCUCUGCCCAGAAGAUUCGCAAAAACGGUUACCUCCCCUCUAUCCGCCCAUCGGCAGGAUGACCGUUAUAGAAUAUCACCGAUGGACCGACCAGGAGAUCGCGCACAGCAGAAUAUCUUUAGAUAAUGACCGCUUCCUGUCAAAUCACCUGCACAAUCCCUGGAUUAUCGUGCGAACAGUUACCAUAUCCACUUGAGUACCCUCGGGCUUCUCGGAUGCGGCAAAGAAAUAAGUCAGAUUUGCCCUUGUCCAUCUUGUCCUAUAAAUAGUUCCUUCUUGGGUACUCCUCCCCCAUUGCAUCAUUCUGCCAUCCAACUUCACUUUUCCAGCGGCGGCGCCAUUCUCAAUCCCCAAGAUCUCCGACAAGCAUUCUUCUUCAUCAACUCCGCGCCCUCUAGCGUCCUCUUCACGACAAGAUGGCCGUUGGCUUCGUCGUCCCUGAGGUCAGACUUCCAUCCCAUCUGCUGUACUUUUUCCUUGCAUUCCCGUUCAUCUGCGAUUCAUUCUUACCGAAUAUUUUCCUUUUCCCUUUUCUUUGUAUUUUUAUUCCUCAAAACACUAGGAGUUAUCCAACAAAAUUGUCAUCCCUACCGAUCAACCACAUCUUCAAUGCCUCGGCCCUCUAGGGGAUCCAGAUCCAACCGACCUUAUCAAUGCAGAAACCAACAGGAUUCCCUUUAGAGUUGAAAACUUUGCUUUAGAUCUAUGGAAAGACACCUUUCGCUCUUGGCCCAGCCCUACCGUAGGGUGGAAAGACUGGUUCUUGAGGGUCAGCAACUCUUAUGAAGUUCAAUGGGGUGAGAGGAAAUUAGCUCAAUGCAUUAGGCUGUCCAUUGCCGAUAUGCACAGGAACGAGUCAUUGCUGAUAGCUGCAUCUUACUUUUGGUCAGACACUCUCAACGCUUUUGUUUUUGGCCAUGGCCCUGCUUCUCCUACCCUUGCCGAUGUAGCCAUGCUUACUGGGUUAGAUAUAUCUUCUGCCGAUAGCACCCAUUUUUUUGAUACCGCCCCCAGUGCUAAAGUGGAGACUCGCGCUAUCGGCGGUUGGUCAGGGUACAUCCAGAAGUACCGCGGGAGAGGGCCUGUCACCAUAAAGGAGCAAACCACCUUUCUGAACAUGUGGCUAGACAAGUUUGUAUUCUGUGGUCGAUCGGCAGGACCGACUUCUGUCUAUCUAUCGGCAGCAGAAAGACUGGCUAGCGGCGGCCAAUUUCCUCUCGGCCGUUAUUUGCUCGGUGCCGUUUAUCACCUUCUUCAUCAGGUAGUCCAGAAACUCCUGCUUGGCCAACCUAUCGGCAACUUGGGAGGUCCUUGGUGGUUUAUUAAUAUGUGGCUCAAUCUGCACCUGCACAAGCGCCUUGAUCUCAACUUGUUCUCACAGCACUUCCCAAGAGAUAUAGCCGAGAAUCAUGUGUUGGGUGAAGAGGAAUCGGCAACACGUGCCCCCCUGAACUUUGGCGAAGCUGUUAUAGUCUUACCCGAUUCAGGGAACACUCCGGAUCAGAUCGGCCGAUUCUUCGAGACGCUGUAUGAAGGUCUGGCCAGAGAUGAACGACCAUGGUUGGCUUAUGACGACCCAGACAGCAUGCUCCCUCUGACCUUCAAUCCAUUUGAUGAAGCUCUUGACAGGGACAAUGAGGUGAUGAUGGCAAUCGUGAGCCCCAGAGCCAUACCAGUGAAUUUCUUCGGCAGCACGAAAACCUCUCCCCAAACCUAUGAAUUUUAUAAUCCAUCGGCAUUAGCUCGCCAGCUAGCUUUCGGCCAAUUGCCGAUUGCACUUCCUUAUGCCGAUGUAAUAAAGCCCAGAGAGCCCAUCGCCAACCUCCUCGAGUGGACUCGAGUAGCCCAGCUACCACCAAAUGCCGAUACGGAUGUAGAUCUGUCAGAAUGGGUUCCAGCCGCCUUCAUCACUCAGGCAUACAAGCUAUGGUGGGCAGAAUGGAAGGAGAAUCUGUUCUGCAGAUCAGCCCUCUCAUACCGCGGCAUGAUCGACCCCGAAUAUGAAGUCCCUGACGACACUGUAAGUAUUUUAAACCGAUGUCUCAUUUUCCAAUAUCACUCCCAUCGGUAACUUACCCCUGUAUUCCUUUUGCAGAUUGACAACACCCCCCCAUCAGUUAGUAGGAGUGGCAAGCCGAUCGACUUAUUCCCAUCAGGCCCUAUCUCCUCAAUCGGCCAUAAUGCUCCCACUCUGGCUUCCAUCGUGCACCGGGGUGCGCGCCUCAAGAAAGUUACCACCAGGAAAACUCAGACAUCACCACCGGUAACUGCUUCCACUCUGGCACAAGCUUUCAAGGCAAUCUGUUAAAACUCUUUUUUCAUUUACGCUGACUUAUCUUUGUAUCGGCUAUCUGUACUCAUAACCUCCUUUUUGUUGUUGCAGCAAACUGGUGCAUCGGCAAAAGUCAAACGCCAAGGCGCCGAUGCCCCCCAGUCUAGCCAGCCAAAGAGGAAGGGCAUCCACGGUGCUAAGGCUGGAACAAAGCGCCAGAAAGUGGCAACUCCUCCUCCUCCUCCGGUGUUUCCAAUCCCGGUGGAAUCUUCCCCUUCUUCCCCAGACGUCCAGGCACAGCAAGUACUAUCUUCACAACCAACACAGGAAGCACCACAGAUGGAAGAACCCCAGCAGGAAGAACCUCAAAUGGCAGGUAUAUCAGCUGAUGUAGGUGAACAAACAACUGGCCCGGCAGGUACAGUUACAUCAUCGGCGGUUUCCUCGAUUCAGGCAACUGUUGUUUCUCCUCCGGGUAACAGAUCUCAACAAUACUCCUACCGAUAAACUUAUCCUCAUUUAUUCUUAUAAUCUUUCCUGUCUUCUUUCAGGCGAUAUCGCUCUAUCGGCAACAUUUGCCGAUCAACCUGCAGCUCCAUCGGCCCCUCUGAGUCAAAGGCAAGAAAUCGCCUUGAAGCAAGUAAGUCAUCCACUUUUCCAUCAGUAUCGUCUGCCGAAGUUUUGACCAUAAAAUUGACCUACUUCAUUUUUAUUUUCAGGAACAAGAUUCUCCCAACAGCUUGUUCUCCUUUGCUGUUGAUAUCUUCGAAGAAGAAGGCGAGGAAGCAAGCUCCUCUCGGGCAGUUGGAAUUGUAUCGGCAAAAGCUAGAGCUAAGCUGGAGGAGCUAUCGGCCAUACUCCAUCAAGACACAACUCAACUGGUCAACGAUUCUGACCCAGCCAAGGCCCUGUUCAAGACCCUUAGAGGCCAAAUUCCUGCCGAUGCUGAAGAAACACUCUUCCAUGCUGCACAUCUAGAAAGCCGCCAGUUACAGUACCAGAGAGCUACUCGACGCCUUACCGAUAGAGCUGCUCAAAUCCAGCUUUCUGAGGAGAUGAUGAAAGAAAAACUCUUAGCCGAUGAGAAACAUAAGAACAUCGGCACCUUAAAGUCCUCAGGUGAUGCACUGAAGCAAAAAGUGUCUGAUCUAUCGGCGAAAAGAGAAGCUCUACUGGCUGAACUCAAGCAAGUAGAAGACGCUCUGUCCCAAGCCCAGCAAGAAGAGAGUCAACUGCCGGAGACCAUCAAGCAUCUUGAACAAGAACGAAACGUCCAUGGUCGCAAAGCGCUGCAACUGAAGAGGAAGCUGAAGCCGAUCGAAGGUUCUGCCGAUGAUGAUAUCAAAGAGAUAGAGACAGCCAACCAGAUUCGGCUGCGCGCCAUAUCAGCAAUCCAAGCACUGUUGAGCAUCUGAAGCUUUCAUCGGCGACACACCUUUGUUUUUCUGCCUUCAGCUUUUAGUCUAGCCGAUAAGACUGUUAUCGGCAUCUUUUGAAACAUUAAGUCUGCCCUCGAACAUUUAAAUCCAGCCGAUAGGAGUGUUAUCGGCACUUAAACUUUUAUGCGUCGAUCCAUAUGCUGGGGUAGUACUUCUUCAAAUAUUUGCCAUUUAAUGCUCUGGGAAAUUCAACUCCUUCGAGAGUUUCUAGAAUAUAGGCAUUACCAGGAGCUGAGUGUCUUAUCCGAUAAGGACCUUCCCAAUUAGGAGACCACUUCCCAAACUUCGAACUUUUAGUCCCGACUGGCAAAAUCAACUUCCAUACCAAAUCCCCAUCGGCAAACUCCUUAGUCUUUACUUUUUUAUCAUACCAUCUAGCAACUCUCUUCUUAUUUUCUUCUAUACUCAUUAAGGCCUUUAACCGAUGUCCUGCUAAAUCAUCUAACUCAUCGGUCAUCAAAGUGGCAUAAUCAUCGGCAGUCAAUUGAUCUUGAAAAGAUAAUCGCCUAGAUCCAGCCUUAAUCUCCCAAGGCAAUACUGCAUCAUGUCCAUACACCAAUUGAUAAGGUGACACCUUGGUUGAUCCAUGGCAAGCCAUCCGAUAGGACCACAGUGCUUCAUUUAACACUGUAUGCCACCGCCUAGGGUUUUCUUCAAUCUUCCGUUUAAUAAGCUUGAUAAUUCCUUUGUUAGACGCUUCGGCCUGCCCGUUGGCUUGAGCAUAGUAAGGAGAGGAAUUCAACACUUUAAUUCCCAUACCGAUUGCGAAUUCAUCGAACUCCCCUGACGUGAACAUGGUGCCCUGAUCGGUAGUAAUCGUUUGGGGAAUCCCAAAUCGGUAAAUAAUAUGCUCCUUCACAAAAUCAAUCAUAUUGGCCGAUGUGACUUUCUUCAAGGGAAUAGCUUCGACCCACUUAGUGAAAUAGUCAGUGGCAACUAGAAUGAACUUAUGCCCUUUGCUAGAUGGUGGAUAAAUCUGGCCGAUCAGAUCGAUGGCCCACCCCCGGAACGGCCAAGGUUUUAUUAUAGGAUUCAUAGCCGAUGCGGGUGCUCUCUGGAUAUUACCGAACUUUUGACAACCUUGACAACCCUUGAAAUAUUUAAAACAAUCUUCAAGUAUGGUUGGCCAAAAAUAUCCAUUCCUUCGAAUCAUCCACUUCAUCUUGAAAGCUGACUGAUGCGCUCCACAUACUCCUUCAUGGAUUUCCCCCAUUAAACUUUUGGCUUCAUCAUCACCCAAGCAUCAGAGAAGAAUUCCGUCGAUAGUUCGAUAAUACAAUUCAUUUUCAAGAAGCACAUAUUUGGUCGCUUGAAAUCGAACCCGUCUUCCAACUUUCUUAGAUGGAUCUUCUAGAUAGUCGACAAUCUCUUUCCUCCAGUCACCGGCACUGACUGCCGAUGUUGCACUAAUCAUUGGCUGAUAUCCUGAGGCAUGCUGGGCUAACCGAUUAGCGUCCUCAUUAUGCAAUCGGGGAACAUGCUCCAAUCGGAAGUUUUUGAAUUCCUUUAACAGUUGCAUACUUUUCUCGAAAUAGGUUAUGAGAACUUUACUUCGGCAUUCAUAGCUUCCGGCUAAUUGAUUUAUAACCAACAUGGAAUCCCUGAAUACUUCAACAGCAUCAGCACGAACUUUUCUUAACAACUCCAAUCCCUUGAUCAGAGCUUGAUACUCAGCCUGAUUAUUUGUUGAUGUAGCAACAAUCGGUAAGGAAAAUUCAUACUUCCUCCCCUUAGGAGAAACUAACACAAUACCGAUUCCUGCUCCCCGAUCACAGGUAGAUCCAUCAAAGAAGAGCGUCCAGGGUGCAAUUUCCAAGGUUUCCACUAGGCCGCAAUGUUGAGUCACAAAAUCGGCCAUAACCUGCCCUUUGACCGCCUUAGCCGAUUCGUAACGCAAAUCGAAUUCCGACAGCGCUAAAAUCCAUUUACCGAUCCUUCCACUCAUAAUUGGCAUAGAUAGCAUGUAUCGGACUACGUCAUCUUUGCAAAUAACAGCACAUUCGGCCGACAAUAGGUAAUGUCUUAGCUUGAUACAUGAAAAAUAUAAGCAUAAGCACAGCUUCUCGAUGGCCGAAUACCUGGUUUCAGCAUCAAUCAACCUCCUACUCAAAUAAUAAAUUACUCUCUCUUUCCCUUCAAACUCCUGAACCAAAGCUGAGCCGAUAACCGAUCCAUCGGUAGAUAAGUAUAAUUUGAAGGGUUUCCCUUGUUGAGGUGGAACUAAAACUGGAGGGUUUACUAGAUACUUUUUGAUUUCAUCUAGAGCCAACUGCUGUUCUUCUCCCCAAACAAACUCCUGAUCGGCUCUCAAUUUUAGAAGAGGACUGAAAGCACGAAUUCUCCCAGAUAAAUUCGAUAUAAAUCUUCUGAUAAAAUUCACUUUGCCGAUCAAAGAUUGGAGCUCGGUUUUAUUGGUAGGGGCCACUAUUUUAUUGAUGGCAUCAAUAGAUCUCCGACUAAUUUCAAUACCCCUCUGAUGUACCAUGAAACCAAGAAACUGCCCUGCCGAUACACCAAAUGCACACUUGUUGGGAUUCAUCUUCAAUCCAUGCUUCCUUGUGCACUCCAACACUCUUCGUAAAUCGGCAAGAUGCUUUGAGAAAUCUCCAGACUUGACCACCACAUCAUCAAUAUAAAUUUCUACGAUCUUGCCGAUGAACUCAUGAAAUAUAAAAUUCAUAGCCCUUUGAUAAGUAGCACCGGCAUUCCUUAACCCAAAAGUCAUGACUAUCCAUUCAAAUAGUCCAACAUGACCAGGACACCUGAAUGCGGUUUUUGGAAUAUCCUCUUCCGCCAUGAAUAUUUGAUUGUAACCCGCAUUACCAUCCAUGAAGCUGAUGACCCGAUGGCCAGCCGCAGCAUCAACCAGUAGAUCGGCGACAGGCAUUGGGUAUCCAUCCAUCGGCGUAGCUUUAUUGAGAUUCCUGAAAUCAAUGCACACCCGAAGCUUCCCGUUCUUCUUGUAAACCGGGACGACAUUGGAAAUCCAUUCGGCAUACCGACACUGCCGAAUAAACUUAGCUUCAAUAAGUUUAGUGAUUUCGGCCUUAAUAUCAGGUAGAAUGUUAGGAUUACAUCGGCGGGCUGGUUGCUGAUGUGGCCGAAAUCCAGACUUAAUGGGUAACCGAUGUUCAACAAUUGAUCGGUCUAAACCAGGCAUCUCUGUAUAAUCCCAAGCAAAGCAAUCUUUAUAUUCCUUUAACAAACUAGUUAAUUGCUGUUUACACUCAGGAUCUAGUUUAGCACUAAUAAAAGUAGGCCUAGGCUUAUCACCACUACCUAUAUCUACUUCUACCAAAUCAUCGGCCGAUGUGAAUCCCUGGCCUAAUUUUCCAUCAUCGGCGAAUCUAUCCAUUAAAAACCGUCGUCAGAACCGACUGCUUGGAUCGGUGGAAUCUCAUAAUCGGCAACUUUGAGAAAAUCUUUCUCCCAAACUUCUCCUGAAAUGCACCUAGUCUUUUCAUAAGUAUCCGCUUCUGCCGACGCGAUAACAUAAGAAGAAUCCCCUGGGACGAUCUCAAUCUUGUCACCUACCCACUGAACCAAGCACUGAUGCAUUGUAGAUGGGACACAACAAUUGGCAUGAAUCCAAUCUCUCCCCAAUAAUAAAUUGUAGGCACCUUUUCCGCUGAUCACAAAAAAGGUUGUCGGCAAGGUUUUGCUGCCGAUGGUCAACUCCGCACAUAUUGCCCCCUUGACCGGAGACACGUUUCCCUCGAAGUCUUUGAGCAUCAUAUCGGUCUUGGUCAAAUCUUGAUCCCCUUUCCCAAGCUUCCGAUAUACUGCAUACGGCAUAAUAUUAAUAGCAGCUCCACCAUCAACUAGGAUCUUAGUCAUUGGCUGCCCAUCAACCCUUCCUUUGAGGAACAAAGCUUUAAGAUGCUGCCUCUCGUUAUCGGCAGGUUUCUCAAAGAUAGCCGUCAUCGGAUCCAGAGCCAACUGAGCUAUCUGAUCAGAAAGUCCCAACUCAUCGUCACUGGCUGGUGCAAGAAACUCCAUCGGCAACAUGAAUACCAUGUUGACGCCUGCCGAUGGACCUUCCUUCUUAGUGUCUGCCGACUGCCGACUUUCAGAACUCUCUCCUUUAUUUAACUCCUCUUGCCUUUCUCGUUGCAACCUCCUUUUCUGUGUCUUGGUUAAUCCUUGAGGGCACCAUGGAGGAAGUGGCCUUUGCCUUACUGCCGGGCGUCGGUUCUCCCUUGACUCCAUACGAUGUGUGUUAGCAUCUCUGCAAAAUAUGAACUCAUCGGGAACCCGUGCAUUAGCCAUUUCCUCAAGCUCUUCCUGGUUCCUGGGAAAAUACUGGACACGGUCACCGAGCCGAUCGCGAACACUAAGCCUGCCCCCCAGCCGAUCAUGAACUGACGCCCUUCCUCUGAUUGGCCCAUUAAAUCGCCGUUCAUCAUCAUGAUAACGCCGAUCGUUCCUAUCAUACCGAUCAUAACCGUUGCAUUCAGGGCAGUCUCUAACAGUAGGAAGCUUGAUAUUUUCCUCCCAACAAUGGAUGAAGAACGGGCAAUUCCAAUGAUCCCUGUGCCGAUUCCACUCCUGUCGGCGUCUUUCUUCUUCCCGUUGAUAAUCUUCCUGCUGGCGCCGAUAUCGAUCUUCCCGUUGUUGCCAUCUCUCUCGAGGCCUUCUAUGAGUUAUGACAAUACCAGACCGAGGAGGUCUUCCUGAGCUAGCUCCUUCCUGGACCAAGCCCUUACUUCUUGCAUCGGCGGUAGUAACUUGAUGCUGAGGAUCUACCGAUGCACUCUUCUCAGCUGUCUCCAACGUUAAGACCUUAGCCUUCCCCUUAGCGUCCAACAUGUUUGUCGGGAAAGGAUGUUGGUCUAUCUUCAUCGGCUUCUGGGCUUUAGAACUGUCAAACUUGAUUCUCCCCGACUCUAUAGCCGAUUGCAGCUGUUGUCUGAAUACUUUGCACUCGUUGGUGUCAUGUGAAGUUGCAUUAUGCCACUUGCAAUAUCUCAUCCUCUUCAACUCUUCUGCCGACGGGAUCACAUGGUUAGGUGACAGUUUGAUUUGACCUUCCUGAAGUAGAAAGUCAAAUAUCCUAUCGGCCUUGGCGGUGUCAAAGGCAAACUUCUCUGGUUCUUUCUGCCCAAAAGGACAGGACAUCGGCUUCUUGUUUUUUACCCACUCUGCCAAACCGAUUACUGGUUCCUCGUCGGAAUCUGAGCUUGUUGCUUCGUCAACAAAUGACACUUUCUUAUUCCAUGCCCUCUUAGGUUCGAAAGGCUUGAUGUCUUGAUCAGAUAUCCUCUGCACCAAAUGACUUAAACUCUCGAACUCUUGAGAUGCAUACUUAUCCCUGAUAUGUGGCAACAAACCCUGGAAAGCCAAAUCGGCUAGCUGCCGAUCAUCUAGAACCAGGCUAUAGCAUUUAUUCUUGACCUCUCGUAUCCUCUGCACAAAUCCCUCAACCGACUCGUCAUUACGUUGCCUCAACUUAACCAAGUCGGUGAUCUUCUUCUCAUGAACCCCCGAGAAGAAGUAUCUGUGGAAUUGCUUCUCUAGAUCGGCCCAAGUAAUUACUGAGUUGGGAGGUAACGAUAUGAACCAAGUAAAGGCCGAUCCAGACAGUGAUGACGAAAAUAGACGAACCCUUAAUUCGUCCCUGUUACCAGCCUCUCCACAUUGAAUAAUGAACCUGUUGACAUGCUCCAUGGUUGACGUGUCGUCUUGUCCGGAAAACUUUGUAAAAUCUGGUACCUUGUACCGAUGUGGAAGCGGGAUCAAAUCAUACGCUGGAGGAUACGGUGUCCGAUAAGAAUAAGUGUUGACUUUGGGUUUUAUCCCAAAUUGUUCCCUCAUUACUUCAGCAAUCUUAUCGGCCCAAUAAGCAUCGGCAUCUUGCCGAUGAGGCGGCUGCGGAUCCGGCACUUGGUGGCGAACCUCCACGUGUCUGUUUGGGACGUGACCUGUAUGGAACAUCGUAUUGGUCACCUGUCCUCCAAUCUGCGGACUACCAAACUGCUGUCCACCGACUGGCUGUCCUCCAAGUUGCUGUCCAAAAUUUAUUGGCUGGUUGGGAAUUCCCUGACCUUGGAACCCGGGAUAAACCUGCCCUUGCUGGAACCCCGUAGUCUGAUAACCCUGCUGGGGCGACUGUGGAAAGGCUUGCUGUCCAAGCCAUCCAUUAUUAGCGUUCAUCGGCAUAGGUGCUGCCGAUGAUUGGUAAUUGGGUAUCGUCGUUGAAUUGACAUACCCCGACUGGGCCAUAGGCCUCUGUUGCAUCAGCAUUGACUCUGCCGAUGCGUUGGGCAUCUGGAACAUUGAAUCUUGAGGAUUUCCAGUGUGAGGCCUUGCAGUAGUAGUUGUGGUAUACCGAGGACUCUGGUUCACCGGCACAUUGGAAGGUACCGAUGUCAUAGGAGUUUUGCCCCUCAUGUCAGUUAUCUGUGAUGUUCCUGGCGUCAACUCUGGAGGCAUACCAUAACCCCACCAGUUGGGAGGAAGAGUUAACCCCGACAUUGCCGAUGCCAACAUAUCUGUUGUCAGUUUAUGCUGCCCAACUGAAAUUUGUGGGUUGGUUGCCAUCGGCAUAGAUAGUGCACCAGUAGUCCCCAAUGUACUUGGAGGGACGGCAGACUGUGCACUUGCACUCGUCAAGGCAGCCGAUGGAGCCGUAACCUCUGGUGCCGUGGGUUGAUGAUGGGAAGGGCCCACAUAAUCCGGCGGGAUUUGUCCUUCCUUGAAGGUUCUUGCUACGGCGUUAAAAACCGUAUUAGACAGUACACCAGCUUGGUUGAUCAGCGCUCGAUUGAUGGCAUUGUCGACCAUGUCUUGAAGCUUGCCAGGAUUGGCGUCAAAGGUGACCUGCCGUGGUGCCGGCAGUGCAUCUUUCUGGACCACUUCGCCGCUCCUGUUCAUGCUGAAAGACUUCAGGCAUUGCUGCUUGAACUCUUCCAUGGCUUGGGCAAUAGCUUGCUUCUGCUCAUCCUUGAGGUUGGCUUCCGUCACGGGGAUGACGUUGUCUUGAUCGAGGUCAGAGAUCGACAUGCUGAUCUUGAUCUUAAAUCGGUCCCACCGGGCGUGCCAAAAGAUAUGUUGAUGCAAAACUAAUCUGCAAACACAAAGGGCUAAUACCCGAUCCAAACGUUAAGGCGUGCCAGCCGAUUUGACCUUACUAUCGGCAAAGGUGAUAACUCGAAUACUUUAGUCCUGACAACAGCGAUGCGCCCGGAUGUCACGGCUAAGAGGUACUCACGCGGAACUUGAGGAUACGCCGAGCUUGAGUCGACGAAUUCCUAAGAACUCGUAACAAAAAGAAAACGUAUGACGAAGUCGUCGAAAAGUAAAUGCUGGAAUAUGAGUAAAAACGUGUGUUUGAUUGAUUGAUUGAUUAUUACAAGGUCCUAGGGCUUAUAUUUAUACCCUGCUCAAAGAGCUAAGACCAGACACGAUUAGAAUUCGAAUUCCAAUUUACACGAAACCCGUAUACAAAACGAUGCGAAUAACUAAGGAAAUAAUAAAACCACCCUUCGUAACAAACCAAAACUCCUCCACAUGACAACUGGCAGCUUCCGGACUCCUCCUUCGCGUCAUCGGCAAUCCCCUUGCCACAGUCAUCGGCAGACCUUCUUACUUGGUCAUCGGCACCGUAUUACUGCUUGAGGACUUAGUCACAUUCAACCUUUCCCUCAUCGGCAACCAUCCUUAUCAGCAACCCGCAUCGUACUGCCACCUUAUCCUGCUAUCCUGGACACGUGUCCAAAAAUGGUGUCAACACACACAUAUGACAACUCUGGUCUUAUUUUUAAAGCUAGGGUGUGACAGUAGCCGAUGAUGUUGGUAGGCCAGAGAUGAAGCACUUUGCCUUUGUAGAGGCUGAUCACCAGUGUGCCCCCAACACAAACUAGGGUCCCUGUCACCUUGAUGUUUCCUACCAGGCUCUUCAAGUUCAAAGGCUCCUUCCUGAAACAGGCUAAUAUUUAUGUAGGUGCAUGUAUCCUUUUAGGAACAAACGACUGUGACAUUCUUUAUUUUGGUCUUAUUUACUAUCGUGUCCUUUCCAAAUUAUAAGACGUUUUGUUAUUUCUAAAUACAUUAUUAUUAUUAUUAUUAUUAUUAUAUAUCUAGACAUGGUGUAUAUAUAAGUGCAUAGUAAAAGUUAUAUCCCUUCUCAUAAUUUGGAAUAGAUGGAGUGUACCUAAAAAGAACGUGCACAUAUAUGCCACCACUUUGUUGAUUAUAUUUUUUUGGAUUAAAUCAAACAUUAAAAUACCUACAUUUCUAAUAGUUUAAGUCUGAAAUAUUCAAAACAAGAAGGAGAUUUAAAAAAACUCAAGUGAGUUCUAGUGAACCUUAUCCAGCCAUAACGUUAUGUUGAAACUUUUCCGUUUUACAUGUUCAAUAUAAACAUGGUAAAAAAAACUCAUGUGAUGAAUAUGGCCAGGAGAAUUACCUAGGUCUUCAUCCUUUCAGCUAUUCCUAUUUACGUCUUGAUAUGGAUAAAGAUGCCUAAAUGGUUUUAGGCGCCAUUGUUGAUAAGAUAAGGAGAGGCUUUGUAUGGAAAGGGAGGGAGCAAUUGAAUGGUGGAGCUUGCUUGGUUGCAUGGGAUAAAAUCCAGUGACCCUUGAUUUGGGCGGACUAGAGAUACUGAACCUUGAGCUCAUGAGUUGGGCGCUUCAAAUCCGUUGGCUAUGGUUCAAGAUAACAGACCCUAACCGAGCAUGGGCUGGCCCUUGAUGACAUUCAUAUUCAUCUAAAUGUUGUAGCUCUUUUCAACAUUGCAUUGGAAUCAAAGGUCGGUAAUGGAAGAAGUUAUCUAUUUUGGGAGGAUUAGUGGCGCAUGGACUGCUGUUUGGAGGACUUGUCACCAGAGAUGGUUGCUGCAAUCCCAUCUCGCACUUGCAAACAGCGCACGGUGGCUACGCCUUACAUGAUCAUGCUUGGCCUACUGAGAUCAGUCGGGGUCUCUUAUUGGUGGGUCUCUUUGAGUAUUUUAAUUAUGGGAUAUAUAGCACGAGGCAAUCCUCUCUUAGGACGACAAUGUCCAUGUUUUGAGAUACGAAGGGUUAGGACGGUUUUCCUCAAAAUCUGCAUAUCGAGCAUUCUUUAAUGACUCCAUCACCUUUGCGCCUUGUCGACAUUUACGGAAAUCUUGGGCACCAGCAAAGUACAAAUUAUUUUUAUGGCUAGCAAUCCAAAAACAGGUGCUGUACGGAGGACCAAUUGGCCAAGAGAGGAUUACCUCACCUGACCCACUAACCCUUGUGUGAUCAAGAAGAUGAGACGGUCCAGCAUCUGCUUACUACAUGUGUCCUCGCUUGAGAAUUUUGGUCACACAUCCUGACUCCUUUGGGACUGCAAGAUUGGACUCCCACAAGGGGAGAGAAUUCAUUCGCUAAUGGUGGCAAAAAAGCAACCAAGAGAAUUCCAAGGAGAAGAAAAAGGGGCUGAACACAAUGAUCAUUCUAGGUUCCUGAAUCCUUGGAAGCACAGAAAUGCUUGCGUUUUUUAAGGGUCUCGCUCACCCCUGCAUCACCAGGAUGCUUGAAGAGUUCAGAGAUGAAUAUCACCUUUGGUGCUUCGCAGGAGCGCAUGGCCUGUGCACUUUAGGUCUGGGUCACGGUGUUGGGCUAGGAUAGAUUUCAUUGGUUUAGUUGGUUGGUGUUGUCUGUGGUCAAGUCUCACCUCUUUCCUAGUUCUUUUAGUUUAAGUGAUUUGAUGUAAUUGAAACAAACCCCCACAGCCCGGCCAUGAGUGAAGUGGUUUUGCUUGUAAUAUAAGGGGCCGAUCAUUUUUUCUCUUUAAUGCAAUGAUACAUAAAUUUCUUGCGUAUUUGAGAAAGAAGUCAUAGUGAACCUUAUGUAGCCAUAACAUUAUGUUCCGCUGGUAUUUUAUUUUUAAGCUGCUACCAUAUUUUAAAUAAAUAUACAUGGAAAUAUAUCCAAACCAUCCCCUUUCAUUUACUGCAGUAGAAAGGAAGGACAAAUAUAUUUGGAGGUUCUCUUCCAGAUAUAUUUGGAAGUUCUCUUCCAAUGGACAAUAUUUAGCCAAGUAGGGCUUUUCUUUAGGUGCUACCCUCUUUGCACUAUGGGAAAACAUUUUGAAGUCUUGUACGCCACCUAAAUGUUGGUUCUUCAUGUGGUUAGUUGCAGAAAACAAAUGUUAGAUAACAAAGCGCCUUGCAUGACGUGGACUGCCGCACCUGGAACGUUGUCCACCAUGUGAUUAUGAUGAGGAACCAUCAACCAUCUCCUCAUCUGCGUCUUUGCUAGGUAAUUUUUGUUCCAACUACUAAGAUAGUUUGGUCUUCAGGCCUUAUCACCACAACCUACUGAAAAAUACUUUCUUGAUUGGUGGGAGAUAGCUAGUACUGCUACUUCUAAGUUGGUGCGGCAAGGUAUUAAUUCCCUAAUCAUUCUGGUGUUUAGAUUCAUUGGAACCAUCAUUAUCGUUGUGUUUUUUAUGGAUCGGUGCCAAGUAUUGCUGGGGAUUUAGUCAUGGCUAGUGAGGAACACCAGUUGUGGUCCAUGGCAGGGGCUCAAGGACUAUCCCUCUUGUCCCCCCUCCCUCGUAGGUGAUUAGUAUUUUGGUGUAUGUGUGUCAAACUUCAUAUAUCAAAGGGGCAUUUGUGUUUAAUGAUGUUGUAGUCAUUGUGUUGUCUGAGUGCAUCAUGUUGUCCAUGUGUGGUGUGAGUGUUGUUGGGUUCUUACACCUAGACUCUUCUUAAUACACUGAUGCACUUGUGUUUUUUGAGAAAAUUGUGCAUCUCUUAUAGUGAUAUCUCCAUAUUGUCCAUACUACAAACCUCGGUGGAAAUGGCACGACGUAUGUAUAUGCAUAAAAGUAACUAGGUUACCAUUUAUGAUUUGAUUUGUUUAGUUUGGCAGGUUGCACGCCAGCUAAUGCUUAAAUAGGAUUGCUUGUGCAACAAACUCAUAAACAUAACAACAACUCUAGAUUCAUAAUUUUUAUAUAAACUCGAUCUAAGGAAUGUGAAUCAAUGAAAUCCUUUCUUUAUAAAAAAAAUCUAAGGCUAUGAGUAUGAUUCCUUAUCUUUUCAUUAUAUAUUUUGUAAUUUUGUUUUACAUUUCAUCCUCUGCUUCUAGUUUUCUCCAUUUUACAUCUUUUCCAUAGAAAAAAUCGGUUGCUUUCUUUUUUCUCGAUCGACCUCGUUUCUAUGGAAAACAAAACAGUUGCAAAACUAGACUUUAGCUUGUGCGCAACAUGAAUGAGACGGACGAAAAAGAAAAAAGAGAACCAGAGGAACUGCACGAUCGAGUAAGUGUGGACACAUGCCCAUGGCUGAAAGUACCGUUUGCGGAUUUGUUAUGAGAGAAAAAUAUUGCUGAAUGACUGACAGAUUCAACAGAAAAGCUCAAACGAACAGGUUCUAAAAACCCAGAUUGCAUUGGGGAGAACGAAAAAAAGGAAAAAUAGAUAACUUAUGAAGAAAUCUUAAUUGAUGUUAAUAUUGAGGAUUGCUAGAUUUACCGAGUAAACGAUUGUGAGCAGACUCAUGUUCCAUUUCAGCUGCCAAGUCGCCUUUUCUCUGUUCAUUGCGACCCCUACAACAGCCAUUUGGAUGCAGCCCACGAAGCAUGUGGCAACCGUGGACCAGUACUUGUAAGGGAACACUUUCAGCAUCUGUGCCUGUAAAUACAAAACUACAUGUAAGUUUUCCUAAAACUCUAUGUAUGUUUCUCAUGUUGGAUUAAUGGUGAUCAGCAGAGAGUUAACAUCAAAGCACCAGAACAUUCUGAAAUUGAACAACAGAUAGAAAGAUACUGCAUGCAUGGGCAACAAGUGUUUCUGGUAGCUCUAUGAGUGUGUGCAUUAAUCAUUUGCGUGCUUAUAUAUAUAUAUAUAUAUAUAGUACUCUAUCCAUCCCAAAUUGUAAGUCAUUCCAAGAAUCUUGAAGAGUCAAAUUUUUCUAAGUUUGACCAAAUUUAUAUUAUAAAAUAAUAAUUAUUAUGGUACUAACUAAGUAUCAUUAGAUUCUUUCUUAAUUAUAUUUUUAUAGUAUACUCACUUUAUGUUACAAAUCUUAGUAUUUUUCUCUAUAACUUUGGUCAAACGUGAAAAUGCUUUGACUCUCCAAGAUUUUUGGAAUGACUUACAAUUUGAGAUGGAGGGAGUAGUAUAUACCUGCACUGUGUACCAGACGGCCAGGCUCAAACAGCUCACGAUGAGCAAGACGGUUCCACGCAUAUGGUGGUGCCCAAACGCUGAUCCAGAUUGCUUGGGGUGGUAGCCGAUGAUGUUGGUAGGCCAGAGAUGAAGUACUUUGCCUUUGUAGAGGCUGAUCACCAGUGUCCCCCCAACACAAACCAGGGUUCCUAUCACCUUAAUGUUUCCUACCAGGCUCUUCAAGUUCAAAGGCUCCUUCCUGAUGAAAUGAAAUAGGAGAAUUAUAUAUACAUUUAGACCUUGUUUGGAUAUAGUCUGAUUUGUCAUCAAUCCACAUGUGUUGGAGUAAAAUUAGACUGGAAGUUGAACUAAAUUCCACCUCAAUUCACCCCAACACGUGUGGAUCGAGGUGAAUCCAACAAUAUCCAAACAAUGCCUUAGGAAGAUGUAUGUAUCUUUUCAUCAGGAAAAAACAACUCUGGCAGACUUUAUUUACUACACGUACCUGAAAAGAACCGCAAGGAUGAAUGUGGCUAUUGGGAUGAUGUUGAAAAAAUUGAUGGCAUAUCCGGGCGACGUAUCUCCCAGGCCAAUGUAGUAAAGACCAGGAAUUGUGAAUCUGUAGGUAACAAAAAGGUAGAAUUUUAUUUUGUAUUGUAAACAAAGAAAUAAUCGUUUAUGUGCAUGGGUCUUACGAGAGGACAACUACUGACCCUACAAGUGCACUUGUAAAAAUCCAUAUGAAUGCUUUCGGUUUAAUCUCCUUCCAAUUCCCUCUGCACCAAUACAAUCAGAAUGAACACCAUUGCAUAAGAAAUCUUAAAUAAUUCAGUAUAUAUUCAGGAUAACACAGUUGUAUAUCUUCCUUUGUUGACAAUAUAUAAGGCCUCGUUUAGUUUCAAAAAAAUUUGUAAAAUGGACAAUGUAGCACUUUUGUUUGAAUUUGACACAUAUUGUCCAAUCAUAGACUAACUAGACUCAAAAUAUUUGUCUCACAAAUUAUAGAUAAUCCAUGUAAUUAGUUAUUUUUUUAUCCAUAUUUAAUGCUCGGUGCAUGUGCCGCAAGAUUCGAUGUGACGAGAAAUCUGAAAAAUUUUGCAAAUUUUUUUAGAACUAAACAAGGCCUAAAUAAAGGACUUGCAAUGUUCAUAUUAGAAAAGGUGCUACUACAGUAUUAUUAUUGUAUGCAAAACAAUUUUUUCUACUACCAAAGAUAAUAUAUUAGAGCAUCUUCAAGAGUACUAAAGAGUCUCUCAGUUUAGGAAUUUUGGUGAGAUUGAAGAAAAACUCAUCUCCAACAACUCCCAGACCCACCUCCCAAUCUUCUGGCACUUGGAAGAAACCACGCCACACGCUACAGUUACACGUGCGUAUCGUGGCCCCAAUCAAAGGUGGAAGGACGCGGGAAAGAAAAAAACGUAGGAUAAGGUUUCUAAUGCAAAUAUAUAAGAGAGAAAUAAAGUAUAAAAUAAAAUGGUUGGUGUGAUUUAGAAAUAGUUUAGGAUUCCUGAUGUAAAAUUAUCUUCUAUAUUUAGGUGCUUGAUUUUAGAAACUAUUGGAAUUGUAUCUUUUUUUAUGUCUUCCAGUAUAUUUUGCAAAGGUUGGAAAACUUUUUUUGGAGUAUUUUUUGUAGAUAUCGUUGGAGAUGAUGACAACAUGGAUCAAAAAAACGUAACCACAAUAUACAUGGAGGUAACAAUUUUCAAAGAUAGCAGCUGAGGGGAUGACCAAGAUGGCCACCAUGGUGAGCAGCAACUGCCUGGUAUAGUGAAAACUUGGAUAAAAAAAAAGAGAAAAAGAAAACUUGGAUCAGUGCUCCGUGAAUGAUGCUGGCCACAAUUAUAUUCCUUAUCGCUUCUGCCGGCCACCUUAUUGUCUCUCUCAUGCAGGUCUCACUCAGCAGGACAGUAGUGGAGUAGCACAGUUCUAUCUCGAUCAAGAAGGCCGAUAAUCAUAAAAAGCAUGCAUGCAAUACUUUGUGGCGUGUGUUAAGGGGCCCGGGGGAACGCAAGAUCCACAAGAUGCAUGGUACUCGCGUGCUUCUAGCUCUUAGCCCAGCAGCACUUUAUGGAGGGGGUCACUCUAUAAUGUGAACAAUGAUGACGUGUGCAUGAAGGUGUGGAGUCUAAUAUUUCAGGUAAUUCACACUACCCAGUUAUGAUUUGUAGAGGUGGCUCCCAACCUCUAUAAGGAUGGUCAUCAUCAGCCGCCCCUCCGGGGGGCUUUUACAAAUCAAGGAUUUGUAGGCGUGGCUGGGUGGCUCAAUAUUGAGCUGCCCUUAUAAAUCAUUUUUUAAAAUCCGAAAUAAAAUCCUUAGGAAAAAGAAAAAAUAUAUUUCAAUCCAGAGAAGCCUCCACCAGCCAGCCACAACACCCAUCUACUACAAUAAUGUUUUUCCACAAUUUUUCGCACAUUGCUACCCCUAGUAUUUGAACUAGGGCGGUCAUCAUCAGCCACCCCUCCGGAAGGACUUUUACCAAUCAAGGAUUUGUAGAGGCUGCUAGGCGGCUUUGAGUUGCCUCUACAAAUCAUUUUUCGAAAAUCAUGAAAAAAAUCUCUAAAAAAUAGCAAGCCAUUUUAUUUUUAUCCAAAGAAGACCCCACCAGUCAGGCACACCACCCAUCGACUACAAUGAUUUUUUUCCAUAAUUUUUUGCUGCCCUUAGGAUUCAAACCUCUCUUCUCUCUCACACGCACGACCUCCACUACCACUACACCCCUUUGUCAUUUGUGCCUAUAUUCUAUUUUGGUUUCUCACAUAUUAUACUAAACCGUGUAUAAAUUGAUUAUUGAAGAUUAUAAAUGAAUUCAAAUCAAAAAGUUGUCAACUAUAAAGUUUUAUAAUUUUUUUGAGAUCUAUAAUUUUUAUUUAUAGAGUUUCUUCAUUCGAAGCCAUUUAUAAAAUUUAAAUUUUAAAUUUGAGAAAUUAAAAUAUAGUUUUACAUGACAAGAUGAUUUCAAGUGAAAAAGUUACCAACUAGAAAGUUUCAUAACUUUUUAAGAGCUACCCUUUUUGUUUAGGAAGUUUUCCAUCCGAGGUUAUUUGAAAAAUUUGAAUUUUAAAUUUUUUAAAUUCAAACGUAGUCUUGCAUGACAAGAUGACUUCAAAUAAAAAAAUUAUCAACUACAAUAUUAAUUUCAUAACUUCUCGAUAUCUACAAAGUUUAUUUUGAUCAUUUCUCCAUCCGAGGUUGUUUGAAAAAUUCAAAUUUCAAAUUGGAUAAAUUGAAACGUAGUUUUCCUUCACAAAAUGAAUUCAAAUGAAAAAAGUUGUCAACUACAAAAUUCUAUAGCUUCUCAAGAUCUAUAAAGUUUAUUUUGGUCAUUUUUUCAUCUAAAAUUAUUUACAAAAAUUCAAAUCUCAGUACUUUAUUUUAAAUAUUCGGUGCCCGUUUUUAGAGACAGCUCAAUAUCUAGCCACCCUUAUAAAUUGAUUUGUAGGGACGCUAGAUAUUGAGCCGCCCCUACAUAUAGACGUUCAUUUGUAGGAGCAGUUGGAUAUUGAGCCACCCCUAAAAUUCGAUUUGUAGAGGCGGCUGGAUAUUGAGUCGUCCCUACAAAUAGAGAGUCAUUUAUAGAGGUAGCUCAGUAUCCAGCCGCCCCUACAAGAAAAGACACUUGGCACUUACAAAUGAUUUUUCAGGUAGUGUCAACUUUAGGAUACCAGUUAUUUAUGUUUGUUUAAUUAGCACCAGCUAGCACUUUGUUUAAUUGGCCUACUCUAUUAUAGGGUAUGAGUUUCCCAUCAGGAUGGGGAUGAACCUACUCAUGCAAUCUCUCAAAACUGAGAUGCACACUCCUAGCUAGCUCUUGUAAAUUUGAAAAGAACAAGGCCCCUUUAUAGGAUGUUCCUUCCUAGCUAUAUAUGUACACGCCAUGCCGUCACUGGACUGCACCGUUCAUCAGGAGCGAACCCGGUGGCAACUUGCAUCAGGAAACAAGACAGAAAAGCUAAACAAAGACAUACAUGAGUUCGAAUGAAAAAAAAAUGGUACUCUAAACAAAGAUCAUCCUCUCUCAACUCGACUCAAAGAUGAUGCGAAACGUAAUUUGUGCAGAACAUGCAUGCAUAUGCACAUCACUUCUGAGAAAUUAGUGAUGAUUAAUAAAAGAGGAAAUUAGACUUGCUCUACUAACUGAACUUGGUAGCAACCAACAACCUGUGCGCGUCUGCGUACGUGUACGGACCUCUCGAAGAUGAUGGCGAGCGGGACGACGAGCAGGGUGCCGAGCAACGGAGCAAGAAGCGGUAGGUGAGGAGGGCGAAGACGAAGAGCACCGCAUUACAGGGAAGGGCUUUAGCCCCGGGCCGUAAGCGCCUUUAUUUCCGGCUACGGAACCGGGGCUAAGGUUUCGGGACUAAAUGUCCCACCUUUAGUCCCGGUUCCGUGGACCGGGACUAAAGGUCCACCUUUAGUCCCGGUUGGUAACAGCAACCGGGACUAAAAGGUGCAUCAGGGUGUGCCACCUGGCCUCCACUUUUAGUCCCGGUUGUUGCUACCAACCGGGACUAAAGACUUUUUUCUUUUUUCUUUUUCUUUUCAUUUGGUUUCCAUUUAGGGUUUACAAUUAUGUUAUUGUUAUUUUCGAAUGCGUAUUGUUUGCUGGUAGUUUAUGGAACGCGCACCUAUAAUUUAUAUAAUUUAAAGGAUUACAUAUAAAUAUACUAUAAAACACUAUAUAUAUAUAUAAAUAAUUGGAGCGGCGAUCGGCAUUGUACAUCCAAUGACGUGUUAUUGUCGGCAUUGCCAUGUAAAGUAUUAUAAGUUUCUAAUUUUUUAUAAAGAAAUUAAAGUAACAAAUAACCUAAAAUUCUCUAUUUCUGGUUUUUCUAACUAAUCAUGAAAUGUGGCAUGCAUACUAGUUAUAAUUAACUAAUUAACCUUGUCAUAAAGUGCAAAUUAAAGUAUUAUAAGUUUCUAAUUUUUAAUAGAGAAAUUAAAGUAACAAAAAACCUAAAAUUCUCUAUUUCUAAUUUUUCUAAACAAGCUAAAUUAAAAAAGCACAAAAAUUCUCUAGUUUCCUAAAUAAUCAUGAAAUGUGGUAUGUAUACUAGUUAUAAUUAACUAACUAAAUCGGUCAAAAAUUGCAAAUUAAAGUAUUAUAUGUUUUCAUUUUUAAUAGAGAAAUUAAAGUAACAAAAAACCUAAAAUUCUAUAUUUCUAAUUUUUCUAAACAAGCUAAAUUAAAAAAGCACAAAAAUUCUCUAUUUUCUUAAAUAAUCAUGAAAUGUGGUAUGUAUACUAGUUAUAAUUAACUAACUAAAUCGGUCAAAAAUUGCAAAUUAAAGUAUUACAUGUUUUUAUUUUUUUCUAAACUAAUUAAAAUAAAAAACAUAUUACCACUAUUUCUCUAAAAAAACGCUUCGCUUUUGAAAUGGCGAUGAAGCUAAUAACCUCUUAAAAAACCAUAAAAUAAAAAAUAAUAUACAUAACACUAGGAAAUGACAUACGCCGCUUCUAAAUGUUGAGAAGAUGAAGCUAGUGAACUCUUAACCAGUCGAUGACGGUGUAGAAACGAUGAAAUGAAUCAAUAGCCGGAGAUGAGAGCAAGCUAGAACAAACAACUCCAAAUGAAGAACACAGCAAAAGAGUGAAGAUCGAUGGGCUCGGCCACGAGAAGAAGAGUUCAAAUAUGGAGAGAGACAUUUAGUCCCGGUUCAUUUUAAAAACCGGGACUAAAUUCCAAAACUAGUCCCGGCCGGUGGGACGGACCGGGACAAAAACUUUUAAUCCCGGUUGGUGGUACCAACCGGGACUAAAGGCUAGGCUUUUGUCCCGGUUGGUGAGACCAACCGGAAAGUCCCCUCUGCCGAUGUCUGACAUAAUAGCCGUUGGGUAGGGGACUUUUAGUCCCGGUUGGUCUCACCAACCAGGACUAAAUAUGUUUUUGUCCCGGACUCUGUUUUGGUCGAAAUUAUUGUUUAUUUUGGACAAGUGACCAAAGCCGUAGUGCCACCUUCGUGAGCAGCAUCUGCCCCGUCGUGAACACCUCGAUCAGCACCAUGCACAUGGCCGGACCCCACUCCGCCUUAAGCAGCUUCAACGACAACAACGACGGACUUCCCAUCUCUCAUCUCUCUAUGGAAAUGGAACUCACUCUCACUCUCCCUCUCCCUCCACGACCACGAGAGAGUAUAUAUACGAGACGGAUUGAUGAUGAGCAAAGUGAACAAGAGGGGCCCUGCAAAAACUGACCGUAAAAGUAAGACUAAUAAUAUAGCUGACUGCAACAUUGUUUUAGCCUUUCUGUAGCCCACCUAUAUAGUGAAUAGCUUAUUAUUAUUACGGUUAAUACAUGGUCUACGUACUUAUGUCUCUUAUAAAGUUCUUUAAUUUUUGUAGCUGAGCCAGCUGUAAGCUUUUUUUUUCGAAAUCGUGCAUUGGCACGUGUUGCUUUAAGGGAAAAAAGGAGUCUGAGUACAAGCACGUAAAGACCCAUGGCGAGAUGCCAUAGGCUAACGGGCAAACACACUAACACAGAGCACUGGUUUUAACGGUGGAGCUUGACCGGUGUACUACGGGAUAGAACUAAGCUUACAGUCUACUUCUACUUUUUCCUCUUCUUUUCUAUACCUCACCAUUUAGCGGGCUUACAGCCUGCUAUAUUAUUCUUCCUCUAACCAAAUCCAAGGGAAGAUAUGGGGAUGGGGUCGCCUGCCACUAGUACAGACAAGGGCUUUAGCCCCGGGCCGUAAGAGCCUUUAGUCCCGGCUACGGAACCGGGGCUAAGGUUUCGGGACUAAAUGUCCCACCUUUAGUCCCGGUUGGUAACAGCAACCGGGACUAAAAGGCGCGCCAGGUUGUGCCACCUGGCCUCCACUUUUAGUCCCGGUUGUUGCUACCAACCGGGACUAAAGACUUUUUUUCUUUUUCUUUUCAUUUGGUUCUCCAUUUAGGGUUUACAAUUAUGUUAUUGUUAUUUUCGAAUGCGUAUUGUUUGCUGGUAGUUUAUGGAACGUGCACCUAUAAUUUAUAUAAUUUAAAGCAUUACAUAGAAAUAUACUAUAAAACACUAUAUAUAUAUAUAAAUAAUAUGUAUCUAUAGGUCUAUAAUAUAAUAUUUACACAUAUGCUUCACAGACAAAGUAUUUACAACACAAUUUAUCUCCGCCACUCAAGCAUCGUACAAAUGAUCAUCGUUAUUUGGUUUCAUUGGCUCCUGAUGGUUGAAGUAGCACUCGCCGCCGGGAUUCAGGACUUGGUCGUUAAGAAAUCCUGCGAUUGUCUCCUGAAUUCCUUUUAGGCGCACCGCAUCCAACACCUGCUCCUUCAGCCACAUCUCCUUUAAUAGACAUUAAAGAAAAAAGUUAGAGGUAUGAAUAGGAUUUAUUAAAUAGCAACAAAUAAAUAAAAUAAACUUAUUAUAUAUACAUGUUACAUACUUUUAGGUGCUCAAGAUUAGUUCUUUUGGCAUACACCGUCAUAAACUCGCACACAUAGUAGCCACACAAAUUGUUGCCCGGUGUCUGCCGUAGAACCCACUGAAGUAAGAUGGGCUUUGAAAGUGCUGCAUUCAACUUUGGACGGUGUUUCUGCACGAACCCAGCUCAAACCCUAGCAAUAAAACGAUUAUUAUUAAUUAUCCAUUACCAAGUUAAAAGAGCAUAAUUUAAUAUAUAGAGAUCCGAGUUACCCUUGGAUAAUAUCUAUCAUUUCUUGGUAAUCGUCCUGUGGUUUUCUCAAUGAGUCAUAGAUUACCAAUUGACAUUGCCAGAGAUCAAUGACAAUUAGUAUCCAAUGAAAGCUGCAUUUGUGUGCAUAUGUAGGCAAAAUUAGUAUAUAUCUUCAUAUUGAUCUGAUUAAUUAGUUAAAUAGAAUGUACACACGAUAACGACACUUACUUAAAGUUGUAGGGAAAGAGUAUAUAUCUUUUAUCUUUUUGGUUGAUCAAGAACCUCCGUAGAUUUCUCUCCGUUUUAGUUCUCCAUAAGACAUACGGGGUCUUGUGGUCUUUGAAUACAACAUUUGGAUCCACAAAUCCAAUCUCCUUGUCAUUUCUAACUCUGAGGUCUCUCAUCAUGUUUCUGCAUAUGUAUAGCGGGUUUCUGUAAUUAGUUAUAUAUAUACAUGAUAAGUUACAAAGACAUUGUUGAAAGGAAGAAUCACUUACACACAGAAGCAACUCAUUAGAGAUUUGUCAAGAGUGUCCAUGUGGCAUAGUUGGUGUAGCUUAUUAAAUUGAACAUAAAUAAUAUCAUCACCACAGAAGUAAUGAUAGUUUCUAAUUCGGACACAAAGAUAGUCAUCUGCUUUUCUGACACACGCUUCCAUGUAUGAUAGGUUACCGAUAUGGAAUCGGUACGAGGGUGGCCCGAUCUUCACGACCGUAGAUCAAAAGAACAAGGAUAACUUGCUGUGAACAGCGGGUAACUAGCUUUAUACCUGACAAAGGUUGGAUGCGACCAAGCGACGGGGAGAGAGGCACCGAAACCACGAAGACUUCGACUCGAUCUCCGAACGACCGCAGAACCACAAUCCGGAACUAAUCCACACAAUACGGCGCAGCCGAACGGAAGCCGUAGGGCACGAAGUAGGGGAACCCAGAGGAUUCACUUCACAAGUCCAUGAAGAAUAAGGAAGAACAAAGGUUGAGUAAGGCACAGCAGUGCGGCUGCAAUAUCAUGUAGUUUAUCAAAUGAUCAAAGGUUACUGAUAGCUUAGAGGUAGGGGAUAUUUAUACUAGGAACAACCCUCCUAGAUAGGUAUGAAAACGAAAUAGAGUUUCUGGAUGAAGGCAAUGUGAAAGGACCUCUCGGAAUGGAUUCCCGAACUGGCUUCGCGUGACUAUUGGCCUCCAGAGCAGUUUCAAAUAAACUGACCAUAACUUUUUAUUGGGAAGUCCAAAUGACGAACCGUUUCUUGGGUGUGAAACUAGACUCGAAGAGCUUUCUAGCAAUGUAUGCCAUGUACCUCGAAACAUUGUAGAUUGGUACAGUUUUGCAUGGCAAGUUGUACCAACAUUCUGUCACGGCAGACUGUUGACCUUCUGAGCAGUCUGUACUAAUUCUGGUCUGCAGGCAAUAUGGAGUAUCAAAACUGGUCGCCACUAGAUGCAUUGGAAAGUAGACUCGACAAGCUUUCCAACAAGUCCUCAUGGGCCUUCAUAGCUUUUGUGACUAAAAAGUUAUGAAGAUUUCUUUGCACUGGUCCGUUUUUAACUUCCACUGGUCCGUUUUUUACUUCCACUGGUCCGUUUUUGACGUGUCUUCUAGGACUUGCACUGGUUUGUUCUUCAGGGUCCGAUUCAUCAUUCUCUUCUUCUAUAUACCUGAGUACAAUUAAGGUAGAACACUUAGGUAGUAUAUAAUUCUCAUUAAUGUUAAAAUGAAUCUCACAAAGUAGCGCGUGGACCUCUUGUUGUAGCUUCUUUGCACGACUACGUGUAACCGGUCCAUCAAUGACUUGGGCUGGUGUCGGUGUAGGUAAAACUUGAGUGGUUGUAGCUUGACUUAGAGCUUGUGACAUCUUGCUUGCUGGCAUGGUCAUAUCAAUGUACCAUUUGUUUAGCAUGUACAUUUGCGUUCCAAGCUUGCUGAGGGCCGCAGGGUUGUAUAAACUCUUGCCAUAUGUAUAUUCCUUCUGUCAAUGAUCAAUUUGUGGAGCACUUUCAAUUGGUGCCCCCGCUAUCAUUUGGGCUAAGCUAAGACCAGUUUCCGCAAAAAAAAUUUCAAGCUCAUCAAAUUUUAAAUCUGCCGCCGGUAUCUGCUGGUCUAGCACGUCAAUGUUUGAACCAUAUUCAUUUCCAAUGACUAGCGGGGGCACUGAUUGCUUUGAUUGUUCCCUGAGCUGUGCUACACCCUUGCGUGCUCUUUUCUCUUUCUUCUUCUCUUCUUCUAUGGAUUUCCUUAAAGUGCGAUCAUAGUCCGAUAAAGAUGAUGAUUCUUUCUGAGCUUCACGCCUCUUUUUUUGUUCAGCCUCAACCCUUUGUCGUAGAUCUUCUGGCCGUAGUAAGAGGUACGGCUUCUCAGGCUUUCGCUUGGCUUCUCUUUCAGUCUUAAGUUUCUUGAAAAAACUAUCCACGUCUGAUUUUAGUGAAGCAUUUAGUUCUGCAUCAGUCUUCUCAUAGGACAGCUUCUUAGGAAUGAUAGCUUGUUUCUUUUCGGAGGCUUUCUUUUUUGGCGGCGGGGCGGCCGACACAUUUGAUUGUGUGGCCGGCCUCUUCUUUCAUGCUGGAGCCACGUGUGGAGGCGAUGAGGCGGCCGGUGGCGGUGUUGGAGCCCGAGGAGGCGGCGUUGGAGCCCUAGGUGGUGUUGGAGCCUGAGGUGGCGGUGUUGGAGCCCUAGGUGGUGGCGUUGGAGACCGAGGCGAUGCAGCCGUGUCUUGCACUCCCUCGUCAUCACCCGCAACACUAUGACAUGUCGGUGACCACCUGUGAAACAAAAGGUAUAUGAGUAGACUGCUAACUAAGAGAAUGCAAAAUAAAUUUAGUGAACAAAUGUAUAGUCAAUUUUCAUCCGCACCUAGGAUUAGAUUCAUGAUGAGGAGGUGGUGGUAGACUACUAGGUGAUGCCCCAGAAAUAAUGAUGUAGCGCUUGCGCCAACAAAUAAAAGUCUUCUCUGCUUCUCCUAGAGUCUUCUCUCCAUCACCUCCUUCUAUAUCAAGCUGCACAUUACUGAAGCCUUUGACAACUGUAUCCACUGAGACACUAGCAUAUCCAGGUGGAACUAUCGCCCCAUGGAUUCUUGGUGUCCUCGUAGGGUCGACAAGAGUUGCAACACCGACAGCAACCAUGACUGUGGCAGUCCCCUGUGGCAUGUGCAACUCACAUGUUGUCAGAGGUUCAGUGAUAUCAUCCACCGGAAAGUGUAGCCCCACGUCGUCUUGAAUAGUUGGCAUCUCCGUGGAAGCGCAACUACUUUUCAACUGACCGGGGGGGCUAAUGUUGACUCUAGGCUCUGAUGCAGUUUGCCCUUGUAUAGUACUUACUGCAAUCUGCACUUGUCUUUUGAUCUCCUCGUUCAUUCUCUCUUCAAGCGCUUUCUCUCGCACUAUCGCUUCACAAGCCGCUUCGCGUGACUCAAUCACCAUUGCCUCCAACCUAUGCAACCGCUCUGCUUUCUCUUCCUUCUUUCGUUGGCGGCUUCUAUAAGUCGGUCUAUCUUUAGGGAAGCCAUGCUCCCAUGAUACCUCCCCAUAGCCUCUGGUUUGCCCACCGUGUUCAGCAGUCUCCAGGGCAUAUGUCAGCUCAUCCUUUUCUCUAUUUGGCUGCCAGGUGCCGCUUUCAACUAAUCCUCUAGCAUAGGCCAUUCUCUGCCCUACUCUCUCGAGCUUUUCGCCGUACACUAUCUUUCCGGUCUCUAGGUCUAUGGUUCUCCCGUGACCAAAGAACCAAUACUUGGCGCGCUCGGGCCAGUGCAUUGAUUCUGGUUCGAUCCCUCUCCCAAGAAUCUCCUGUUCCAGCUUUUGCCACUUAGGAAUAGCAGUCCUGUAGCCACCUGAACCCAAGUGAUGGUGGUAUUGCUUUUGUUUAGCAUUUUCUUGAUUCUUGAUCAUCCGUGCCUGACCCUCUUCUAAGUUCUUAAACUCUACGAACUCAUCCCAAAAAGGCCUCAACUUGACGUAGGCCUUGUUGGUGAAAUCUGGUAUCCGGCCUUGUGCAACCAAAGUCUUGUAUAAUGUCUUCUUCCAAGCCUGAAAUUGUUUGGCCAUCUUCUGCAUAACCCAGAUUUUAACCUUCUCCUUCAAAACUUCAUCCUGUGUAUCGAGCGUGAAAUGUUGAAGAAUAUCUUGCCAAAUCAAUUCCUUGUCACGAUCUGAGACAAAACAAAUAUUAGGGUUAUCUUUCUGUUGCCUCCAUUCACGAGCACUGACCGGGAGCCUGUCCCUUACAAGGUAGCCACAGUGCGCAAUAAAUUUUUUAGAAUUAGCCCCAAGUACUUGUCCUGUACCCUCAUCGAAUUCCGACAGAAUGUACCGACCCUCCAACGGCUUCUUCGGGCCGCGCACUUUUCUACUCUUCUCAGAAGUUGUCGCCAAUUUAGAGGGCUACACAAACAAGUAUAAAUAUAUUAGUAUAAAUGUUAUUUAUUUUAAUUUCAUAUAUAUACAUAUAUACUAGAUUGUAGAUAGACCUGAUCAGUAUUAUCUCCCACAAGUUCUUCAUAAUCAGCAAAGUACUGACUCCCAUCAUCUUCGCCUUGAGGAUCUGGAUUGGCGCCGCUGUUGAUUAGGUCCAUCAUUGCAUCAUCCAUGUUGUCAUUCGGAUUGGCCAUUUCUGCAAAUUUAAUCAAGUGUUAAAAGUUAUUUGUCAAAUCUCGUACUUAGACAAUAUUUGGAUACAAUAUUUGUCCACACAUUUUGGAAUUUUUAUCAUAAAAUAUUUGUCUACACUUUAUCUAAUGAAUAUUUUAAUACAUAUAAAUAUUUAUCAACAAGUAAAUCUAGAUGUGUAACUUUUUUAUAAAUAUCUAAAAAAAUGAAAGCACUUCCAUUUUUUGUCCAUUAACUCUUGCAUAGAUAGAUAAAAAUGUAUGGAUAAAUAAAAACGCCACUGCAGGAUGUAAUUAAUUUACGAGACAAAUUUGCGAGACAAGUUUUUUGCAAGUAAACAAGGCCCUCCAUAUAUAUGUUAACAACAUGUAAUUAAUUUGCGAGAAAAUUUUGUGAGGCAAUUUUUUUGCAAGCAAACAAAGCCCUUCAUAUAUAUGUUUACAACAUGUAAUUAAUUUGCGAGAAAAAUUUGCGAGACAAAUAUGAUAAACAAAACACUUCCAUAUAUAUAUAUAUAUGUAUACAUGCCUUAGCUAAAAAUUAGAUAAAAUUAGCUAAGAGUAUUAAAUAUAGAGAAAAAAUAACUAAUUACACAGUACAUAGGGACACCGCGAGACAAACCUUUUAAACUUAAUUAGUUUAUGUUAGUCAUAAUUGUUAUAAUAACACAAAUAUGCAAAUAACGGAUUAAUUAGAUAUAAUAAAUUUGUCUCGCAUUUUUAGAGAAAUUAUGUAAUUAAUUUUUUAAUUAAUAUCCAAACUGCUCUUUUGAUAUUUCAUAAAAUAUUCGAUACAACAACUAAGGACUUGUUUAGUUUUGAAUUUUUUUUUGGUUUUUGGUACUGUAACACUUUUGUUUUUAUUGACAAAUAUAUCAUAUAAAUUACACUGUAAUUAUGGCUACUAUAAACUAAUUAAGCUUCUACACGAGAUAAAUAACAAUAACUAAUUACAACUAAGGCCUUAGAAACAUACUGUAAAAAUAAAUUACAAAUUUCAAGUUUUUACACAGGAUACAUUAUAUCAUAUAAAUUAUAUCAUACAAAGGAUAAAUUAUAUCAUCUCAUCUCAAUAUAUAUACAACAGAGCGCUCAAAACAGUUUCGCCGGAGAAGAAAGCGGGGCCGGGUCGCCGGAGAAGAAAGCGGGGCCGGUAGAACGGUGGCAGUUUUCCUCUCGGCUCGUCCCGAGGACGACGGGGUGGCUGCGGCGGCGGCGGCGCUCCUUGGCUUGUCCCGAGGACAAGGGGUGGCGCUCCUCGGCUCUCGGCUGGGGACGAGGGCGCGAGGCGACGGCGGGGGACGAGGGCGCGAGCCGCCACCCGGGGACGAAAGAACAAACAUACAUAAAGCAUUGUACACUUUUCCAAAUAUUUUGCAAAAUAUUUUAAAUUCCAUGUCACAUCCAUACAUAAAACAUUGUACACUGUUCAUAUUUUGCAUAUGGAAAAAAACAAAUAGCAUGUAUAUAUAUGUAUAUAGGUAAUUAAACUUGGUGUCAGAGAUCGAUAACUCUGCAGUCGUCAGUGGCGGUGGCGGCCACGGCAGUGGCAGCGCUCGGGCCGCAGACGAGGGCUGGCGGAGCUCGGCGUGUGGUGGCGGUGUCGUACGUCUUCGGCUCGGCGCGCGGCGGCGGCGCGCGGUGGUGCCGGCGCCGUACGUCUACGGGGACGAGUGGUGGACUAGUGGUGGUGGCGGCGGUGGCGGCGGCGCUCCUGGACUCGAGACGACGGCGGUCGGAGACGAGACGAGGGCUCACGGCGGGAGCGGCACGCGACGGGCUAGGGCUAGGGCUCGGGAUCGAUUUGGAUCGGUGAGGAAGACGACUGUUAGCUUAAAUAUACGCGGGGACCUUUAGUCCCGGUGCGUAUCACCAACCGGGACUAAAGACCUUUUAGGCCUUGUUUAGUUCCCCAAAAAUUUUGCAAAAUUUUUCAGAUUCCCCGUCACAUCGAAUCUUUAGACGUAUGCAUGGAAUAUUAAAUGUAGAUAAAAAUAAAAACUAAUUUUACAGUUUAGUCGAAAUUGACGAGACCAAUCUUUUGAGCCUAGUUAGUCCAUGAUUGGGCAAUAUUUGUCAAAUACAAACGAAAUUGCUACAGUGCUCAUUUUGCUAAAAAUUUUGGAACUAAACAAGGCCUUAGUCCCGGUUGGUGAUACGCACCGGGACUAAAGGUCCACCCUUUAGUCCCGGUUCCUGGCUAGAACCGCGACUAAAGGCAACCUUUUGUCCCGAUUCUAGCCAGGAACCGGGACUAAAUGUAUUUUUUGCUGAUGCUUACAAUAAUUAGAUUAAUGUUGUUAAUUGUAUAGUAAAUAGAAUCAUAUGUAUUAAUUUGUUAAAAAAUAAUAGUUCCAUUUCUUUUGGUCUAAUUGCUUACAUAAUAAAUUUGGAAACAUAAAAUCUUUUCAUCACUUAUAUUAGCAAACUUAAAUAUGAAAAAUAAUUAGUAUUUUGUUAAAGCAAAAAUGAAUGAUUUAAUUUUAAUAUCUUAAAAUAGAUGUUUUUGAUAGAAAAUUUGUUUGUGCAUUAUUUAAACGUAAAUUUUGUUUAUUUAUCAUCAUUUAUCUCCAAAAUCAUGAUAUACGUGAUAUUCACCAUUACAUUGGAUUAUUUUUUCAAGCUUUUUCUCUAUUUCUUAUUUAUUUAUGCUUACAACAAUAUUCACCAUUACAUCGGAUUAUCUCUAACAACUUUGUAUUCAAUUUUUUUUCAUUUCAAGUCAUCAAAUGGGUCAUUUGACCAAGUUUGACCAAAGUCAAAGCAUUGGUUUUUAGAAACACACACUUUAACCGAACCCUAUAUGCUCCCAAAUGGAAAAGUAAUGAAUACAAAGUUUGUUGCACUCAUCAAGUUCUACAUUUUGUCUAAUGGUCAACUUUUCUUUUGGAAAAGUUUGAACCACUCAAUUUUGAAUUUUGAUAGAAUUCAUAGCCACGCAUCGGUUUUCGGAACCCUAGAUGGUCUCGAAUAUUGUUCCACUCAUCAAAAUCUACAUUAAAUAUAUAGACCAUUUUUGCAUUUGACAAAGUGUUGGGAAGGUGUAGUUCAAAAUCCACAAUUGACACAUGUAGUUUCAUAUAGUUUGUGUGAGAUUCAAGAAUUGGUGGGUAUUAUGAACUUAAACUUUCUCAAAUGGAAAAAUUGUCUAUAUAAAAAGUUUAGAUCUUGAUGAUAUCUAACAACUUGGUAUUCAAAAGUUUUUCAUUUUAAGUAAUUUUUUUGUCAUUUGACCAAGUUUGACCAAAAUCCGUCUUGGAUUUUGAACAAAUGUGCUUAGGAUUGGCUCAAAUUUAUCCAAAUGGAAAAAUGGACAAUAUAUCAAAUGUAGAUCUUGAUGAUCUCUACGAACUUUGUAUUCAAAUUUUUUUCAUUUCAAGUCAUCAAAUGGGUCAUUUGACCAAGUUUGACCAAAGUCAAAGCAUUGGUUCUUAGAAACACACACUUUGACCGAACCCUAUAUGCUCCCAAAUGGAAAAGUAAUGAAUACAAAGUUUAGAUUGUCUCGAACGGAAAAGUCAUGAAUAACAAUAUUGUUCCACUCAUCAAAAUCUACAUUUAAUAUAUAGACCAUUUUUGCAUUUGACAAAGUGUUGGGAAGGUGUAGUUCAAAAUCCACAAUUGACACAUGUAGUUUCAUAUAGUUUGUGUGAGAUUCAAGAAUUGGUAGGUAUUGUGAACUUAAACUUUCUCAAAUGGAAAAAUUGUCUAUAUAAAAAGUUUAGAUCUUGAUGAUAUCUAACAACUUGGUAUUCAAAAGUUUUUCAUUUUAAGUAAUUUAGUUUGUCAUUUGAACAAGUUUGACCAAAACCCGUCUUAGAUUUUGAACAAAUGUGCUUAGGAUUGGCUCAAAUUUAUCCAAAUGGAAAAAUGGACAAUAUAUCAAAUGUAGAUCUUGAUGAUCUCUACGAACUUUGUAUUCAAAAUUUUUUCAUUUCAAGUCAUCAAAUGGGUCAUUUGACCAAGUUUGACCAAAGUCAAAGUAUUGGUUUUUAGAAACACACACUUUGACCGAACCCUAUAUGCUCCCAAAUUGAAAAGUAAUGAAUACAAAGUUUGUUGCACUCAGCAAGUUCUACAUUUUGUCUAAUGGUCAACUUUUCUUUUGGAAAAGUUUGACCACUCAAUUUUGAAUUUUGAUAGAAUUCAUAGCCACGCAUCGGUUUUCGAAACCCUAGAUGGUCUCGAACGGAAAAGUCAUGAAUACCAAUAUUGUUCCACUCAUCGAAAUCUACAUUUAAUAUAUAGACCAUUUUUGCAUUUGACAAAGUGUUGGGAAGGUGUAGUUCAAAAUCCACAAUUGACAAAUGUAGUUUCAUAUAGUUUGUGUGAGAAUGAAGAAUUGAUGGGUAUUGUGAACUUAAACUUUCUCAAAUGGAAAAAUUGUCUAUAUAAAAAGUUUAGAUCUUGAUGAUAUCUAACAACUUGGUAUUCAAAAUUUUUUCAUUUUAAGUAAUUUAGUAUGUCAUUUGACCAAGUUUGACCAAGUUCGACUAUUUUUGCAUUUGACAAAUAAUUGACACAUCUCUUAUAAUAGCAAACUUAAAUGCCAUUUCAUUAUUUGAAAUGAUAUAAAAUAAGAAAAACUAAUAUAAACAUCUUAAGUUACAAUUAUCACAUACGCAUACUCUAUUGCAAUCUAUUUAUUAGGCGGGCACAAUAGUGAUCUUCUUUUUGACGUAUGUUCCUUGGUCAUGAUCUUGACGUAACCAUGGAGUGUCCUUAGUAUUUAUCAGUAUGCUCGGAUCUUUGGUCACAUUGAAAGGCGUGAUUCGGUCAUCCCUUUCAUAAUCUUUUGAAAUAUCUGACUUGUCCUCAAUUCCCACAAUGUUUCUUUUCCCUGAGAGAACUAUAUGACGUUUUGGCUCAUUUGUUGAUUUGUUGUCAUUUUUCCCUCUCUUCUGUUUUGUAGACAUGACUUUCACAUAGAACACCUGAUUCACAUCAGCAGCAAGGACGAAUGGUUCAUCUUUGUAACCAACAUUGUUGAGGUCCACUGUUGUCAUUCCAUAGUCUUUGUCAACUGUCACCCCGCCUCCGGUAACCUUCACCCAUUGGCACCGGAACAAAGGGAUUUUAAAAUUAGGUGCGUAGUCUAGUUCCCAAAUCUCCUCUAUACGGCCAGAAUAUGUUUGUCUGUUUCUAUUCGGGUCUAUGGCGUCUACGCGAACUCCACUAUUUUGGUUUGUGCUUCUUUUAUCUUGGUCUAGGGUGUAAAAUGUAUUUCCAUUUAUCUCGUACCCUUUGUACGUGAGGAUAUGCCAUGAUGGUUGCCUAGCCAACAAAUACAGUUGCUCAUCAAUCUGGUCAUUACCCUGACAUUCUUUUCGUAACCAAUCACUGAAAGUGUCUAUGUGCUGACGCAUAAACCAAGCUUCAUUCUUCUUUGGGAAUUGGAAUCGUAGGAAGUCCUUGUGUUUCGUGACAUACGGCUCCACCACGGAUGAGUUUUGAAGAACUGUGUAGUGUGCUUUAUUGAAAGAAUCGUCCCCCGCACUGAUGUAUGUUUUCUUUCCUAGUGUUCCCUUUCCACUGAGUCUCCUCUCAUGGCGCGAUUCAGGAACACCAAUUGGGUCAAGUUCAGGAAUGAAUUCAACAUAGAACUUAAUGACCUCCUCUGUCCCAUAGCCCUCAGCGAUGCUUCCUUCUGGCCGAGCACGUUGGUGAACAUAUUUCUUCAGAACUCCCAUAAACCUCUCAAAGGGAAACAUAUUAUGUAGGAACACAUGACCCAGAAUAUAGAUCUCCUUGACCAGAUGAACUAGGAGGUGUGUCAUGAUAUCAAAGAAGGAUGGAGGGAACACUAACUCAAAGCUGACAAGACAUUGAACCACAUCAUUCUGUAGAGCAGCUAGUUCCAGUGGAUUGAUUGCCUUCUGAGAAAUUGCAUUGAGGAAUGCACAUAGCUUUACGGUGGCCAGACAUACAUGUGGAGGUAGAAUUCCUCUUAAUGCAACUGGAAGUAAUUGCGUCAUAAGCACAUGGCAGUCAUGUGACUUUAAGUUCAGAAAUUUCUUCUCAGGCACAUUAAUUAUACCUUUUAUAUUAGAGGAGAAUCCAGAUGGGACCUUGAUGCUGCUUAAGCAUUCAAACAUGAUUUCUUUCUCUUCAUUGCUAAGAGUGUAGCUAGCAGGUCUUAAAUAUUGGCGUCCAUCAUCUGUCUUCUCUGGAUGCAGGUUGUCUCGUUCUUCCAUGCGUUGCAAGUCUUGUCGUGCUUCAAGUGAAUCCUUAGGCUUACCAUAUACACCCAUGAAUCCUAGAAGGUUCACACAAAGAUUCUUUGUUAGGUACAUGACGUCGAUCGCAUUCCGGACCUCUAGGACAUGCCAAUAGGGUAGCUCCCAAAAUAUUGACUUCUUCUUCCACAUGGGUGCAUGACCCGCUGCAUCUUUUGGAACUGGUUGGCUGCCUUGUCCCUUACCAAAAACUACUUUCACAUCCUUAACCAUCUCAAAUACAUCUUCUCCAGUUCUGUUGCGAGGCUUGCAUCGGUGGUCUGCCUUACCUUUAAAAUGCUUUCCUUUCUUUCUAACUGGGUGAUUCAUAGAAAGAAAUCGACGAUACCCAAGGUACACGACCUUUCUUCAUUUUUUCAAAUAUAUACUAUCAAGGUCAUCAAAACAAUAUGUGCAUGCAUUAUAUCCCUUGUUUGUCUGCCCUGAAAGAUUACUUAGAGCAGGCCAAUCAAUGAUUGUCACAAACAACAGUGCUCGUAGGUCGAAGUGUUCCUGUUUGUACUCAUCCCACACACGAACACCUGUUUCACUACAUAAAAGAAGGAGUUCUUAAAUUAAUGGCCUUAGAUAGACAUCAAUGUCAUUGCCCGGUUGCUUCGGGCCUUGGAUGAGCAUCGGCAUCAUAAUGAACUUUUGCUUCAUGCAUAACCAUGGAGGAAGGUUGUAGAUACAUAGUGUAAUAGGCCAAGUGCCAUGACUACUGCUUUGCUCACCAAAAGGAUUCAUACCGUCCGUACUUAAAGCGAACCUUAAGUUUCUUGCGUCUUUUGCAAACUCCGGAAAUUCCCUCUCUAUUGCUCUCCACUGGGACCCAUCCGCAUGGUGUCUCAACAUGUUGUCUACUUUACGGUCUUCUUUGUGCCACCGCAACAAUUUUGCAUGGUCCUUAUUUCUAAAAAGACGUUUCAGACGUGGUAUUAUAGGAGCAUACCACAUAACCUUUGCAGAGAUUUUUUUCUGGGACAUUCUUCCCCCUCAACAUCGCCAGGGUCUUCUCGCCUGAUCUUAUACCGUGAUGCUUUACAUACGGGACAUUCAUCUAAAUUCUCGUAGUCCUUGCCACGGUAUAGGAUGGAGUCGUUAGGACAUGCAUGUAUCUUCUUGAUUUCUAAUCCCAAAGGACAGACGAUCUGUUUUGCUUCGUACGUAGUAGUGGGCAGUUCAUUAGGCUUCGGCAGAAUUUUUUUUGGAUCUUCAGUAAUUGCCCAAAUGCCUUAUCGAAUACACCAUUCUGUGCCUUCUAUUUUAACAAUUCUAGUGUUGUACCCAGUUUUUUUCCCCAUCCUGGGCAGAUGGGUAUAGUAAUUUCUUGUGAUCUUCUAACAUGUGGUCAAACUUUGUCAUCUCUUCUUCACUUUCGCAAUCUUUCUGUGCAUCACGAAUGACAUCACCAAGAGCAUCAUCUUCAACAGGUGCGCCUUCUGCACCUGCCUCAUCUUCAGCUUCUCCCAUUGCUGUAUCACCGAAGUCACCGUAUUGAGCAAUAAUGUCGUCAGCCUCCAACUGUUCUUUUUCACCUUCUUCCAUCAUUAUCUCGUUUUCUCCAUGCUUGGUCCAACAAAUAUAGUUUGGCAUAAAACCCGACUUCAACAAAUGUGAGUGAAUAUUUCUAGAGCUAGAAUAUUCCUUCAAAUUCUGACACAAGGCACAUGGGCAACAUAUGAAUCCAUCCAAUGACGUGUCAAUGAAUUCUUUGGAGCGGCGAUCGACAUUGUACAUCCAAUGACGUGUCAUUGUCUGCAGUGCAGCGUAAAGUAUUAUAAGUUUCUAAUUUUUUAUAAAGAAAUUAAAGUGACAAAUAACCUAAAAUUCUCUAUUUCUGGUUUUUCUAAACCAACAAAAUUAAAAAGACAUAAAAGUUCUCUAUUUUCUAACUAAUCAUGAAAUGUGGCAUGCAUCCUAGUUAUAAUUAACUAAUUAACCAUGUCAUAAAGUGCAAAAUAAAGAAAUAUAAGUUUCUAAUUUUUAAUAGAAAAAUUAAAGUAACAAAAAACCUAAAAUUCUCUAUUUCUAAUUUUUCUAAACAACCAAAAUUAAAAAAGCACAAAAGUUAUCUAUGUUUCUAACUAAUCAUGAAAUAUGGUAUGCAUACUAGUUAUAAUUAACUAAUUAACCUUGUCAUAAAUUGCAAAUUAAAGUAUUAUAAGUUUCUAAUUUUUAAUAGAGAAAUUAAAGCAACAAAAAAUCUAAAAUUCUCUAUUUCUAAUUUUUCUAAACAAGCAAAAUUAAAAAAGCACAAAAAUUCUCUAUUUUCCUAAAUAAUCAUGAAAUGUGGUAUGCAUACUAGUUAUAAUUAACUAACUAAAUCGGUCAAAAAUUGCAAAUUAAAGUAUUAUAUGUUUUAAAUUUUUUUCUAAACUAAUUAAAAUAAAAAACAUAUUAUCACUAUUUCUCUAAAAAAACGCGUCGCUUUUGAAAUGGCGAUGAAGCUAAUAACCUCUUAAAAAAAUCAUAAAAUAAAAAACAAUAUACAUAACACUAGGAAAUGACAUAUGCCGCUUCUAAAUGUUGAGAAGAUGAAGCUAGUGACCACUUAACAAGUCGAUGACGGUGUAGAAACAAUGAAAUGAAUCAAUAGCCGGAGAUGAGAGCAAGAACAAGCAACUCCAAAUGAAGAACACAGCAAAAGAGUGAAGAUCGAUGAGCUCGGCCAGGGGAAGAAGAGUUCAAAUAUGGGGAGCGACAUUUAGUCCUGGUUCCUUUUAAAAACCGUGUCUAAAUUCCAACACUAGUCCCGGCCGGUGGGACGGACCGGGACAACAGCUUUUAAUCCCGGUUGGUGGUACCAACCGGGACUAAAGGCUAGGCUUUUGUCCCGAUUGGUGAGCCCAACCGGGAUCUCUGCAAUAGCCGUUGGGCAGGGGACUUUUAGUCCGGGUUGGUCUCACCAACCGGGACUAAAUAUGUUUUUGUCCCGGACGCUGUUUGGGCCGAGAUUAUUGUUCAUUUUGGGCAAGUGACCAAAGGCUAGUAGUGUGAUGAUCCUCUGUCAGCAUAAAUUCGGGUAGUGAUAGGGUUCUAAUAGUCAUCCACGGAUUUCGCAUAGUGCAGCAGCUAUUCAUGUCACUGUAUAUAUCAGUCUGCACCAGCACCUUGAUAAACAUAAAGAAUACUAACCGGGCACGGGUUAGGAUCCAUUAGAAAAUACUAACGGGUGUGUACUUAUUAUUGGAUUCAUUAUGUUAACACUGCCACACGUUCAGGCAUUAGCACCGGUCGGAAAGGGCCUAUUGCCUCGGUUCCUGAGCUGGUGCUGCCCUUCCGGGAGGCCCACCCUUUAGUCCCGGUUCGGGUAACCGGGGCUAAAGCCCCCCUUUAACACCGGUUGGUAAUACCACACCGGUUGGUAAUACCAACCGGUGUUAAAGGGUCCUGCCAGGGCUACCACGUUGCAGGACCCUUUAACACCGGUUGGUAUUACCAACCGAUGUUGAAGUUAAAGGGUUUCUCUUUUUUUUUGGUUCACUUCUUCGGUUCUGUUUAUUGUUUUUAUAUAAUAUAUAAUAGUAGGUUUUUUAAUACAUGUUUUUGCUGAUACAAUAAUAUAUUUAUAUUACACGCAUAUUAAGCAUAUAUAAAUGAAAAUUAUAGGCUUAGCUUAAUAAUUAAGCUUUGCCUAUAAUAAAAUGAAUAGGCCACAUCAAAAAUUAAAUAGAUAUGUAAAAAGCUUUAUAUAUAUAUAGUUUUAUAUGUAUAAAAUUCGUAACACAUAUAUACAUAGAGUUUUUUCUCCCAAUGUCUACAAACGAUACAAAUGAUCAUCGUUGUUUGGAAUAAGAGUUUCGUUGCCGUUAAGUGAAACUCGCCGUUUGGAUUGAUCACUUGGUCGCGGAGAAAUCCUGCUAUCGUCUCUUGGAUAGCUUUGAUUCGGUCUUGUUGUAGGACCUUUUCCCUCAACUAUUCCGUCUUUAAUUUGAAAUAAAUAAAAAAGGUAUUAGUUAUCUAAGUUAUUCAAUAUAAUUCAGGAGAUAAUGAAAAGAGACAUGUAACGUACUCUGAGCGUCUCUGUGGGUGUUUGAUUGACUUGUGCCAUCAUGAAUUUGCACACGUAAUAUGCACAUAUAUUGUUCCCCCCUUCUUGUCUUAAACACCACUGUACGAUAUAUAUAUAAAAAUAUUCACGACCACGACAAUAAGAAGGCUAAAAGUUAGCGAAAGUUUGUUAGCUAGUAGAACUUACUUGUGGAUGUAUUAUGUUAAGCGGCGCUUUACAUCCACUGAGAUGUUCACGGUCAAUGAAUCUUUCCCAAACCCUAUACACAGCCAUUGUGGAUCGUGAACUAAUAAUUACAGAGUCAUAUUAUGAUAUUUUUUAAGCUGAGAUCGACAUUACGUACCUUUGAAUAAUGUUUACCAUUUGUUGAUAAUUUUCUUGUGGUUUUCUCAUUGAGUCAAAGAUUAUUAACCGGUUCUUGGGAAUUUCAAUGACCAUGAGUAUCCAGUGAAAGCUGUUUACACAUAUAUAUAUAGUCAGUCCUAUAAUGUAAAAUAAAAUAUGCAUGCACUUAAUAACUAUAUAACUCACUCGAAGUUGAAGGGGAAGAGUAUUUUUUUGUUUUUCUUUUUGGUUCACAAAGAACCUCAUAAGAUUGGUGCAGACUUCUGUCUCAUGAGCUGCUGUCCACACUGCCUGCGGAGCCUUGAAAACAAUAUAAGGGUCAACGAACCCAAUACUAUUGUCAUUUCUCAUUCUGAGCUCUCUCAUUUGGUGCCUGCAUUUAUACAUACAAAUCCUAAGUGUGUAAGGAUUAUAUACAUGUAAUUAAAGAAGUUAGAAGUAUAAUAAAAAUAAAAAAAUACUUACAGACAAAAGCAGCUGACAAGAGAUUUGUCGAGGGCGUCGAGGUGACAUAAUUGGUGCAAUUCUUCGAACUGCACGUAUAUAAGGUCAUCUCCACGGAAGUAGUGAUGUUGUCUAAUACGAACAGAAAUCCAAUUCUCUCCCCUUUUAGACGCCUCAAUGCACCAUUUGUUUAUUGCAAACAUUUGUGUGCCGAGCUCGUGUAAACGCUUAGGGUCGAAUAGACUCCUGGCCGGUUCAUAUCUUGCCCUCCAUUAAUCAACUACCUCGGCUUUUUCAAAUGUUUGGCAUCCAAGAAUGGCGCCAAUUUCUUCCAUAUUUAAACCGCUCUGUCCAAAGUAAUGCUCAAGCGAGUCUAGCUCAGACAAUGCUAAGGAUUUCUUUGGCAUCAAGUCUUCAUUUGAGCCGUAUUGAUUUGGCACAAUCAAAGAGGGCACCGGUUUUGAUACUUCUCCGAGCUGUGGGACCCCCUUUCCUACUCUCUUCUUAGGCUGUGAAGACUUGACCAGAGACCGCUCAUAGUCCGAAAGUGCUGGCUUUUUCUGAGCUUCGCGUUGCUUCUUUUGAUGGUCCGCCACCUUCUGCCUUAGUUCCGAUGGCUUUACAUAAAAGUACGGCUUUUCUGGGUUAAGCCGUUUUUUUCCUAUCCUCCUUCAAUUUAUCAAAAAAUUGUUUGACCUCAGCUUUGGAUGCAGCAAUUACCUCCUCUUCACUCUUUUCGUAAGGUAAUUUUUCUAGCGUCUUAGCUCUCUUUGCUGAGGCAGCCUUCUUUGGAGGUGGGACCGAUGACUUCGGUCCUUCUUGGGUAGACCGCUUCUGACUACCUCGCUUUGGAGGCGAGGGGACCGACCGUGCACUCUUAGGAGAGGGCGGUGCAGGCGGUGGAGGUGGUGGGGCCGACCUUUUCGGCAUUGGAGAACACGGUGGAGGAGUUGGAGACCUCGGUGGAGGAGGUGGAGACCGUGGUGGAGGCGGUGGCGGGGUCGGUGUGGCCGCCGCAGGUGUUGGAGGAGAUCCAGCAUUGUCACCGCCCGCAGCACUAUGAUGCGCUGGGGAGAGAACUGGACUUAGGUUGGAGGAGUCCCUGCAAAGAAAAUAAUUACAAGUUUUGUGAGCAAACUUUUUUUAAUUUCAAUACAUAAUAAAUAAUAUAAGAAUUAAAAUCACACACAAACCUAUGUUGAGGAAUAAUUAUGAAGUGCUUGCGCCAACAAAUAAAUGUCUUCUCAGCUUCACCUAAGGUCUUCUCUCCGUCUCCCCCUUCUAUGUCAAGAGGCACAUUGCCACAACCUUUCUCAACCCUAUCAACCGAGACGCUAGCAUAUCCACCAGGUACUGGUCGAUUAUGGAUUCUUUGAGUUCUCGUUCGGUCGAUAGGGUUGACAACAGCGAUAGCCACCUUUUUUGUUGCAUUCCCAUCUGGUACAUGCAGCUCACAGGUAGUAAAAGCCUCUGUGACAUCAUCCAUGGGGAAGUGUAGCUUCGUGUCAUCCUGAAUGGUUGGUACUUCCGUGGAUGCGCAGCUGCUUUUCAACUGGCCUGGGGCGCUAACGUUGACCUCAGGCUGUGAUGUACCUUGCCCUUUCGUCAUUUGACUAAGUGCUGCUUGCACUUGCCUUUGAAUCUCCGCCUGCAUCCAUUCUUCACGAGCUUUCUCGCGCUCUUUUGACUGCAGAACAAAAGCUUCUAGGCAGCGGAUCCGCUCUGCCUCCUCAUCCUUCUUUCUCUGGCGGCUUCUGUAGGUAUCUUGAUCGGCUUGGAAUGAUUGCAGCCACGGAACUGCCCCAUAGCCUCUCGUACGCCCAACGUGCUCAGGAUUUUCAAGCGCAU
rnacentral:lncRNA from 1 species